rnacentral:lncRNA from 1 species
AUUUUCCUUCUUCCACAAUCCCCGACUCAGCCUUUCCUAAUACAAGUGGUAUGAGCACAUGCUGUUCAUUCUCAUUGUCCAAAACAGAAUCAGAUCCCUCUAUAUCGACUUCGAUAUCUGUUUCUAAAAUUGAAACACUCGAAGAAGGUUUGAGCUCGAGAACUCUUAAUUUGUACUGCAGCUCUCCAUAAUAGACCGUGAUAACAUCGCCUUCUGACAGGGUCGCAUGUUUUCGAAGAGUGGUUUCGAGGAUAGCUUUUUGGUUAGGAAGGUCGGAGAAGCCCACUGCUUCGGGCUUAAGCUUAGCAUAAGUUCCUUUUGGCAAGCUGGCAUAGCGCACCACAAUUAAAGGAACUUCAAUGUUGGUACCAGGGAAUAAAUUUGUCCAGACAUGCGGAGGCAGCUCUGCAGAAUUUUCUCGUGCAGUGAAUUCGAGGACUCCUGAAUGAGUCGUUGUUUUCAUAUCUUGAUUUUCGCUGGAAUUAGAAGUUGAGGGACCUCCUUCAUUAACUUUGGACAACCUAAAGUACGUAGGACCUUUAUCCAGGGCUCCUUGAUCAGAUAGCUCUUUGAAGCAAGAAGACGGUAGCUUGAUCUUGUCUGCAGAACCAUCAUAUGGAAGGGCUUCGAAUAACCUUGAAAAGACAAUCCCGUUGCCUAGAAGCAUGUUUUGAAUUAAUUGGUCUUUUUCUUUUUUAUAUGAAUCCGAUUUAAUUGAGUCUUUAUUUUGAAUCCUAUAACGUUGAUUGAUUCUAUUUCGCCAUUUUUGCGGUACUAACCGCGACCAUUUGGUUUGAGAUAAAUUGUACUGAUAAUGCCCCUUUAACCAGUUUUUCCAUUCAAUCAUUCCAGACUUAUGAAUUUUCUUAUGUCUUGGAUUGGANGACUUUGAUGGGGAUCAAAUGGCUGUUCAUGUACCUUUAUCUUUGGAAGCUCAAGCGGAGGCCCGUUUACUUAUGUUUUCUCAUAUGAAUCUCCUGUCUCCAGCUAUUGGAGAUCCCAUUUCCGUACCAACCCAAGAUAUACUUAUCGGACUCUAUGUAUUAACGAUCGGGAAUCGUCGAGGUAUUUGUGCAAAUAUGUAUAAUCCAUAUAAUUGCAGAAACUAUCAAAAUCAAACAGUUGACAAUAAUAAUUAUAAGUAUACGAAAGAGAAAGAACCGUAUUUUUGUAGUUCCUAUGAUGCACUUGGAGCUUAUCGGCGGAAACGAAUCAGUUUAGAUAGUCCUUUGUGGCUCCGAUGGAGACUAGAUCAACGUGUCAUUGGGUCAAGAGAAGUUCCCAUCGAAGUUCAAUAUGAAUCUUUGGGUACUUAUCAUGAGAUUUAUGGGCACUAUCUAAUAGUAGGAAGUGUAAAAAAAGAAAUCCGUUGUAUAUACAUUCGAACCACUCUUGGUCAUAUUUCUUUUUAUCGAGAAAUAGAAGAAGCCAUACAAGGGUUUUGUCGGGCCUACUCAUACACUAUCUAAACUAAGAAAUUCGAUUAGGCGAUGCCUGGAAUUCGGGUUUUUCCAAUUUUACUAGUAUCAUAAUUUCUGAAUUUCUGCGUGAAUCAAGAUUGAGAUUGAGGAAAGAAAGUUAAGUUUUCGAAUCACUGACUCAGGCCCAUUGUCGAAUCCUACUCAGCAGAAUAUAGAGGUACUUAUGGCAGAACGGGCCGAUCUGGUCUUUCACAAUAAAGUGAUAAAUGGAACUGCUAUGAAACAACUUAUUAGCACUUCCACUUGACACCUAUCGUAAUGAUAAACGGCUCGUCUCGCCGUGACCUUAUCUUGGAUUCUCAAUACUUCUGUCGCUCCAUCCCCGCAGGGGCAGAGAACCCGUCGCUGUCUCGGCUGUGCUACCGGAGGCUCUGGGGAAGUCGGAAUAGGAGAGCACUCAUCUUGGGGUGCCUAAAUAGUAGACACAGGUGAUAAAUAAGAGAAUACUAAAGAUUCGAGCCAUAGAAUUUCUCAAUUCUGACACAAGGUACUUAUUAGAUCGAAUAGAAUGAUUUUGCCGUAUCCAGAAUAAUACCAAUCCAACCCGCUUUUGACAUAUCUAUCCUAUCGUUAUUUGGGUACCAUAUUCACUUCUUUGGGCUUCUAUUGAAUCGAGAAAUAGGUUUGAUUGUACAUCUUUUUGAUAUAUAUAAGGUAUCCUCCGGAUAAUUCAAAUCGAAGCAAUUUGAUGUCUGACUCAGGCCUAUAUGACCGAUCGAUAGAAAUACUCCAACACUCCACCUUUGUCAUAUAUUCCAUAUAUCUUUUUUCUUCUAAUUGCAAAUUGUUCUCGAUUCACCAAUUCUUAUCUUUUUUAUCCUUUUAUAAAGGAACAAUAAUAAAAGAAAUCAAAAAAAAAAAAGAUAUAAAAAAAAAAAAAGUCAAAUAUUGGGAUUCUUAAUUAUUCUGAUUUUUUCUCAGAUAUUUGAAAUAUUCAAAAAUUUACAAUUGGUUGGUCAAAGUUUCUUCCAUCUGUUGCUCUACCUGUCAAAUAGACCAAACAUUAAUAACCUCACAAGAGCACGAGUGAUAAGUGAUAAUUGAGAUGUAUCUAAUUAAUAUUAGCCAAACAAAAUGGGAACAAGAAAAGGCCACAAAAUCGCUAUAAUUAAUUAAACCGCUAAGUUUGUUUAAGCUGCAAUCUUUUCAAUUAACUUACAAUAGACAAAUAGCAGUAAAUACUUAAGGCUAUGCAUCAACAGUAGAAAGAUAUAUGCUAACAAAGCACAGAAGCCUGGAGAAAGAUCAACAGAUACUAUCAUUUUCUUUUUCUUUUUCCCAGUUCUAGAUGUCUUACACUCUGAAUCAUCAUUUAAAUACUGAGGCUGUAAUUCGAUUGCAAUAAAGAGAAAUAAGGUCAGGGAUCUUUCUUCAAGUACUUAAUGGCAAUGGACCAAUGAGCAAGAAUUCCAUAAAACCUCAAUUUUCUCAUUCAAGUAUACAAUUAAGUGGAAGAAAUAACGAAGGCUGUAGUCAUCAGAUCUGACAGAUACACGUUUGCUUGUUAUUGUGCAUCAUGUUAAUGUAAUCAAUUUAGAUCUUAUCAACUCAUAUCCCACUUUAUCAAACUGUAUCAUAUUGAUUAUGCAAUAUAGGCUUAACUCAUCUGAAAUGCCUCUAAACCUAUAUUGUCUGUCUAAGCUAUGAUCAAAUCAGUGUUUUAUUUUGCGUCUCUACUCUCUAAUCAUAUUUGACUUGUUCCAACUGAUUCUAAUUGGUCUAGACUUGAAUUGACCCAAAUUACAAUAUGACCUGAUAACUUCAACUCUAUUUUGCGCAAACCAUAAUCUUAUGGUUCUUCAAAACAUCAUCCCAGUCCGUACAGCCGUACAAUUUGGACUCUUGUUUGAAACUAAAACCGUUUCAUUCUACACCAAUGACCUUUCUAGUGAGGUAUCAUACACUCAAUUUGGAUCAGAAAUGGAUCAGUUAUGAUAAUAUUACCGACUGCUCUACUUAAAUUUCCAUAAAACAGAAUUUAAUAUUUCACCUCACAUGACAUCUCGCAAACUAGUGAAGAUUAUUACCAUAUGCUCUUUUUUGUGAUCCUCGAGAAUCUAAAAGCCUCUUUAGCUACUCUUCUUACCUCCAACUUAUCUAAGUUCUAUAGGUCUCGGAAAAGGCCUUCUCUUGCAAGAGCUCACUUUGCUUCAUCUUAAAUCAAGAUGAAGAAGAACUCUUUAUUACUUGAUCUUCUCAUUGUACGUACGCUGGAAUUAAUAAACACUCUCAUCAAAUGAGGUUUUCUGUGGGCUCUUCUUGCUUUUGAUCGGCAGGAGUGCUCGAGCCCGUAGAUGAUAUGGGAAAAGAUUAACCUCUAAAUCCCAUGAUGACAUAUAUAUUUACAUAAGUUAACCCUUGAAUUCAAUUGUUCGUUUUCUAAUUAAGAAUUAAUCAAAUCACCCCACACUUCACUCAAAGAGUUGAAGGUUGACACCACAUCAUGGAGGUGAAUUUGGGCGCUUUUUGCAAGGCUCCGAGCCUGAUGCUUCCAUAUUUUUUCGCCUCAGAACUUCUAAACAAUCUGUGCUCGAGGAAAAUUGAAAAUGAUAAUCUAGAUGCAUGCAUGUAUGUGUUAUCUUGUAUGUUAUUUUAUUUUAAUUUGAAUGUAUAUAAAAGUGGAAGCAUCAAAUGAGUUGGUGCCUUCAGAAGAACCACCACUCCACAACAUUAUGUAUUUGUAGGACGCCACUCCACAACUUUAUGUAUUUGUAGGAUGCUUUGUACCCUUAAAACUUUAUUUAUUAAGAAGAUUCUAAAAAACUUUGAUGAAAAAUCUUUCGCAUUGUGUGUGGAAGGAUAAAAGCAAAUUACUUAGGAUAAGAUGAGAUUUAGAUUUAUUAAAAAUAAGUAAAGUUUAAUUAAGAAUCCAAUUGGACUAUGAGCUCUAAUUAGACUCUACAUUGGAGCCUUGCAUUAUUAUACAUAAGAUGUGCAGCUAGAGGAGAUAAUUAAUUAAGCUCUCAAUUAAAUAGGAUUUAGCAACAAGAAGAGAUCGACUAUACCAAGACGAAUAUUAUUGGUAUACCUGGCAAUCUCUAUCUAUACCCACGGGUACUCGUAGGUUACCAGCUGAUUUGCGGGUAUGAAUACUAGUUUUUUCUAUUUAAAACAUUAUUAGUAAAACAGGUGGAUACUCAUUAAAUUGUGGGAUUUUGGGCAACCCGCGGGUACCCAUAGGUACCCGCAUAUAUUUUUUAAUACCUAACGAUUUUUCACAAAGUGGUGGCGAAACGUAUAACUUGUACAAAUCUUUUUAUUUUCCAAUUGACCCUAUAGUUAUAAAAACUUUAUUAAUUUUGCAUCACGAAAAUUAAAAAUAAUAAAAUACUUUUAUAUAAUAUAAUUUAUGCGCUUUAAAAUUUUAUAUUGUUUAUUUAUGUUAUGAUAUUUCAAACAAUAAGUUAUGUUAUACUUUUAAAAAUGAUAUAUAUGUGUUUUGUAUUUCAAAAGUAUAGGAGUAAAAAAUUUUAAAAAAAAUCUUGCAGAUAACCCGGAUACCCGCAGGUGGGUAUGAUGUCACGCCCCAAGUUCUAAGAUUCGUCGGGUUCGCCAACAGAUGCGCCGCAUACACAGGUGGUUCUGUGUACAGGAAGCGAAAAGAAGAACCUGUAAACAAUACAAGAACAAGCUCUAGAGAGUAACGGAGCUGCUAAAAUAGAAAUACGUAGUCAUAUGUACAUACAUGUCACCCAAGGUGUAAAACAAAAACCAAAAGUAUAGUGUCUCACAACUCUCAACAGACAAAAUAAAAUACAACUGUAUGUGCAUGACCAGAAAAAAAACAACUGACUCCAAAAUGGUACUCCUCUAGCUCAACGACCGGGGUAGAUAGGGAUCUAGCUCGCGACUUCCUUACCUCGAUCAGGAGAAGCAGGAGCAACCGAUGGCUCUGCAAGAAAAAGUGGCAAUAAUGGGUGUGAGAACUACUACAAAAUAGAGUAGUCCUUAAUGGGUACCGUCACCGACUCCAACGGCCUACCCACUAAGUCUACAAGACUAACGAUAAAACUGGUAGGAAAAAGAUCAAUAAAAUAAGCUAAAAGAAACUCUACAGCUAAAAUGUAACUACACUAUCACUACUCAUGUCAUGCUUUCUGUAGAUAUAUGCAUCACUGGCUACGAACAGUCACAACUGACCCAAUCCCAAGGGACCGCCAACUGGCCAGUCCCGCCUGUGCCCAAGCUACACCGCACACCACCCACGGGAAUGGCCGGUCCAAGAAAAAUGAUGCAACAUCAACGCAAGAAAGUCAGACUCCGGAGCGGCACUCGCGGGGGCGCGACCCCUAUCGAGUAUAGAAGCGUGUCUCUGUCGAGCUCAAUCAGGCUGUAGUCAAAACAAAUGGGUCAAACUGGUCUAACAAUAAUGUCCUCGACACAAUAUGCAGUAAGAAGUAAAGAUCUGGGUCCACCGUCAAUCCCGAUGGCACUCAACUAUACGGAACAGCCUAAACUCUGCUGUAAAAACUCACUUGGCAUCUCAGCACGAGCGUAAUCUCAACCUAUACUAAGCUAAGUAUCCAUGACGCGCUAACGGUGGUGAUACAAAGAUAAAAAUAGCUCCUGAAGCUUUUCGAAAAGUGACAUGUGUAGGUUUAACGAGUUUUCUCCUAAGUCAAAUUAUAACGGAGCUCGACUUUUUGAAUUCAAAAUGACAAAAUAUAAACGGUUAAUUUCGUAAGUACCCUUCCAACCACCCCUAAUCACAAAUAUAUAUAUUCCAAAAGUUGUCAAUAUAUAUCAAAAAAAUUUAGUAAAACUAAUGAAACUAUCCACAUUACUCGUAUCCCACUUAAAUUACUUGUUCUACCCCUCUCGCCCUUACAACUGUUAUAAUACAUAUUCUGUGAUCAAGAUAAUAUAUGCAUUUAUUAUAAGUAAUUUUCUAGUUUAAUUUAAUUAUCUUAAUAUGUCUUUAUUUUGACUAAUUUAAGGUUUGUUAUUAGUUGGCAGCUUGUUAUUGGUCAUGACAACAUUAAUCUGUCUCUUUGGGAUUCAAUUAACUAUGUUGUAUCCGACUCUAAUCUAUACCUAUACAUUAUUCCCCCAAAAAAAAGCCACGAGGCGGAAUUUCCUUCCUUUAGCGAAACCAACUUUUCGGCUUCCCUUCACCUAUAACAUUUAAUUAAUAGUCCACUAAGCUUAACCUAACCCUUCGCCUUUCCUAUACACAUAACGCCGGCUUCCCUCCGCCUAUAAUAUCUAAUUCUUCCCUCCACCUAUAACAUCUAAUUAAUAGCCCACUCAUCUUAAUCCAACCCUUCGUCUUUCCUACAAACAUAACGUUUAAUUAAUAGUCCACUCACCUUAAUCCAACCCUUCACCUUUCCUACAAACAUAACGUCUAAUUAAUGGUUCACCUACUUUAAUCCUAAUCUAAACAGUAAAUUGUAGAAACCUACGAAAAGCCCAAUUCUCUUCUUCUCUAUUAUCUUUUCCUCCUCCAUGAGCUCCGAGGCUAAGAUCAAGCACGUUAUGUAGAUGGAGUAUAAAUUUGCACGCUGCAUCGUCGAGCUUAGCGUUACCAUCUUCAUCAAAUCGAGCUUUCCUUCAAAUUUCAGGAGUUAUUUUAAAAGAUUAAUGUAUUCUUUAUGUUGUAUCGUUGAAAUUUCUUAGAUAGUUUUAUUCAGUUUUUUAAAGUUUUUUUUAUUUGCAUGGUAUUCAAACUAAUGUGUUUGUUAUGUUGAAGAUUUAUUAUUUUUUCUUUUUCUAUCCUUUGUUUUUUAUAUUUUUUUUUCUCGAAAGUAAAGUUCUGUAUUAUAUUUACUGUAUUUGGUUGUGUUAGGUUGUAUAUCUUUUUAUCUCUUAAAAAUUUAUUAUAUAACUUUUCAUAUGUUUUUUUUUUUCUAUUUUCAUUACUCUUUUUAUUAACUGAUAUAAGCUGUUUAUAAAAUUAGAUUGAUAUAUGAUCUAAAAAGGUUUUUAUUUUUUUGAAGGGAUAAGUAUCUUAGCUUAUAUAGAAAAUGAAGAAAUAAAAAUAUAACUUAUACAAAAAUGUUUAACUCUUUGAUUGUUUUGAUUUAUAAAAUAUUAAUUUUUAUUAGAUUUUUUAUCUAAAUCUCUCCUAAAUAGUAUUUCAUUUUUCGUCUCAUUAAGUUAAUAUACUUAUUAUUUUUUUAUGAACAUUUUGUUACUAAUCAAUUUUAGCAAAUUAAUAUACUUUUACAAGAAGCCAAUAUGCUUGGACUAUUUUAAUUUUUAAAAUAAUAAUAAAUUUUUAAUAUAUUAGUUAGAUACUAAAUUUAUUUUAAUAGUAUCUAUCGUUCGCAAAUCACGGGUUACUUCACUAGUUAAUAACUACUUCUCAGCUUCUAUCUCCUCGCUCUUCCUCUGCUCGAAGGAUUGCCCUAGCCUUCUCCGACUUCUUCUCUGCCAGCCCGCCAGCCUGCCUGAGCUCCUUCGGAACACCUCCCGUCGGACCCUUGUCGCCUAGCUUCCUCCUCUCCGCCUGCUGCUGCCAUUUAUUCUUCUCUUAGCUAGUAAAAUAACUACCUUCACUACUUCCCUUUUAACUACUCUACUCCUUUAUUCUUCAGGUUGUUACAGAGAAGGAAUUUUCACUUUUGCUGGUGGUAGACCCACCGGCCACAGAAUGCUGAUGGCAAAAGCGAACAGGGAAGAAGUUCGUUCCUUGCUGGCUAAAGGCCAUUCGACCUUUUUAAUUAUUCUGCAAUUCCCAUUCUAUUUCUUUUCACUCUUCAACCUUUUCUCUCUCUCUCUCUCUCUCAAUCCCUAAAACAUCUACUACAAGAGCUUCUUUGGUUGCAGAAAGACGCCGUCCAGAUCAGUUCACUGUAAGCUCUCAUCAAUUGAUAUAUAUGUCGCACUAUAUUAAAGAUCAAAAUACUUCUAGUUGUGUACGACACAUAUAAAUUAACUUCUAUUUUGUGAAUGACGUAUGUUGUAUAUCUAAUUAUUUCAGGUUCUUUCUCAAAAAAAAAAAAAAAAAAAAAAAUUUCAGGUUCUUGUCCGGAAUAUACCACCUGAUCCAGAUUAGUCCACCAGCGAGCUUGUUGAGCAUUUUUUCCUUGAAAAUCAUCCUGAUCACUAUCUCACUCAUCAGGUAGUUUGUUGCGAAAGGUUUGAUGAAUUUGUUGUAGGCAUAGAUGGAAAUUUAAUACGGUCAGUUUCAUAGUUCAGUAAAUUAGUUGUACCGAUGGGAAGUGAUGUAUCCUGCAAUUUUACAAGAAUGUCCAAAUUUUUUCUUUUGUUUUCAAUCAGAAUUCUGGUAUUUACCUUUUGUUUUCCAUUAGUUACUGGAAAGCUGGUAAAAGAGGGUACAUGUAGGCUACAAGAUUAAGAACAUCUGUGUUCUUUGUGCGGUGUGCUUUGUAGGUUGUUUAUAAAGCCAACAAACUUGCGAAACUGGUCAAAAAGAAGAAACAGAUGCAGAACUGGCUUGACUAUUAUCAACUGAAGUAUAAUAGAAAUCCGUCGAAGAGGCCAACUUGCAAGGUUUGCUCUAUUCUUCUUAAUGUCUUUGUUUUCAUUUCCAUUGUGAUGUUUCAAAUGAACGUAAUGUGUUAUUUUGGAAGAUUAAUAUUCUUCUUCUUUGCUUCUUUCAAACUGGUUUUCUAGGAUUAUGGGGCUCCACUGUGGAUGCAAUUGAAUUCUACAUAUCUGAAAUUUAAAAGCUAUCAAAAGAAGUAAGUGGUGCUCGUCUUACUUCGGUUCAACAUGUACUAUGUUCAAUAGUUAUCUUGCUCCUCCGCAAUUUGCAUUAGCGAAUUGCUACGCAAGUUGAUCAAAUUGAGUUAAGUUUUUGAUUAAUAAGGUUUGAGAUGAACUGGUCAUUCAUAGCUCGUAAGUUAAAUUUGGACUGCUAUAGGGCGAACGAGAUUUCAAACUCUUAAUUUAGCUUCUACUUCAACAGUAGUUUGAGUGUUUAUUGGUCAUGACCAAUUAUGUCUGCAACUUGAUUGCCUAAUUGCAGCUGUUGUCAUAAAUACGAGGAACUAGAACAUAUUUAUUGUGUUUCAUCUUAAAGUCUUAUACGAUGUCAACUUUCAGAUUGUACUUUAAAAGCUAAUAAUACAGGAGCAUAGAGUGGACCUUUUCUGUUCAAAUAGCCUUUUUUAAGAAAUCAGUUUUUUCCUUGAAAUUAUAUCAUAUAGGAAAGGCUCAGUGAGACUGCUUUAAGGUCGCAUGUAAUAUGUGUGUAACAUAGGCAGUACCAGAGGUUGUUUGUGCUUUUCGACCUAUGCAUCAUUUAGAUUUAGUUUAACAAGGUUUUUGGUGUUGAUUAAAUUUAAACUUUCAAACUAUCUCUAUUUAUCUGUUUGCCAUUGUAAAUAAUUAAAGUCUACUUGGACGAGUGCUUAAUGUUUUGCUGAUACAAUCUUACUUUUCGCUACUUUCUCUACUCUAAACAUAUAAUAAUUUUAUCUGUACUUCCAUUUUCAUGCAAAAUUUGUUGCUGUUUCUACGAUAAUUCUAUAUUUAGGAGGAGACAGAGCGUGAGAAUGUCAAAAAGGAUCCGAAGUCUGUUGUGCCAGCAGCAUUUGUUUCAUUCCGAACACGGUGGGGUGCAGCAGUUUGUGCUCAGACUCAGCAAACUCGAAAUCCUACACAAUGGUUGACUGAUUGGGCCCCAGAGCCUCGUGAUGUCUAUUGGCAGAAUCUUGCUAUUCCCUUUGUUUACCUCACAAUCAGAAGGUUGGUUGUUACAGUAGCACUCUUCUUUUUGACCUUCUUCUAUGUCAUCCCAAUAGCAUUUGUACAGUCUCUUGCUAAUAUCGAGGGAAUCGAGAAAGCUGCUCCGUUCCUAAAGAUAAUUAUUGAAAAGUGAGUUUAUUGCACUGCUUUAACUUUCUGAACUUAUGUUCAUGUCUCUUUUCCUCUUCUCUUGCCGUGUUUGCAAUUAUGGAUGAUAUAUUCUUUCGUCAAUUAUUCUGUUUUUUAAGAUAUUUUAACUAACAAUUUGAUGCCAAACAUGUGACAUAAAUUACACUAGUAAUGACAUUUAUGAAAUCCCUGAAGAAUAUUCAGAUGUCAAACAGCAAUAUUUGCAGUUGUUGCAACCCGAUCCUUUCUCUUUCUUGACAUAAUAGGAGAAAUUAUGGACUGCAUAUUCAUAUGCUAAAAAUAAUAAAAGGGAUAAAAGGAGGUCUAGAAUUUUAGUUAAUACUAAAAAGACUCGUAGAUAGCAUUAUCCAUGUACUUUGCAUUAAAUGCUGAUUUUGUGGAAUUUUUUUUUGGAACAUUCUUUUUUUUUUUUAAUCUUUGAUUAUAUGAAGUUUUUUCUUGCAAACCCUGAAAAUGACUACUAGUUCUAUAUUUUCUUAUGCAGGCGUGUUAUUAAAUCAUUUAUCCAGGGAUUUCUACCUGGUAUUGCUCUGAAGAUAUUCCUCAUACUGCUGCCAACCAUAUUAAUGUUCAUGUCCAAGUUUGAGGGAUAUACAUCCUUGUCUUCUCUUGAGCGGAAGUCUGCUGGAAAAUACUAUAUCUUCUUGUUUGUUAAUGUAUUUCUUUGCAGCAUCAUCACUGGGACUGCAUUAGGGCAACUAGAUAUAUUUAUUCACCAACCACCUAAUCAGUAUGUGUUUUUCCCCCUUUCCUGUCUGCUUGAUAAUAAAAGUAUCCAAAAAAAAUAGUUAAUCUUUUUGUUUCAGUUGUCUGGUUAUGUAUUCUUUUCAUCUAUCUAAAUUUAUUGUGAUCUAUUCUCUCAAUUUUUUGGGCUAUCGUGCAUUAGUUUUUACUUCAUAUAUUAGAAUAUUUUGUGCUUGUAUUUACUUAUCUAUUUGUCCACAUAUGCACGAAUAAGACACUUAUAAAUGCAUAACUUGCUAUGACCAUGCAAAUAGUAUUCUCUUCCAAGGAAAUAACAUACGUUGUCCAUUUAAUUCGAUUCCCAUUGGACAAGAUAUAGUAAGUCUCAAACUUCUAACAUUAGUAUGGCUUUCAAGUUUAAAAUCUUAGUGACCAUGUCAAUCAAUAGUACCAAUUGUCAGCAUGGCUUGUUUCGCAGCAUGUUCUGGGUCAAUACUCCAAAAUGGGGUGUAACCGAGCAACUAGAACCUUCUCAAAAUUAAGGACUAUCUGCCAAUAUCGAUAGGCCAUGUGAAACUAAUUUUGCAUUAUGCUAUUUCUGUAGAAUUUUUGCAAUGAUAUUUAAUCUUGCACUUCUUUAUUGCAAAAGGUCAGUUGUCUUCUUUCCAUUUUCUCGAGGAGGCAGUUGAAAUUGUUGUUUAUUCAUAGAAGCCAAUGUUUUUAAUUUGUUGUUUGUAAUUUGUAGUCUUUGAGCGUAAUAAUACGUUAGAAGCUAAAGGAACUUACAAUUAAAGUGUCUUUUGAUUAAUAACUUACUAUCUAUUCAUAAUUGAAUCUUACCAUGCUAUCACAAUCAGUUAAAUGAAAAUUUUGUGCUAUUAUUCAUUUGACACAUUAAAAGAUGUUAAGUAAAAAUUUAAAUUUCUUGUAUGUUUGGUUCUCUUUGUUAGGAUACCGAAGACAAUAGGUGCAUCAAUCCUGAUGAAAGCAACGUUCUUCAUUACUUUUAGGGAUAAUUGCCUAUAUACCCCUCGUAUGUUUGAAAAUAUUCGAUUUACCCCUACUUUUUUUUUCUUUCUAAAAUUUUCCUCAUAUGUUCCACCGUUAUUGCAAAAUACCUCUGCAGUUAUCUUCUGUUAAGUUAACCUGGGUUAAAUGUGAGUUAAAUAUCUACCACAGUUUAAAAAAAAUAAAAUGCCAAUUUUACCCUCAACUUAAGGGCAAAUAAGAAAGGUUGGUGACGGUAGAGGGGUAUAUUGUAAAAAAUCAAAAGUCAAAACACUUUUUGUGCCCUGACUUUAAGGGCAAAUAAGAAAAACAGUAAUGGUGGAAGGGUAUAUUUGAAAGGGCAAAAUAGUAAUUUUACAGAGAUAACAUAGUUACUUAACAGAUUUUAACUCUAAGGAUAUAUUAGAAAUAGGUUGGAACGUUAGAGGGUUAUUUUCAAUAUUAGCCUUCUAAGAGGGGUAAAUCGAAAAGUCGGGAACUUUUCGGGGGUAUAUAAGCAAUUGCCCCUUACUUUUAUAAUGGUUGAUGGAUGGGCCGGAAUAGCCGGAGAAGUUUUGAGAUUGAAGCCGUUGAUAAUCUUCCACUUGAAGAAUUUCUUCUUGGUGAAGACUGAAAAGGAUAGGGAAGAGGCUAUGGAUCCGGGAAGUAUUGGGUUCGACUCAUCUGAGCCACAAAUACAGCUGUACUUCUUGCUUGGUCUUGCCUAUGCCGUGGUCACGCCAUUCCUUCUACCUUUCAUCAUAAUUUUCUUCGGCCUUGCUUAUGUUGUUUUUCGUCAUCAGGUAUGCAACUCUCAUGUACUUCCACUUUGUAUAGGGUUGCUCUACGAAAUAGAAAUUUCACUUAUUAGGUCUCGGUUGGUACUGCUUCCAUUUUCUAAUUCUUGUAAACUCAAAUUCUAUGCGAUGGAUUGCGCCGGUAAAUGCACUUCUCCAUCUCUUCUAUUGUUAGUUUGCUUGCCAUGCACCGCUUACUCUUAGCGUAAACUGUGUUACAGAUUAUAAAUGUCUACAAUCAAGAAUAUGAGAGCGCCGCGGCAUUUUGGCCAAGCGUCCAUGGGCGCAUAAUCACAGCAUUGAUCAUAUCGCAGCUGCUCCUACUUGGGUUGUUAAGCACGAAGAAUGCUGCUCAGUCGACUCCUGUGCUCCUCGCCCUUCCGAUAUUAACUAUAUGGUUUCAUCUCUACUGCAAGAAUCGUUAUGAACCUGCUUUCGUGAAAUAUCCACUCCAGGUAAAUUUUUCUGGUGUUCCUGAACAUAAAUUUUUGCAUUAGACUCUAGUGUCAUUUGUUCUCUUUCAGUACUUGUUACUUUGCUUGAUUUACUUAAACUAGAACCUGUAUGUGACAAAUGGGAAAACCAUUAGAGUAGGAGUCGUAUAUUUGCAUGUUAGAUAUGUCAAGUAGCUUUGUGUGGAUCGUUGGCGCUAACCAUUGAUUGCAAAAACUCGAGCUGUUAUAAAAGGGACAAUCAAUUCACUUGAAGCAUAAGCGUCUUUAAGCCAACAAUGCCCCGCACCUGUACAAAUUUGCAGUAUGCGGGAAUCAAACUCGCAACAUUUUCUGAUACCACUUGUGGAUCGUUGAUGCUAACCAUUAAUUCCAAAAGCUUGGGUUGUUAGAACGGGGCAACCAAUUCACUUGAAGUGUGCAGACAUAGCAUUCACGGGUCUUUAUUGUGACUCGGCCCAAUCCGGCCUCCCGCCACUUCGAAUAUGAUUUGGCCCAACCCGGUCUCUGCCACGAGGCAGGAUGCUAAACUUUAAGUAACCGGAACAUUCAUGUUAUUCCUGUUGCAUUAUAAAAUUACUUGAUUCUUUAUAUUUUUAAAAUGGAAUUAAUACAAUUUAGACCCUCUUUGCGAACCAAAGAAGACAAAACUCAUAUUGAGUGUUAUUUAGAAGUAUGUAAAUACAUUUUUAUUGUUCUCAUUCUGAUAAUUUCUUCAUUCUAAUCUCCUUUUACAGGAAGCAAUGAUGAAGGACACCUUGGAGCGCGCGAGGGAGCCAAACCUAGACCUCAAAGCCUACUUAUCGAACGCUUAUAUUCACCCCGUGUUCAAAGGUGCCGAAGAGGAUGCAAUAGAAGCAUGUGUAUAUUUCUAUGUAGAUUAAGAGGUGAGAAACGAAUGGUCUUUUUUUUUUUCUUUGGUAACUUUACAUAUGCAGUAAGAAUGAGUCUUUUGAUGUGUUAUGGAACUUAUUUUUGAAAUGUUUUCACAGGAUGAGAGAGAGAGAGAGAGAGAGAGAGAGAGAGAGAGAGAAUGCCAAAAUGUUGAACAGGUUCAAAUGAUGAACUUGUUUUCAAUUCUCUGGAGUCACUGCUCUUAAAAAAAAAAAAAAAAAAAAAGAAAUUCAGAAAAAAUGAAUGUAGACCCCUCAACUUUUAAGCCAUUUUAAAAUACCUCCUCUAAAGUUAUUUUAUUUAUUUUUUUCAUUGGUACCGCCUCAACUUUCAAUUUGUUUGAUUUAAAUUGUUCCCGUUAAUUGAAAUGGAGAUUUUGUUAAAAUAAACUGCUCUAUCAGCUUUGAAUUUGACAGAAUCAUCAUUAAUUCAACAAAAUAUCAGUUUAAUUUACUUAAACAUAAUUUAAAAUAAAUAAAUAAAAGAUAAAUUUUAAGGGUCCUAUUUCAAAAUGCCCUGUAGCAUAGGGACCGAGUAUAUAUACAUUUUUACCAAUAACUUUUUGCACCCACCUAUGAGCUUCUAGAGCUAAUUAACAUUUGAAGUGUACCUCCUUAACAAAAUGAGUUAAAUAUAGAAUUAUAAUGCAUCUGCAACUUGUUAUUUUUUUUUUCUCAGUUCUCUCUUGAAGAAUAAAAAGAUGUUGAGCUUUUGCUUGUGGUAAUUGAUGCAGAUUAUAUAAUUGGAGGUUAAAAUAAAGGUAUUGCAGUGCCGAAAAUUUAUGAAAUUGGAUUUCUACAGCGUUCAAAUAUUCAAAAUCAUAUUUACUUGUAUGGAUCGUCAAAUUGAAUGUGUAAGUAUCAAAAAAAUAAGACUCUUGCAAAAUAUGUAUAAUUGUAAACCUCAAUUAUGCACCCUAUUGUUUUUAAAAUAUUAAUAUUCGAUUUUCUCUUCAUCAUAAAUGUUGGUUUAAAUGGGCCCGAAACUUGACGAAUGCUUUUGUAAUUAAAAUACACAUAAAAAUAUCGUUAACAAAGAGUUUAGCUACACUGUCAAAAUCUCAGCCCUUACAAAAACCCAUUAAACUACAUGAUGCAUGUAGUGGAAAAAUCCUAAACAUAGCAGCCCACGACACACAAAUCUUGGAAUAGCAUCAUAGAUAAAAGGAUUAGUAGUAGCUGAUUAUAUUAGAAACAUUUCUACAUAUAGUGCUGAAGAAAUGUAUAAAUAUUUAGAAACAUACUUAUAUAGGAGAAUCAACUAAAGCCAUGUGGGAAUAAUUUAAAACUCAAUGUGAAGAAGAAUUUAAUCAUAUGAUUGCUUUAGGAUGUAAUCCAUGUAACUUCACUAAUAAAGUACAUGCCUUAAUAACAGGACAAGACCCAAAUUCAGGACAAAUAGGAUUACAAAAUAAUGCCAUAAUAAAUUUAGAACAAUUAAGUAUUUACAAUUGGGUACAUAUUAAAAUAUUUUUAAGUGAUUAUUACUAUUAUUCUAGUAUUAGUGGAAAUACAUUUAAUCCAGAUAUACGUAGAAAAUUAUUUCUUAAAUUACCAGGAGUUUUAGGAAGAGAAAUUCAGAACUAAUGGGAAAAUAUGGACGUACAUAAACUUAAUCCUAAUACUUUAUGGUCUAUAGGUCAAAGAAUUCAAUUUAUAAUGACCAUAUAUAUUACAAGAAAAAUGUGCAAAUAUCCAAAUACAGAAACAACUAAAUGAGUAUUCUUUUUGCAAAGACAUAAUUUAUACUCCACAACAAUAUGAUAAACUACCCUCUCAGUCAUCCCAAUGAUACUAUCCUAAACAACAACAUAAAUUCAAGAAAAUCCAUGUGAGGCUACUAUGCUUCUGGAAGCACGGAGCCUUCCGCGCGUGCUUCCAGAUCGUUUUCGAUGUUGCGACUUUCGUAUCGUCGAUCGGCUCCGUUAAACUUGAUUUAGAGUAUUUGAAGUAUCUAGAAAAUAAAUUUUAUGAUUUUUCGAUAUCAUUUGCCUAGUGAUCGAAGGGGCUCAAAAUCAACUAAUUUUAAUGACUAUAGUGAACUAUUUGCAAGUUUAACGGUGUAGAAAUAUACAAAUCACAUAAAAUUUUGAUAGAAAAUUUUUUAUACUAUAUAAAAUAAGAUCAAUAUCUUUGAUCUAAAAUUUUAAUGUCAUAUUAUCACGUUUUGUAAGAUUUUUAUUUUCAGCCGUUGUUUUUGAGCCCCUUCAUUCACUAGGCAAAUAAUAUCGAAAGAUCGCAUAAUUUAUUUUCUAAGUACUUCAAAUACUCUAGAUCAAGUUUAACCGAGCCGAUCAACGAUUUGAAAGUCGCAACAUAAAAAAUGACCUCGAAGCACGGACGGCUCCGUGCUAAAAUCUUAUUUAAACAAAGAUAAACAUGUUCACAAAUUUAGGGGGGAUAAGACAUAUAAGAAUAAACUCCAUUGCUUUACUUGUGGAAGUACAUAACAUUUUGUGAACACAUGUCCAAAAAGAAUGAAUAAAAGAGAUAGAAAUGCAUUAGUAGUAGAAGAAACCCAAGAAAAUCUAUUAGCAGUGGAUGAGUAUAUAUCUGAUACAGAAUCCAUAUAUUCUAUUAUAAUUAAGUAUAGAUACUUAUAAUGAUGAAAAUUCUUCAGACGAAGAAGAACAAAAUGAUUUUAUAAUUGAGAUAGCUGAAAAUCAGAAUUUAAUACAAUUUGAUGCAUUGCAACAUUUAAAUUUUAUCCAUCUAACAUUAGUGAACAUUGUGAGACCCCGAAUAGUCUUAUAUAUAAGAUAUAAUAUGGUUAAAAUUCUUAACCCGGCUUAAACAUUUUAGAUGGUAGCGUGGCCCAAGAGGAUAAGAGAGUUAAGCGUGCUAGGACGGGAGUAGUCCUAGAAUAGGUGAUUCUAUAAAAAAUUGGAACGUCACAGUUGGUAUCAGAGCAAAUUACCAGCCGAAAGUGUGAAAUCAGUAUCGGUUGAGCCUGGGAGGCUUAAAGGGGGGGAUUGUGUGACCCCGAAUAGUCUUAUAUAUAAUAUAUAAUAAGGCUAGAACUCUUAACCCGGUUUAAGCAUUUUGGAUGGCAGUGUGGCCCAAGAGGAUAAGAAAGUUAAGCGUGCUAAGACGGGAGUAGUCCUCACAUGGGCGACCCCCUGGGAAGUCGGGGCGUCACAGUUAUAAACUGUAGUCAUAAUAAAAAAGAUGAAAAAAUAAGUUCUACAAGACGAUGAGUAAAAAUAUAAUUUUUUCCCAGAUCAAUUGAGCAGAGGAAUUCUAGGAUAUGGUUUUACUAAUUACAAUCUUCAAAGUGUUUCAGAACAAAAUAUAAUCAAGCAAAAUAAUACAACAAUCCAAUUAAUAUUAGAUCUCCGUAAAAAAUUAGGUUCAUACGGAGUCUUAAUUAUACAACAAGCAUCUAUAAUUAAAAACUACUUAACGAUGGAGCUGAUAGAAGAGUGUAGAUGUUUUCGGCGAUGCCUGGGGUGGUCUUGUGAUUUUUUCUUGAGCUGUAGUAAAGUUUUCCAUGAUUGGAAGGAACUGUAUGCUUUUGAUGAUUGGUCCUUUUGCUACUGUUUGCUUUUGAUGACUUGUGUCGCCUUUGCCUUUAAUAAUUGAAGAUGCUCGAUCGGGUCACACGGGGUGGUUUUAGUUAUCCCCUAAUUUUUGCCUGUAAGUUAUUUCUUGUGGCGGGGGUGAGUAAUUAUGUAUCUUUUAUAGUUCUAUAGUUGCUAUCAGUUUUUUAGAUUUUGGAUAAACUCUUUUCAUUAUUUUUAAUCAUUAGAUUAAAUACUAUAACCCAAUGGAGACCACUCAACCCUAGGGGGACCACUCAACUCUAACCGACUAAUAUCAUCCUGAUCCUACAAUUUUUAAUCCAAGGGUUAAAAACUUGAUAGCAAAAAGAGUGUUUUACUAUUAAUAGUAUUUCAGCCUAAUUCUAUAUAUAUAUAUAUAUAUAUAUAUAUAUAUAUAUAUAUAUAUAUAUAUAUAUAUAUGUAUAUAAAAUAUNAAAUAUACACAUCACUUUGAAAUAUAUAAAUAGCAUUGUUUUUUUUUAUAUAUAUAUAUAUAUAUAUAUAUAUAUAUAUAUAUAUAUAGUUGAGCUAGAAUACUAUCAAUAGCAAACCGGCAUUUUUGCCACCCAUUUGUUCUCGAUGAUGGAGCCUCCAAAUCGACAAUCAGCAUCGUUGAACAUGAUCUAUACCACUUGAAGUGUUUAUAAAUCAAAUUUCAAAUUUUUUCGACAUCAUUUGCCUAAUGAUCGAAGGGUUUCAAAAAUUGUAAUUUUAAUGGUCGAUAUAAGACAUUUUCUCGUUUAACGGUGUAAAGAUAUCCAAAUCAAUUAAAUUUUUGUUAGAAAAUUUUUUAAACUAUUUAAAAUAAGAUCUAUACUCUUGAUCUUGAUUACAAGACUCAUAUAAUCAAUUUUUUAAGAAUAUUCAUUUUCAGCCGUUCAUUUUUAUGUUCACUCGAUGGAUAAGAGAGCAAUAUCGAAAAUGUAUGAAAUUUGAUUUCUAAAUACUUCAAAUAGUAUAGAUCAUGUUCAACGUGCCGAUCAUCAAUUUGGAGGCUCUAUCAUCGAAAACAAAUGAGUAGCAAAAGUGUCGGUUUGCUAUCGAUAGUAUUCUAGCUCAACUCUCUCUCUCUCUCUCUCUCUCUCUCUCUCUCUAUAUAUAUAUAUAUAGAGAGAGAGAGAGAGAGAGAGAGAGAGAGAGUGGUAUACUAUCAGGGUAAGCACAGAGUCCUCCGUGCCUCCUGAAGUUGUUUUGUCUCAAAUUAACAAUUUUAAUGGUAGAUGUACUUGUUUGUUGAAUUUAACGUGGUGUUAAAACAAUCGAAAUUUUUAUAGAAAAUUCUUUUCACUAUUUAGAGUAAAAUCAUUACCUCAGAUCUUAAAUUCAAGUUUUUUAUCAUCAUGUUUUAUGAGAUUUUUAUUUUCAGCAGUUCAUUUUUAAACUACUCGUUUGAUAGGUAAUUGAUACCGAAAAAUAUAAAAUUUAGUUUCCAAAUACUUUCAAUAGUGUAGAUCAAGUCUAACGAAACCGAUCGUGGAUUUAGAAGCCGCAUCAUUGAAAACAACUUGGUAGCAUAGAGGCCUCCGUGCUACCAAUAAUAUACCAGCCUAGCUCAUAUAUAUAUAUGUAUGUAUAUAUAUAUAUAUAUAUAUAUAUAUAUAUAUAUAUAUUGUAGAGCUACUAUAUUAUCGGAAGCAUAGAGGAUCAAGCAUUAUAUAUAGUAUAUUGACUGAGAGCGUAAACGAUGGUGCACGGUCGAGUAUAUUUUGAAUCUUUGAUUUUUCUGACAGAUAUAAUUUUGUAUUCCAUCUUUGACGUUAAUGAAAUUUUGCUUUGUUUUCGUCCGUGAAUGUAGAUUAGUAGUUGAACUACGUAAAUCUUAGUAUGUUCUUUUCUUUGUUUUUUUUUCGGAUCUGUUUUUUGCCGUUUGGCUUCAACAACACCUCACCAUCGAAAGUUCCCAGCUGCAGGAGAAGGAAUCUUCACUUUUGCUGGUGGUAGACCCACCGGCCACAGAAUACUGAUGGCAAAGGCGAAGAGAGAAGAAGUUCCUUGGUGGCUAGCUAAAGGCUAUUCGACCUUUAAUUAUUCUGCUUCCCAUUCGAUUUCUUUUCACUCUUCAACCUUAUCUCUCUCUCUCUCUCUCUCUCUCUCUCUCUCUCCCUAAAACAUCUACUUCAAGAGCUUCUUUGGUUGCAGUAUUUUCUCUAGUUAAACUUGAGAUUAAUUAUUUUGGAGCAGCUCCCUCUUCAAUCUCCUUUUCGGAUCUGUGGUUAGUUGUGCUUCUUCUACUUACUCUUUUAAUUCAUUUCUUGAGUUCCAAGGGUUCUUGUUUUUUAUUCUCUUUGCUAUGAUCAGCUGGCUUAAUUCUUUAAAGCACACAAGAGUAUAUAUAGUAUGUCUUUGUUGAUUAAUAUAUUGGUCGGAUUCACUUAAUGAUGCAUUGUAAACAAGAUGACAAGAGAUAAUAAUUGAGGUAGAAUAAUUUGGCCUUCUAUUGUACUUUCACUUUAUUGUUGAUGAUUGAGCAUCUAAAUCGAUGAUUAAUAUCAUGUAAGAUGUUUAAGGGUCAUAAACUUUCUAGAAAAAGAAUUUUACAAUUUUUCUUUAAUUAUUUUCUGGCUCAUCAAGUGGGCACAAUAUGAUUGGUCAAUAUUACCAACCUUUGGAAAAUAUUUUUUUUAAAAAAAAUCUUAAAUUCACAAUCCUGGUUGUAGGUUUUGAUCUAUAGUUGAGAGAAUUUUAUUUAUUAUCAAAAGCUCAAGUAAUUUGGAAUUUUUUUUUUUUAGAAAAAAGUAGCAUGCUACCGCUUCAUUCAACUAGAAAGUAAACUUAGCUACAAAUUGAGACAGCCAAGACCUCGAAGGGCAUUAAAAAAAAAAAAAAAAAAAAAAAAAGCACUAGGCCCAAGAGAUAAAGAAAAAAAGGAAAGACAAAAGGAAAAACAAUGCAAAUUAGCUACAUGAACAAUCCCACGAGUCUCUAAGCACUCUGAUCUUCAUUAACAAGCUCCCCAACGCCCGUCUUAAUUUCUGAAAAAUUCUUUUGUUAUGCUCCAACCAUAGAACCCACCACGUUGUAGCAAUGAUCAACAUUUCUUUAUCCCCCUGUGCAUCCCUUUUGGUACUGCUCUUUUUCUAUAGCUCCGUUACGGAUUGACGAUCAUUAAAGAGCAGUUUAUAAGAUAGCAAUCCUUUCAGUAAAGCUGUGGUGUAGGCGCAGGCAGAGAAGAGAUGAUCCAUAGUCUCCUUCUCAUCCAGACAUAAAACGCAACUCUCAUCUCCAAACCAAUCCGGCCCUUUUUAGAAGGUUGUCCGUGGUAAGCACCUUUUUUUUCAGCACCAGGCAGACGAAGAUCUUGACUUUAAGAGGGGAUCUGAUCUUCCAAAGACGUACCGAACUCUCAAUUUUGACUCCACCGUCUAGAAGAAAUUUAUAUACCGAUCUGACCGAGAAUGUUUUGGAUUGUGUCCACCUCCAUCUUACUUCGUCCUAUGUGUUACUUGGAGAAGUUGUAGCAAGUAACUCCUUGAAGUUCGAAAGUUGGUCUCUAUCUCUUGGGGACGAAGGGGUGAAUCCCGACAAAAUCUUAUGCCACUUCCACCCAUUCCUUCCCCAACCCUCCUUCACUCUUGAGUUUUUGGAAAUGAUCUUAUCAAAGAUACACGGAUAUAAAGUUCGCAGUGGAGCUCGUUCGCACUAGAUAUCAGUCCAGAACUUAACAAUUUGACCGUUCCCAAUAGUGUACGAGAUGCCACAUUUAAAAACCUCCCUGGUCGUUAGAACACUCUUCCACCAAAAAGAAUAGGGUUUGAAUGACCUACCUUCCGCAAGUAGUUUCCGUCGUAUAUAGUAAAGUCCGUCUAUUAGUCCACCCCAUAGAUGAUUCCUGUUAGAGAAGAACCUCCACCACCAUUUGGUCAAUAAGGCUACAUUCAUGGUCGCUAGGUCUUUUACCCCUAAACCGCCUCAUUUUACUUAUGCAAAUUGAUUUCCACUGAACUAGGCAGUGUCCGCCUAUAGUAAUUGUACUCCUCCGCCAGAAAAAAGCCCUUCUCAUGGCUUCUAGAUGAUGCAAGACCCACUUUGGUGCCUUGAAGAUCAAGAAGUAGUAAAGCGGUAGAUUCGAUAGCACUAAGUUCACGAGGACUAAUCUACCUCCUUGUGAUAGUAGUUUAGCUUGCCACUCUUCGAUCCGCCUCUCCAUUUUGCCGAUGAUAGGCCACCAGUCCUCUUUCUUUAGACGGUUCGUCGUUAAAGGUAAGCCGAGAUACUUAAUUGGGAAAGAUCCAAAUUUACACCCUAAUAGAAUCGCGAGUCUCCUACCGAGUCGUUCGUUCCGGCCCAUAUAGAAUAAUUCUAACUUCUGUCGAUUAAUUUUCAAUCCAGACGCUCACUCAAAAAUUUGCCACGAGAAGAGAAGAUUUUUCACUUGUCUUUUCUGUGCCCCACAGAAGAAGACGGUGUCAUCUGCAUAUUGGAUGAUAGCUACUUUAGUCUUAUCAUUGGGUCCUACGCCUCUCAACAGUUCAUUACGAACUGCUCUUUCUGUCAUUCUCGCUAAGCCUUCCGCCACCAACAAGAAGAGGUAAGAGGAUAACGGGUCCCCUGCCGCAAGCCCCUUCUAGUUUUUAUCCAUUUAGUUGGUGAUUCGUUAAUCAGCACCACCACCUUGGCAUUGGAGAUACAUUGUUCAAUCCAAAAGCACCACUUUUGGUUCACCCCGAGCUGUGUAAAGAUCUUUUUCAGAAAAUUCCAUCUCACUUUAUCAUAGGCCUUUUUCGAAGUAAGCUUUAAUACCUACACUUUCCGCACCUGUUUUUGAACACCAGUUUGUAAUUUCGUUGGCUGUAGCGAAAGAAUCGAGAAUGAACCGAUCUUUGAUAAAGGCUGACUGUGAUGGGGAAAUAAUGUCUUGCAUUGCCCCUGCUAAUCUAUUGGCAGGUACCUUAGAUAUGAUUUUCUGAACACUGUUAAUGAGGCUGAUAGGUCGGAAAUCAUUUGCCGUUGAAGAGCCCUCUUUCUUAGGAAUAAGACAGAUGUAGGAGUAAUCCAUUGGUCCAGAGUCGAAGUUGCAUAGAAACAAGUUAGUGAAGAUAUUGAACAAAUCCUCUUUGACCACCUCCCAGAAUUUCUGGAAAAUUCUCAUAUUGAACCCGUUCGGCCCCGGGGCUUUGUCACCACCGAGCUGAAAAGUGGCCUUCUUGAUCUCUUCUAAGGAGAACGACAUAAUCAAAUGGUCUAGGUUAGGUAAAGGUCUAGUCGUGAAUAGGCUACUCCAGUCCCCAGUCGUAGGAUUGUGUAUCGUAUCCGGGGUGAAGACUUCUUUGAAUUUAGAGUAAAAAUACUCCUUUUUAUCUUCUUCUCUGUGAAUGGUCCUACCAUCGUCUACAACCGUAUGGAUGAAAUUUUCAUGUCUCCUGCCAUUUGCUAGUGCGUGACAGAACUUGGUGUUACCAUCUCCCUCUUUCAGCCAUUGUUGUCUGGCUCUUGAUUUCCACAUAAUCUCUUCCUCGACAAUUCCAUCCCGAAGUUGUGCCUUGAGUAGCCGUCGCUGUUCAAUCUGUUCAUGGGAAAGCGAACAACUUUCUUCAAGAAGAUCCAGAUUGUGGAUCUCUUCAGCCUUUUCAAGGAUCUAGAAAUACUAUAAUAACUCAAGGAAUACUAUUCUUUAAUUCUCUUACGACAAUGUCUUAGCUUAGCGACAAAAGUAAGAACGCUAGACGCUUUAUUCGACACCUCCUUCCACCAAAUGGGCACAAGACUGCAAAAGUCCUGUCUCCUAAGCCGGACCUCUUCAAAUCGGAAGAAACAUAUACUCACCUUAUCACCAGUUGAUAGGAGGAUAGGACUGUGGUCAGAUGUGACUCUUGGUACAGCGACUACCUGAGUCAAAGGAAAGGCUUGAUCCCAUCGGUGAAAAUAAGGAAACGAUCAAGCUUCGCAAGGGUGGGACUAUAGUUUGCAUAUUGGACCAAGUAAAAUUUUGAUUGGCCAUAGGUAGGUCGAUCAGCUCCAAAGUAUUUAUCAGGUCGUUGAACAUAGUCGAAAGCCGUCUGCUCCAUGCUCGACCCUUACGCUCAAUCGGAUUUCUGAUUAGAUUGAAGUCCCCACAGAUCGCCCAAACCUCUCUGCACGCUCCCUUAAGCGCUUUUAGCUCAUUGCAGAAAUCCUCUUUCCCUUCUCACGAAGAAGGACCGUAUACAUUCGUUACGAGGAAAAUAGUCCCACUGUCCAAGUGCUUCAACCGAGUAGUAAGAGAGUAGUCGCGAACGAUAACCUCACAACAAGAAAAAAUUCUUGAACUCCAACAAGUAAUGAUUCCUCCAGCUGCUCCAUUUGAAUUAAUGAACUGACAUUUAUCAAAAUAAGAUCCAGCAAACGAUGAAAGAAAAGAGCGCGAGACAUCCUCCACUUUGAUUCUUGAAAACAUAACACAGACUUCUUAAACUUAGACACUACCGACUUCACAAGACAUCUUUUAUUUCGGUUGUUCAGACCUCUAACGUUCCAACAGCACAGCUAAAACAUGACACCCUAAGAGACCGCCGACUUCACAAUAGCGUCCAACUCACCAAAGACUACCUAAUGGGUAACGCACUGGAACUUCAGAAGGCUGCCAGCCUCCUCGUCGGUGAGGGAAAUUCAGCACUUGGCACUUUUGGUCUUUAUUUUAUUGAGCUUCCUUGUACCAGGACCCGCAAGUGUGGCUUUUUUCAUCGACCCCUUCUGCAACUUGCGCGAAGGGCUUGCGUAAAUUGAUACUUCUCCUUCCCUCAAGAGUGCUUUGCGUGAUAUAGCCCGCUCCAAAGAGAGAAUAUUAUCCCUGCCAGAGAAACGAGCGCUCUUUCUGGUGGUACUGGUGGACACCGUCGAGCUUGCUUUUCCUUGGUUCAAAUCCGCUUCGAAUCCAUCGGUAAGGGCCGUGAUGUGGUCAGCAUAUCCUAUUGUACAAGCCCCGUCAUCUGUCAGUAUAUUGUCGGGACCGUUGGUCGUCCAUUCCGCAAUGCAGUCCAUAGCCUAGUUAGUAAAUUCGCGAAUUAUUCGCGAAUCCGAAUUAAACGGUCAUUUUACAAAUUUUUUCCAAAGAAAAAGAAUUAUUCGCGAAUUUUUGGGCCAACCAAAUAAUGGCGUAUAAUUCCCGAAUAAUUGCCGAAUUAUUUGAAAAUAUGAAUAAAAAAUUAUAAUUUUUUUAAAAUAUAAAUUAUCUUAUAUUUUAUAUCUUAUAUUUUAUAUUUUAUAUCGAAUCCGUAUUUUAAGCCGAAUUUUUCGGCGAAUUUAAAAAUUAGAAAACGAAUUUUAUGCGUAUAAUAUCCGUACUGAAUUUUUAUCUAAUCCGAAUUAACUAACUAUGGUCCAGAGUAGUUCCCGCCUGUGGAUCAGUCCGCGCAGGGUUGCCGUGAGCGAAUAGGCCCAAAAACUGGAACUGUGACACUUCUUCAAGAGGUAGGCCGGUUCGUCCCCCCCCAAUCAGAAUAGACAUGGGUCUGGGUGGACUGUAAUCAAGGGGAUGUAGCCCGAAACAUAAGGCCCCCCAUUUGACGGGACUUUGACACAGCCCAUGGGAGUUAGGAGAACUGAUUGGGCGACAUCAGGCCUGAGCAAACUGAAGGCCCGCCAGUACCCAAGGUAGGAUUGAGCAUAGUCAGUAGGAUUGAGCAUAGUCAGGCCAUGGGUCGAGUACCCAAUUUUGGCCCGUAUAAUACUUCUCGAAUCUGCCUUAGCCUGCGAAGUGCGAAGACAUCACGGUCGAAACCCUUAGAUGAACCCGAGGACUCCCCUACUUCAAAGCUUCGAAGCAUGCUUCGUGAGGGUUUGCAAUUAAACAAGAAGAAACUGCCUCGCUUUUCUUUCUUCUUUUUUUUUUUUUUGAGAGAUAGACAGCACGCUACCUGCUUUGUUUACUUCAUUUAGAUAAAAAAACUUAGCUAGAAAUGUGAAUCAACUAGGAUUCGAACUUUGAUCUCGGGUACCAACCACCAAGCCCUUUGCCACUUGCUCUAGGGACGGUCGGUAAACUGUCUUGCUUUUACUUGUUAAAUUAUCAAUUUUGAGAUCAUUUGAUCACUAGGUAAUAAUAUCAACUAAAAUAAUAAUAAUAAUAAUAGUUUGUAAAGCAUGCAAAUAUUUUAGAUUAUAUUUAACAGGGUUUUUUUUGCAUAUAGUCCCCUGGCAAAUUUUUAUUUUAAAAAUAGCCCUCUUAAAAUUUAAUUUGCAAAAUGACCCUGGGCCUGCCACGCAGGCGCCACGUCAGCGCCACGCUAGUGGGGUCAGGGCCAAUGUGUUAAGUUAAACACGGUAAACCAUUCACCGUGUUUAGACACGGUUCACCGUGUUUCUUACGUAUAUUUUGUAUAUUGAAAAGAGGAAUAGGGAGUACCCACGGUUCACCGUGUUUCUUACGUAUAUAUAUAUAUAAUUUAUUCGGUUUUGGGUUCGGAUAAUAUUUCGGAUAUCCAUAUCUAUUGACAUCCCUACUCCCUAUUCCUCUUUUCAAGAUACAAAAUAUACAUACUAAACACAGUAAACCAUUCACCGUGUUUAGACACGGCGAAUGGUUGACCGUGUUUAACUUAACAUAUUGUCUUUGGCCCCGCCCGCGUGGCGCUGACGUGGCGCCUGUAUGGCAGGCCCAGGGCCAUUUUUGUAAAUUAAAUUUUGACAGGGCUAUUUUUAAAAUAAAAAUUUGUCAGGGGGUUAAAUGCAAAAAAAGCCCUAUUUAACAGUAUAAAAUGUUUAUUUAAAUGCCCUAUCAUUAAAAAAAAAUAAUAAAAAAGUAUGAAAGUCAUUUCAUGCCGAGAAAUUAAUAUUUCCGCUGAACUAUCGAAGUUAAUGUUUAUUUCGAAAAAAAACAUCAGUUGAUGUUAAAACUUGUAAUAAAAAACUUUUAUAAAUUGCAGCACAAAUCGAAGAAGUUGAAAUAGAACUUGUUAGAUUCUGGUCUGAUGAUAGGCAGUAUGAAUGUCGAGGCAACAAAAUUUAACGCAUAAGAAAUACGGGAAUUCAUGUGUCUAAAAUUAAGUUCUAUAUUUCCAUCACUAAUAGUUUCUUGCUCAAAUGACUUAAAAGUCCUGAUAAUAACUUAAUUGUGAACAAGAAGAGGGCUUCAAAGAAAACUCGAUUUAUAAUUGUUAAUUGUAGAAUAAUUUACAAUCACUCUUAAAACAAUUCCCUCUACUCUCAGUGACUAGCAGCAGAUUCAUUUGUUUUUCAACUCUUAUUUUAUUGAUUUCAUACUCCUCUAGAGGACUUUUCGAUAUCUUGCUGUACAAAUAUAUAUUGAGGUUAUAUAUAGGAGUUUAGUUAUGACUAGUUAUGAUGAAUCUUUUUAUCUCAAAAAUUUGUUUAACUGAUCCUGAAACAACUUAUUGCCUUUUAUUCUUGCAAACAACAAUUUUGUUAUUUGCGUUCCUUCUUUUUAACCGAGGAUUCUAACAAAUGUUUGUUUAGUGCAUUAAAGAGUUAUUCUGCAUGAGACAAUGACAUGGUCUUUACAAAAAUUGCUUGAAAUCGUACAAGCGUUAAAAAAAAAAUCAUAUUCGCGAGUGGUACAUUUGAAGAGACAUGGUAAUUUGAAAAGAUAUUUUAUGUCAGGCUCACUUCGGCGCAAGUGCCCAUGGCGGAGGCGGCGAUAAGCUCAUUAGUCCUGAAUAUCGGUGCGACCUUAGCUAGUGAAGCAACUAAAUCAACAACAUCACUAUUACUAACACGGAUAUCAGCAAUGAAAGAACUAGUCGAGGAUAUAAGUGACAUUAAGGGUGAGCUUGAGAGCAUGCUAUCCUUCCUACGGAUCGCAGAAAGAUUAAAACAGAAGGAUGAGAGCACAAAAACCUUCAUAAAACAAACAAGAGACUUGGCUUUCGACAUUGAGGAUAUUAUAGAUGAGUUCACAUACAAGCUCUGUGAAGAGCAAGGAGGGGUCCUGCCUAAAACAGUCAAGAGGUGCAGAAAUGUAACAACUUGGCGUCGCCUUAGCAAAAGGCUUAACAAAAUCAAAAUUAAGCUCCGAAACAUUAAGGAAAGAAGAGAGCGAUAUGAUACGAGCAGAAUGGAAAAUGAAGCAAGAUCUUUAAUAGCUGCUGGCAGUAGCAAGAGCCCCGCAGAUUUAGCACAUUUUGUCGAGGAGGAUGAUAUCGUGGGUAUUGACAAGUACAAGGACUUGUUGCUUGGAUGGUUAAAAGAUGAGGAUGAGCAACAACGACAGCCCAUGAUAAUCUCAGUGUUGGGGAUGGGUGGCCUAGGGAAGACAACUCUCGUAACUCAUGUGUACAAAACCAUCAAAGCUACCUUUGAUGUUUGUGCCUGGGUUGCUGUAUCUCAAAGUUAUGAGACUCGUGAUUUGCUUAGACAGAUCUUAAAAGAGUUCUGUAGGGAAGAUCGUGAGAAAAGAGAAGCACCUAACAACAUUAAUACCAUGGAUUAUAGAAGCUUGGUUGAGACUAUCCGCACUUAUUUGCAGUGUAAAAAGUAUGUACUCAUUCUGGAUGAUGUUUGGAGUAUUGAUGUACUGGACAAUAUAAAAGCUGCACUUCAGAAUAGUAAUAGCAAGAGUAGAAUAGUUCUCACAACAAGGAUUCGCGAUGUAGCUCUAUUAGCUAACGAGCACCGUAUGUUUGAGCUAGAGCCACUGGAGGCAGAUGAUUCGUGGGAUCUAUUUUGUAAAAACGCAUUUUGGAAAAGUGCAAACAAGAUUUGCCCACCGCCUUUAGAACAAUGUGCUAAAAAAAUUGUCGAGAAGUGCGGUGGCUUGCCCCUUGCUAUCGUAUCUAUAGCCCGUCUCUUAUCAUUUCGAGAACAAACCGGUUUUGAAUGGGAGAAGGUUUACAAAGAUCUUGAGUGGUAUCUAACUAACAACGAAUCGAAGCUCCAUGAAAAAGUACAUGACAUUUUGAAACUUAGUUUGGACGAUCUUCCCCAUUACCUUCGAAAUUGCUUCUUAUAUUGUUCUAGUUUUCCGGAAGAUUAUACAAUUGAAAGUAACAGGCUCAUAAGGCUUUGGGUGGCCGAGGGGUUCAUUGAAGAAAGAGAAAGAACGAUGGAGGAAGUGGCUGAGGACUACCUUAACGAACUUGUUCAUCGCUGUCUACUACAAGUGGCUGAGAGGAACGACGUCGGUGGAGUUUGUGCAUGCGAAUGCACGACAUCAUUCGAGUCCUCGCUCUAUCAGAGUCAAAGGAGUUAAGUUUCUGCAUGGUUUACGAGCAUUCACGGACAAUAUUGCAGGGAUCCAAAGCACGCCGCUUAUCAGUCGUAAGCAAUAUAACUAAUUAUCGUACUGAAGAUGAAUCUCAUUUGCGUUCAGUGCUUGUUUUCAACAAUUCCACGAACUAUGAUUUACUGCAGUCGGUCUUAAGAUCAUCAAAAUUUUUACGUGUCUUAGAACUAGAAGGAGCGCUAAUCGAGAAACUACCGAGUGAGAUCUGUAACCUAUUCAACCUGCAUUAUCUAGGCUUGCAAGAAACGAAAAUUAAGGAGCUUCCACAAUCAAUCGGGAAGCUACGAAAUCUGCAAAUAUUAGAUAUAUUUGGAAGUGAAAUAGAAAAGCUGCCAAAGGAAAUAACAAAGCUCCAAAAGUUGAGACAUCUAGUUUUGCCCUACAGUUUGCGUAAGAACAUCACGGCACUGGUGGGAAUAUGGCGGUUGAAGGGCUUGCAGAGUUUGGCAAACAUUAGUGCAACUAGGAAGAUUGUGCGGAAUGUAGAAGCUUUGACAGAAUUGCGGACAUUUUCAAUAACCAGCGUAAGAACCCAUCACUGUGCAGACUUGUGGAAUAGUAUCACAAAGAUGAACCAUCUUAUCGAUUUAAAUGUCGAAAGUGAAGAUAGGCAAGAAUUACAGCAGUUGGGCACCCUGCGCCUACCUCUACCAAUUCAACAAUUACGUCUACAUGGUAAAUUAGACAAAAACUCACUCCCUGAGCUUGCCACGUCCUUCGGGUCUCUUACAAACCUAACCACAUUAACACUUUUUUAUGCAAAAUUGGAUGAAGAUACAUUUCUUGACCUGCAAGCGCUACCCGCAUUGAGUUUUCUUGAACUUUUUUGCGCAUAUGAUGGCAUGAAGUUGCACUUCCGAGCAACAUCAUUCCCGAACCUGAAGGUAUUGUCCAUAUUAUCUGCCCCGAAGCUCAGUCAGGUGGAAAUAGAAAGAGGAGCAAUGCCAAACCUGAAUAAGCUUCAGAUACACAAUUGCCCCGAGCUAAAGGAGCUGCCCCACGGUAUCGAGUACCUUACCACCCUUCAGGAUUUAGACAUUAGCUAUCCAGCAGAGGAACUUGUUGAGCUGCUUCUAGGAGGAGGAGAAGGCGACCAUAGCAAUGACUGGCGCACGAGGGUUCGCCACAUCCCGAAUUUUAUUCUUUGGGUCAAACGAGACGGCGAGUAUGUCGAAGAAAGGAUUCAAUGAUUCCAUAUCGUGUAGGUGAGUUUGGGCGCUUUUUGCAAAGCACCGGCCGAGCUUGAUGCUUUCAUAUUUUCCGCCUCAGAUCUUCUAAAUAAUCCGUGCUUGAGGAAAAUUGAAAAUGAUGAUCGAUAUAUGCAGGUGUUAUCUUAUAUGUGUAUUUUAUUUUAUUUCAUUUUCAAUGUAUGUGUGUGUAAAAGUGGAUGCAUCAAAUUAGUUGGUGCAUGCCUUCAGCUACUCGUAUUAUGUAUUUGGAGAAUGCUUUGUGCCCUUAAAACUUUAUUUGUUGACUAAAAUAAAAAAAACCUUCCUCGUAAAUAUCCAUAUUUUUUACUUUUUACUUGUUAAGAAAAAAAAAAAAUUUUUUUUUUUAUGCAUCUUUAACAAUUUUAGGGUUUGUUUGGUUCGAAGUCGGAAUCAGUAUCGAAAUCGAAAUGAUUCAUUAUUUCAUUCUGUUUGGUUCGUCCCCUGAAACAGAAUGGGAAUGAACUAUUCCCAUUAUCAGUAUUUGGUUCAGAUAGAUGUCAGAAAUAUAAUCAAAUUAAUAUGUCAAUUUUAUCUUUAUAAUAUAUUAAUUUAAAUUCAAACUAAAAAUUUAAUAUUAAAAAUUUACGUCAAAAUUUUAAAAUGAUGUUAAAAUUUUAAAUAUAUUUUUUUAAAAAAAUUAAAAUUUGAAAUUAUACGGAUAAUUCAAAUAUAAAACUAAAUUUUGAUUUAUUCAAAUUCAAACUUAAAGUUAUAAUUUAAAUUUCAAUUUUAAUCCAUAAAUUUAAUUUAAAUUUUAAAUAAAAUUUGAAUAAAACUUUGGAUUUAAAGUAAAUUUAAAUUUAAAUUCAAAUUUAUAAAUUAGAUUCGAAAUGCUUGAUUGAAUUUUAAUUUUUAAUUUAGGUUUAAAUUAAUAUUUAAAUUUAUAAAACUUUUAUUUAUUGGCUAAAAUAGAGAGAACCUCCCCCCUAUAAAUAUCCCUUUUUUUCACUUUCUCCACCCAACUUUCAAACAACUUAUAUUCUGCUCCCUUUAAAAUUUCAAAAGUAUUUUUAGAAGGUGACGACGUAAAUGGAGAGGAAGAAAUAACUAAAUUUUCUUUAUUUGUUUUUUAAGAAAAACAUAAUGUUUUUUUAUGUAUUUUUGCUAUUUUUAAGGUUAUUUUCAAUAUAAAUUAUAAGAAAUGAACGGAAUGUUGGGAAUCCGGUAUUCGCCCCAGUACCGGAUCUCGUGAAUCCGCAACCCACUCCGAUACCGACUGUUGUGGAUUCGGUACCGAUUGUUGGGAUUCCGCAACGGAAACGUCAAAUCGGAUUUUUUACCAUCAACCCGUCUCCUCAGCAAAAGCUGAUACAAUCACAAAAGAGAGAAAAAAUCAAAACAGAAAAUAUGCGGGUAAAACAAGAUUCAUUAAAUAAGAGAAGAAUACACCUGACUCCUCUUCUGCACAAAGUAGCUACAACCCGAGCCCUCUUUUUGAAUCUCUCCUAUCCUUCCCUCGUCUUCUAUAAUCCCAUAAAGAAGACAAUCAUCCGCGCGCACCCAUGCACUAGGUGCACUAAAUAACUCUCUCUCUUUUUUUCUCUCUCUGGUACGGCUCCCAAGAGGCCUUUUCUCUCUCUCUCCCGUACUCACCCCAAAAAGAGACUCUAAUGCAUUAUAUAUAAUGCUCCAUCAAGAAUGUACCCAAUCCUAAUAUAUUUAGGAUUUCGACUCCAAUUAAUAUCUAAAUCUAUCUUAAUUAAUCUCUAAUAGAUUUAAAUAUUAAUCCUAAUUUAGUUAGGUUUAUCCUUUAAUUAAUAUUUAAAUCUUAAUUUAUCUCCAACAGAUUUAAAUAUUAAUUAUUAUCCAAAUAUGAUUCAAUUACAAAUCUAACCAAAUCCUAACACGGAACAGUGACGAAACUCUAAUGAAGGGGGGUUUAAAUGCAUCAACUUAAAAUUUUGAGAAGAUAAAAUAUAGAUUUUUGAAAGCUAGUUGAGGAAGUGAAAAAAAUAAGUAUUUACCUGAAGUUUUUUCUAUAGUUUACCCUUAUUAAAAAGAUUUUUUAAAAAAAUUGAAGAAAAAGCUUUCGUACAAUAUUGUCUUGAAGGAUAAAAGCAAAUGUCAGUUCUUAACUACAUUGAGUAAAUCCUAGAUAAUUAGGACUUAAAUAGAAGAGCUAGUUUCACAAAUUUUGCUGUCUAACAGAUUAGUGAGAAAAUCUAUUGUUAGAUUUCGGUUUAAAUUUAUAGUUAUUGAAAUUAAAGUCAAAUUUAUUUAAAAUUGAAGUCAAAUUUUACUUUAAUUAGGAUAAGAUGAGAUUUAGUUUUUAUUAAAACAUAAAUAGAGUUUAAUUAAAGAAUCUAAUUGGACUGUCAGUUCUAAUUAGUCUCAACAUUUGACACAGAGAGAAUUAAUUAAGCUCUCAAUUAAAUAGUAUUUAGCAAAUCGGAGGGGUCGAUUAUAUUAAAAUAAUGAUGACCAACUUGUUAGCCAAUUAAUUUUAUUCCGCAUGUGCAACUCGUAUCAUUAUAAUUGUUGAAACAAAAAUCAAAGUCUCUUGAACUUUUCUCAUAAACAGAUUGAUUUAAGAAAUAUGUUGAUUGUUUUCAAUAAACAACUGCUUCUUCUGAUGUUUACAAUAUAAUAGUAUAUAUUAUAUGAUUCAUUUACUAAUAAUUGAAUUGACUUUGAAUAUGGAUUUAUAUAGAUAUAGAUAAAAAUUAUCGAACCAAUCAUACUUUAUUUGUAUUUAUCCGAAAGAAAAAAAAAAGAAAAAGAUUUCUUCCGUUAAUUCUGAAAAGUUUUCCUAUUGAAAGAGGAGCAUACGUUUGUUCCUAAUUAUAUGCGGUGUGAUUAAUUUAAUAAUUAUUAAUUAUAACUUUAUUCGGCAACAUGAUUAUAAAAUCCUAGCCGUCAAUCCUCUCUUCCUCAAAUUCUCCAUAAUUAAUCUAUCGGUUUCGAUCUUUAAAAGAUUGCUAACACAUCUAAAAGAUUGAUUCAUUUUCUUCAAAUUGACGCAAGAGUUAAUUCGUGAUUGAAUCAUGAAUUGAAGUAGUCGUCUAAUUCGAUCAAGGGCGUGAUUUCGUGUGGACGCGAGUAGAGGCCAGACGUGUACGCGGCUAAGCGAGGACGAAUAAUUUUUACCAAUGAUUUUCGACUUUCGGUGAUCUCGACCCGCGCAAGAUAAAAAACUGGAUACUAUGGUUAACUUAAAUUUGAAUUAUCACAAUUAUAUUAUAUAUACUCUGUUUGGAAUAACUGUGGUUGAUUCAUAAUUAUUUGGCUUAAAGAGAUUCCAAAAAAUUUUCCCUAAAGUUUUUUUUUUUUUUUUCCCCUUACAAAGAAUAGACUUUUAUCUAAAGAUUAGCCAAUAUUUAUAUUUUACAAGGCCCAUGGGCAACUUCAUAAAAAAUAAAAAAUAAAAAUAAAAAUAAAAAAUUUUAGGGACCAUUUGCCGUGACAAGUUAAAAUCAAUGAGUUACGUAUAUGGUACGGGUAAUAAAUGGAAUUCAUUUCAACAAUUUGUAUGUUGGAAAUGAAUAGUACAAUCUUAAAGGAAAAAAAUAAUUGGCAUAUCCCACAGCAUAAAGAGAGCCUGAGAUCCCAAGAUACAUGAGAUCAUUAUGUGCAUAAUCAUUUAUUUCCUAUGCAUUCUAUUCAAACAAAUAAUUAAGAGAAAUAAACAUGCAAAAUUAGUAUAGUAGGAAAAAAAAAAACAAGAGAAAUUAGUAUAGGGUGUUGUUUUUGUUAUAAAUAAAUUAUAAGUAUGGAUCUAUAUCAAGAUAAGAAAAUAUACACCAAAUUUUAUAGAUCACCAAGACGAGAUUUGACACAGAGCUAAAUCUCUUCUAAAGGUGAUGAUUUACUAACAAUUACACCUUGCGCAUGUUAAUUGAUUUACGACUAACAUGAAAAAAUUGGUUUGCAGAUGAACCCAACUUUCGGGUGUACAAAUAGUAUUGCUCAAAAAUAAAAUGGACCAGUCGAACAUUUGCAUUCAAUUGUUUGCAUAAAAUUUACGAUUUCAUUUUUUUUUUUUUUUUUUGGUGUUACUUAUACCCAUGUUUAAAAUUUCUUCCAUAUUAGCAUUCGAGUCCUAUCAAAUAAACCAAGGCCAAAGUACACUAUUUUACAUUAAAAUCAGGAACACAAAAUUCCAAAACUCUAUAUCAAUAACCUGAGACAAAUUCAUAUAGAACAGUACAAUUUUAGAAUAUAUAACAUCAUUGAAAUAUCAAAUUCCGUCCAAGUUUCGUCGAGCACAAUUUGUUCUUUUCCUUCUAUUAUUUUUUUUCAACAUGUAUUGCGUCGAACAUAAACAAAACGAGGAACAACACGCCGAAGCAACAGAUAAAACACACUAUGUACCACUUUUCAAAUUACCCAGAAAGGUUUAAAUAAAACGAGGAACAAACAAGCCGAACCGGCAAAAGAGAAACACACUGCGUACCACUUUUCGGAGUACGCAGGAGAGAAACCUUUGGCGAACUUAAAAGUUUUGUUAAGUCUUUCAAGGGCAUCAUACCAUUCGAUCCAUCUCCGAGAGCAGUCUAUUUAUACGAUGAUUUUGACAAGCAUGAAAUGCUUCAGCAGAUCAGCUCUUCUGAUGCACAGCGAUCACAUGGAUGUCCAUCACCUUCAGCAUGACGGAUCGGCCGCAAGAAUCACACGGCGCCGUUCUCAACCCGCAUAUGCUCUCGUGCUUGGAGAGACCUCUGAGGCGGUCACGGGCAUCAAGCGGUUCGGUCCCGGCUUGGACCAUGUCUCCGCAGAAACGGCACACUAUGAGCCGCAACGGGCAGGUCAAGGACUGGUGUUGGACCUACCAUCACAAAGAAAGAAGUAAGAAGUUCAUGCGAUGUAGUUCGAUGUUGGCUCUUACUACUGUAGGUUAGGCCAUGCCAAAUCCAUUUUUGCAAAAGAAGCUCUUAUAUUAAUAUGUAUCAAAUGGAACACCUUCUAUUACCAAACUAAGCAGAUGGUUUCCAGUCUAAGUACAAAUGUAAAAGUACUCGAAUUUCAUUGGGUAAUACUAAAUAUUAAAAUCCGUCUAUUAACACAAGGAUAUGUUUAGUUUUACAGGUAUCAGCAGUAACAGACUCAAAAAAUGCAUUUUAUCGAGCAUAAUUUCAAAACAACAUGAAAACAAUAUAAACUGAUAUAUGUAGAUGAAAAAUCUCCAUAGAUAUAUAAUAAACUGCGCUUACCAUUUCUUCCUUCUCGAGGACUACUCCACAUGCGCAAUGGAGUGGCUGAUGAAAAACUUUCAUAUGCUUCUCCAUCUCCCCCUGUUGAAAGGCUUGUCCGCAUUUACCACAAUGCACAUGGUUCGCUGCUUGCUCCUUCCUGAGAACGACUCCGCACCCCUCAUGCUGGCACACCAAAUUAUGCCUGACGCAGUAUGCUUCAUGGAUCACAAUGGUCCUGCUGGAUAUAUAAUGCCGACAGUUCCGGCACUCGACUGAAUCGGAAUCAACUUGAGAGGAAGCAUUCAAAUGUUCUCCGACCUUUUGCCUGUUAUUGUUAAUAUUCUUAACUUCUACAGAAAUAUUGAAUUUCGUAACUCCCCUGAAGCCAAAAACUCCAAUGCUGUAGGUACCUGCUACAAGGCUUUGAUCCUUCGGUUUAAGGAUCAAAACCUUCGAGCCCAUCUCAUGGGAUGACCAUUCAUGUCGAUGUUGGGUCGGAAAUGCCAGUGGAUGCCUAGAUACAUAAAUAUUAGUAUCACCAUCACUAGUAUCUGCCUCGAUCUUGACUUCUAUAUUCAUUAGCCCGGACGAAACUUUCUCACUAACAGCCUCUUCAAUGGAAAACUUAUAGUACUUAAACUUUCCUUCUUCCACGAUUCCCGACUCAGCCUUUCCUAAUACAAGCGGUAUGAGCACAUGCUGUUCAUUCUCCUUGUCCAAAACAGAAUCGGAUCCCUCUAUAUCGACUUCAAUAUCUAUUUCUAAAAUUGAAACACUCGAAGAAGGUUUGAGCUCUAGAACUCUUAACUUGUACUGCAGCUCUCCAUAAUAGACCGUGAUAACAUCGCCUUCUGACAGGGUCGCGUGUUUUCGAAGAGUGGUUUCGAGGAUAGCUUUAUGGUUAGGAAGGUCGGAGAAGCCCACGGCUUCGGGCUUAAGCUUCGCAUAAGUUCCUUUUGGCAAGCUGGCAUAGUGCACCUCAAUUAAAGGAAUUUCAACAUUGGUAUCAGGGAAUAAAUUUGUCCAGACAUGCGGAGGCAGCUCUGAAGAAUUUUCUCGUGCAGUGAAUUCGAGGACUCCUGAAUGAGUUGUUUUCAUAUCUUGAUUUUCGCUGGAAUUAGAAGUUGAGGGACCUCCUUCAUUAACUUUGGACAACCUAAAGUACAUAGGACCUUUAUCCAGGGCCCCUUGAUCAGAUAGUUCUUUGAAGCAAGAAGGCGGUAGCUUGAUCUUGUCUCCAGAACCAUCAUAUGGAAGGGCUUCAAAUAACCUUGAAAAGACAAUCCCGUUGCCUAGAAGCAUGUUUUCUUCCAUCUGUUGCUCUGCCUGUCAAAUAGACCAAACAUUAAUAACCUCACAAGAGCAUAACUACUGAUAAUUAAGAUCUAUCUAAUAAACCACUAAGUAUGUUUAAGCGGCAAUCUUCUCAAUUAACUUGCAAUAGACAAAUAGCAGCAAAUACCUAUGCAUCAACAGUAGAAAGAUAUAUGCUAACAAAGCACAGAAGCCUGGAGAAACAUCAACAGGUACUAUCAUUCAUUCUAGAUGCCGUACGCUCUGAAGCAUCAUUUACAUAUUGAGGCUGUAAUUCAAUUGCAGUUAAGAGAAAGAUCAACAGGUACUACAAUUUUCUUUUUCUUUUUCCCAGUUCUAGAUGUCUUACACUCUGAAGCAUCAUUUAAAUACUGAGGCUGUAAUUCGAUUGCAAUUAAGAGAAAUAAGGUCAGGGAUCUUUCUUCAAGUACUUAACGGUGAUGGACCAAUGAGUAAGAAUUCCAUAUAACCUCAAUUUUCUCAUUCAAGUAUAUUCUCACCUGGUAGCAAAGUGCGAAAAGAUGAAUCCAAUUUCAAUACAAACUCCCACUUCAAUUAUUCAACGCAUAUUCUCACCUGGACAGGAAUUCUUUCCUUGGACUAGAACAUCCGGAUAGCAACUUUGUUCCCUCCUUGCAUUGAAUGCUUAAAUAUGUAUUAAAUAAAUUUGCAGUCGACAUCUGAUACCGUCAGCAUUUCCUGAUGCCAAUUCGCAUUAUUUUUCCUGGAGAUAGAAAAAUUAUGGGGCUCAGCAUAACACAACUACUAGAUAAAAUUUUGCAGGUAAAGAUCAGUCAUGAUCAAAUUUAGGACUGGGAUUGAACAAGAUUAAAUUCAGAAAUUCUGUUGUAUCCACCACUGGACCAAGCCCUAGCGCCGCGAACCUUAGCACUACCAAGUUGUUAAAACAACGCUCUCCUCCGACAUAACUCUCUAGUCUUAUUCUAUUCAAUCCAAUCUUGAGCAUGAUAAAAGGGCCUUAAGAUGUGGUAUCUCAUGAAGAAGUCACUAUUAACACAGCAAACAUACGUUAACAGUGAAGAGGACGCUUGUGUCAAACACUUGCUGCCCGGCAGUAACCUUUAGCCCAGCAGACAUCAUCACUGGGUUGGUCAAAAUUCACAGUUUGCCUGUAAUGAUGAUGAUGAUGCUCGCCAUGCCAGAUAUGUAUGUGCGUGCUACUAUCCUAAUGGCAGCGAAUCAGCAAAUCAAUUUAAGAGAUAAUGAAAUAAAACAAAUUGAUUCAUCAAUUUCUAUGAAAAUAAAAAAGAUUUUAGGAGUAAUAACGUUAUAUUCGACAAGCAGACCUUAGAAUAAGAUGCUAAAGUAACAUUCAUAUGCAGACCACCAGCUUCAACUCUGAAAUAAUUGUUUCCUAUGCGCACAGCUUUGACAUCCAAAGCAGGAGAAUUACUAUCUUCAAUCUGGCCGUUGAGAGAAACUGAAAUAUCAGAAUUUUCAGAUCUCUUAUCACUGACAAAUAUAGAAGUGAACUCGAACAAUUUGACGCAUUUAUAAGAGUAAUAUAUUACCGUGAUGAAAUAACUUCCAUCAGAUUGAUAUGUAAUGGCAAGUUGCAAAAGCUCAUUGCAGAGGCCAUCAAGCUCUUUAUCCCACUCAAGUUCCAAUACACGUUUGGCUCUGUGAUGCAUUCCGAAAGGUGGAUGGGUAUACCACAAAGAAAGUAAAUUGUCCCCACCUGCAAUUAUUCGAUAUUUAAUACAUCGAUAUCAUUUACCACAGCCUGCAUACCUGCAGACAAACAGGAAUUACAUACACUAUACAUAACAUGCAGGGAAGAGAUUCUCUUGAAGUGAUGUAUUCCUUUUCACAGAUACAGGCAGCAACCAGUGUAACACCGAGCUUAGCAGCAUUAGAUGCUUCGUCAGUUAGUUUUUCAGCUGAAUCAACUAGAAGAUCACUUUUGUGAUGCUCGAUGAAAUGGGUUUCUACCAAGCCUCUCUCAAAGGCCCAGUGACCUGCAAGCCCUUGGAGGAAACCAAUAUUGGUCGGCAAACCUGCAAUCUGCAGUGGCCAUAGUCAGAGAUGCCUGAGGCAGAGAAAUUAUUAUACACAUUAUAUUCAGAUGCUUCAAUACAAAGCGAACAGCAUGAAAUUGUUCACGAUACAAAAAUAAAUCGAAAGUGCAUCAUUGUGGAAGUAGAUUCUCUACCUCAAGAUUAUACAAGACAGCUAUUAGUUGGCAUCUGUUAGAAAUUUAUAUACCACGUACAUGUCUUCAAUCAAAAUUGUAGCAUUGCUAAGACAAACAAUAAGACGUUGUGAGAUACGACUAUACAAGAAUUACAAUCCAUCUAUUAUUACUAUGCAACAGUGCUCGAUCGUUGGCAUCAAGCAGCUGGAACUUACAAGAAAGUGCUAAAUAAACUUGAUGAUAACAUCUUGAUCUGAUAUUCAUACAAAAGCAACUAGACAUGUCACAUGCACCUGAAAGUUUGACAAGCAGCUCUUUAGUUUGACCAAUGCAGCAUUGCGAGUUUCGCCCCACACCACAAGCUUAGCAAUCAUUGGAUCAUAAUGCAUGCUGACAGUAUCUCCUUCCUCCGCUCCCGUUUCGACUCUCACUGUUUUACAAUAUGUAGAUUAGGGGUCAUUGUUGAGUCAUGGAAGACGUCGAGCUCUAGAUGUGUACUGGCUUUAUUAGCUAAUACUACCUAAUGUGUGUAGCAAUAAGCAUAUGUACUAUGUUUCAGUAGCAGAUAUCAUAGUUAGUUAAUUCGGAUUCGGCAAAAAUUCGGUACGGGUAUAAUUCGGAUAAAAUUCGUAUUCUAAUUUUUAAAUUCGUUGAAAAAAUCGGCUUAAAAACGGAUUCGCCAAUUAUUCGGAUACGUGAUUUAUACGGAUAUUAUACGUUUACUAAUUAAAAAUUCGGGAUCAAAAAUUCGGCUAUUAAAUUAAUUUUUUUCUCUCAAAAUUUAUGCAAUUAGCAUAAAUAUUCAUAUUUUUUAAGAAUAUAAAAAUAAAAAGCUACAAAAUUAAGUAAAAAACAAUAAUAAACAGAGAAUGAACACAUUCAUGAAAUUGAUUAGGUAUAAUAGAAGAGUUCCUGGUACCUAAGUUAAUUAAGAUUAUUUAGCUCUAUGUUUGGGUCUUCUUUGUGCAUAACAGAGAAUUAAUGGACACAUUUAAUUUAAGCACUCGAGCCAUUUGUGUAUAAAAAAGUAUCCAUCAAAUGGACUAAAAGCUUCCAACUUUUGCUUUGUAAAAAAACCACCCGAUUACUGAUCUAUUGUUGGAUAGCUGAAGCGGAAGCGGAAGAGGCGACGAGGAGGGUUUCGAUUUCUGAAGAGUGAAGAACCCGAUCUUCGAUCUUCGAUUUCUGAAGACGAGGGCUUCCGAUGGCGUUCGGCGAGCGGCUGGAAGGGAAGAGGGGGAGGGGAAGGGACCGCGACCGCCAUAGGGUCGGUGGCAGGGCCGCGCGCCGCACCGCCGCAGGGGUGAGAAGUUAGGGCAAACCCUUUUUUUUUUGGAGUGGUGGGGGUGGGAGUGGGUGUGGGACUUGGGAGGAGGGCGAUUCAGAAAGGGUUUUUUUUUUUUUUUUUUUUUUUUUUUUUUUUUGGGCGACAGGCGAUUUAGAAAGUUGUUUUUUUUUCCGUUUGGGCCACCCGUGAGGCCCGCCCGACGCGGCUCGCAGCAACUGGGCCGUAUUUUUGGGCCGAAUUAUUCGCGAAUCCCGUUUAAUUCGCGAAUAAUUCUUUUUGCCCAAAAAAACGCGAAUUAUUCCGAAUUUUUGGGAAAAAUGCGUAAACGGCUGUAAAAUUCGGGAUUUCAAAAAUUCGCGAAUAAUUCGCGAAUUAUUCGCGAAUUAACUAACUAUGGCAGAUAUUACCUGUUGGGGUAACAGGGACUGGUCGGUAGUGGUGUAGGGUUCCAGUUGCGGGAAGAAAACCUCUUGGGACAUUUUCAGCAUAUAUUCGAGCCUCAUUCUAGCAUUGCUACACACGAAAUGGAGUAAAGGUAGAUAAUAUGGCUAGAAUUGCAAGUUUUGAAGAGGGAAUAAUAGCUCAUUCUAGCAGUUUGCACAUAGGAAUUCAAGUUUGUCAAACGGGCACGAUUGAAAAUGUGUGAUCAAAUUAAACAAAGUUUACCAUUCAAGGGCAAUUGUUCCCGAGUCAGGGGAAGAGGUUCUCCAUUUGCAACACGAAUUUGCCACUCCACAAGAUCUUGGCCAACAAUCAUCUCAGUUACAAGAUGUUCUACCUUCAAAAUAUUGAUGUAAGAAAUCAGGUAUAUAUUUUCUGUCGCACAACAGCAAUUUGCAUGUAAGGAUCAAGUUGCACAUGUAUAUACUAGUGCACAUGCUUACCAAAUGGAAGUUUCCCAAAACAGUGUGUACAAGAAUAAAUUUAAUCAUGCACAUAGAACAGUAUUUUGAAUGUGAACAUUUUAAGGUAGAAAUAGCUGAUAACAGUAUGCCUGAUUAGUUAAGAAAAGCAUUAAUAACUGAAGGCGAGUAUUCAUUUCCAUGAAAUAAAAUUGCCCAGAAAGCGUAUCCAUUAUAAACUCCACUGUUCCGGCAUUGUGAUAGCCAACUGCUUUCAAAUUAGUUAAAAAGAAAUAUGAAAGUGCACCAACUCUGUGAGAAAUUUCAGGAGGCGGCGACGUGAAUGAAGAGGAAGAAAUGACUAAAUUUUCUUUACUUGUUCUUUAAGAAAAAAAUAAAAUUUUUUUAUGCGUUUCUGCCAAUUUUAAAAAUAUCUUCAGUAUAAAUUAUAAGAAAUAGACGGAAUAAUGAGGGAAUCCUUACGAAGGGAGUUUAAAUACAUCAACUUGAAAUUUUAAAGAGAUAAAAUAUAGAUUUUUUAAAAAUCAAUGGAGGAAGUGAAAAAAUAAGUACUUACAUGGAGUUUUCUAUAUUUUACCCUUAUUAAAAAGAUUUUUUAAAAAAUUGAAGAAAAAGCUGUCUAUAAUGUCUGGAAGGAUAAAAGCCAAUGUCCAAUGUUGGUUCUUAACUACAUUGAAGAUAAUUAGGACUUAGAUAGACGAGGUAGUUUCAUAAAUAUUGCUGUCUAACAGAUUAGUGAGAAAAUUUAUUGUUAGAUUUCGGUUUAAAUUUUUAGUUAUUUAAAUUAAAGUCAAAUUUAUUUAAAAUUAAAGUCAAAUUCUACUUUAAUUAGGAUAAGAUGAGAUUUAGUUUUAUUAAAACAUAAAUAGAGUUUAAUUAAGAAUCUAAUUGGACUGUGAGUUCUAAUUAGUCUCUACAUUUGACAUAUUCAAUAUUACAUAUAAGAUGUACGGCCAGAGGAGGGAAUUAAUUAAGCUCUCAAGUAAAUAGUAUUUAGCAAAUCAGAGAGGCCGAUUAUAUUGAAAUAAUGAUAACCAACUUGUUGGCCAAUUAAUUUUAAUUUGCAGGUGCAAUUCAUAUCAUCGUAAUUGUUGAAACGAAAAUCAAAGUCAUUUUAAUCUUACCCCUACAUUACCCCUACAAAUAUUUACUUUGUUUCAAGAAUACCCUCAACUCAUUUUAAUCUUAGUUAUACCAUGAUAUAAUGAAGGUUAAGAAUAAAAUUGUCCAUUUUGCCCCUAAACUGGUGAGGGCAUAUAAAUGUAUGUGGUCCAUUUUUUUUAAUUUUUUUUUAUCCAUUCAGAUUUCAAAUAUUGUAAUCAGUUAAAUAAAAAAAAUUCAAUUAAUAGGUUAAUUAGCUAAUAACAAUUAACUAUUAAAUGAAUUUAUGUUAGUUUCAACUGAAUAUUGGUCAAAGGUAUUAAAUUUAAUGGAAUAAUUAUCUUAAUUUGUGAAAAUUUUUCAUUAUCUAUUUUUUUAAUUUAUUAUUUAAAACUAUUAUUGGUUCAUGCAAAGUCCGUUGAUUACAAGAAUUUAGUUUGUCCUUUCAUAAUACAAAUUUUUUUAUUUCAGGUCGGAUUUUAUAUUAAUACUCUUAGUUAUAAUGUAUUCAUACCGGUGAAUUUUCUCUAUAUUAAGUAGUCAAAUAAAAAAAAAUUAUUACUUUACAAUCGGUGUAGUAAAAAAGAAGAUAUAACUAAAAUAAACUAUUUCUCAUUCUGACAAUAAAGAAAAAUAAAAUUUAAUUUAACUACAAUUUAUUCCAAAUAGAAAUAUUUAUUUAAUUGAAAUGAAUAAUUUUUUUAAACUAAACUCAAUUGAAUUUUACUAAAUUUUUAGUCUAGAUAGAAUUUAAUUAAUUUUGAAAUAUAAUAGAGGGUUUUUAUGAAAUAGAUUUAUUAAUUGACCCUUAAAUAAUUAAGAGGGGUAAAGUUGGAAUAUAAAUAUUAUUAACUUUAUUAUGGAUGGAGACUUGAUAGUAGGGUUAUUUUUUAAAGUUUCUUAAAUUUGAGGGGUAUACAUGAUAUUUCAAUUUUUAAAGGAGUAUUUAUAAAAUUAAAUAGCUUUAGAAGGGUAUAGAGAAAAUUUUCCCUUAUAUCAUAUACGCUGUUUGGAAUAAAUAUGGUUGAUUCAUAAUUAUAUGAAUAAAAGAGAUUCCAAAAAAUUCUACAACAUGCUUCCCUUUCUUAUUUUAUUGAAUCUGAUUCGUUCCUCAUUACCAAACAGAAUCAUAAUUUCUUCCAUAUAUAUUAAUUCUGAAAAGUUUUUCUAUUAAAAAAGGAGGAUAGGAUAGGCUUCUAGCGUAAUAAUCCUAUAUUUUUGUUCCUAAUUUUGUGGAGUGAUUAAUUUAAGAACUAAUUAUAACUUUAUCCUGUGACACGAUUGAGGGUUAAUUUUAAUUUAAAUUUGAAUAUCACAAUUAUAUGACAUGCUCUGUUUGGAACAACUAUGAUCGAUUCAUAAUUAUAUGACUAAAAGAGAUUCCAAAUUCUACAACAUGCUUCCCUUUCUUAUUUUAUUGAAUCUGAUUCGUUCCUCAUUACCAAACAGAAUCAUAAUUUCUUCCAUAUAUAUUAAUUCUGAAAAGUUUUUCUAUUAAAAAAGGAGGAUAGGAUAGGCUUCUAGCGUAAUAAUCCUAUAUUUUUGUUCCUAAUUUUGUGGAGUGAUUAAUUUAAGAACUAAUUAUAACUUUAUCCUGUGACACGAUUGAGGGUUAAUUUUAAUUUAAAUUUGAAUAUCACAAUUAUAUGACAUGCUCUGUUUGGAACAACUAUGAUCGAUUCAUAAUUAUAUGACUAAAAGAGAUUCCAAACAUUUUUUCCCAAAGUUUAUGACAAAGAAAUUCACAAAUAAUUGUGUUCUCUUCCUAACAAAGAACAUACUUUUAGCUAAAGAUUAAUCAAUAAUAUUUGUAAUUUAAGAGCACUACAGUGUCAUCUUCAAAAAAAUAUUAAAAAAAACUAAAAAAUAAUUAGAUUUUCUCUUCUUCUUUUUUUCUUUUUUUUUUGUUUUUGUUGUAGGGAAGUAUAUGGACCGUUUGGCAUGACAACUCAAUAAGUUAUUUAUAAAGUUAUGAUGGUAUAGGCAAUAAAUAGAAUUCAUUGCAACAAAUUAAUUGUAUGUUGGAAAUGAAUAAUGCAAUUUUAAUGAGCAAAAUAAUUAGCAUAUCCCAUAACAUAAAGAAAGCCUAUGACCUGAGCGUCAUGAGAUCAUAAUGCACAUAAUCUUUUAUUAAUUAUGCAUGUAUGUACACGCAACAAAUAAAUAAAAGAAAAAAAAAGAAAAAUUAGUAUAGUGUGAAGUUGUUUCUUUAUAAAUAACUUAUCAGCAUGCAUCUAUAUCAAGAUAGAUGCCAAGCAAUUUAAUUUGUAUACUUAUUGUAGUAUCCCUGAUUUUUUGGAUGCCCGUGGAUCUCAGCAUCUAAGGCUUGUCGACAAAUCUGGAGAGUAUCGGAGCAAGUUGGAGUCGUUUUGACGCGAAAUGGAUGCAAAACGGAUUCGACAUGAGGCGAGAGUGGAGUUCUGAUGCUGAAAUCCACAAAGUGCAGGAUUUCAGUGUUGAGUACCGGUACCAUAUAGGGGAGUACCGAUACCCCAGUGUAUUUUCAUAACAGAAUGCUCUCGGGUUGUGCCAAAUGAUGCUGAGUACCGGUACAGCAUCGGGCUGGUACCGGUACCCUGCGUGCGAGCUUACGGGCUGAGAGGCCGAGUACCGAUAACCAAAUCGGGUACCGGUACUCCAAUUGGAUUUUUGAGUAGGUGAGGGGUCUUUUGGUCAUUUGAGUUGUCGAUAACCCCAACCUUAUCCCCACCUCUUUAUAUAUGUGUAGAGAGACAGAGAAGAAGGUUUAGUAUGCUGCUCUCUCUCUCCCUCUAGUUCUUGGAUGUGCUCGUGGUUGAGAUCGUGGCUCGAGCUCGGGAGUUUUUUAACGUCGAUCCGGAGGGCCGUUCAAGUAUGCGUGCGUCGUGGUUGCGCCGUUGGAGACCAAGCGAGCGCAUGGUUUCCUCUUCUUCGACUUCUCGCCGUAGUUAGACGAGCUUUUCGAGGUGGGUUAAUGUUUACCGAAAUCGUCGGAAUACCUCCUAAGUUUUAGUAUCGUCGACAUGUAUCAUUGGUUUAUUUUUUUGCUAGUACUCGAAUUCAUAAAUUAGAGAUAAAAUCUGAAUUUGAAGUUAAGCUAGUAGUAUAGUUUUACAUAUUGGACUUGGAAUUGACUUAGGAGAAAACAUGUAGAUUCCACACUGUCACUUUCUGAUAAUUACCAGAUUUAGCUUUAGGAGCUGUGGUUCGUUUGUAUCGUCGUUGUUCGUAUGCGGUAGAUGCCCAGAUUAGUGUAGGAUGAGUUUACGCUCGUGCUGGGAUGCCGAGCUUAUUUUACAGUAGUGUGUAGACUGUUUCGGACUGUCAGGUGCCGUCGCGGUUGAUGGUGGACCCAAAUUUCUAUAUUUUUCAUUAGAUUAUGUCAAGGGCACAUAAACUUUGGUUGUUAGAUCAGCUAGACCCGUUUGCUUUGAUUAUAGCCUGUGAGAGCCUGAUUGAGCUCGGCAGAGACACGCUUGCAUACUUGGUUUAGUAGCACCCACGAGUGCCACUCCGGAGUCGAGCUUUGUGCGUUUGCAUUGAUGUUGUAGUGUCCAGGUUGAACUUGCUCUUCAUCAACAACCCAGCGUGGUGGUGGUUGGUGUAGUUUCGAUAGGCGGAACGGGUGCGUUCACAGUCCCUAGUGAGAUUGGGUCAGAGAGUGCAUUUCUAUAUCUACAGAAUAGUGGUUAACGAUAUUAUAGUGGCAUGUAGCUAUAGAGUUUUUCUAGCUUCCUUUACUAUUCUUGUGCAUAUUUUCUGUAAACUUAGUGGGUGAGCCGUUGAGGUACUGAGGACUACUCCUUUUUGUAAUAGUUCUCACACUCAGUUGUUGACCACUUUUUGCAGAGUCUUUGUCCGCGGCUGUUGCUGUUACUGAUUCUAAUCGUGGAAAUUAAGGGUGUUGCGAGCUAGAUCCUUUCCAGUCUUGUUGCAGUGCUAGAGGAGUACCUCCACAAGUAGUUUUGGGGCUUUUUGUACAUAUGGUUAUUGUCGGGGUACUUUCUGAAGCGAGUGGUGUAGUAGACUUUUUGUAUGUACAGUAACCCCUCGAGGUUUUUAUAUAUAUUCUAUUUUCAGUUUAGCAGCUCAUUACCUUGUGGUUGUAGCUUGAUUUGUUUACAGGUACAGCUAUCACUUCGUAUACAGAAAAAAUUUCUAUGUAUACGGCGGGUCUGUUGGCGUGUCCGGAGAAACAUGUAAUCCGGGGUGUGACACUUAUCUUGUGGCGUUUUUGCAUAUAAAAGUUUCGCAUAAAAAAUUCAUCGAUUUUGCAAUUUGUAAAAAUAAACCCUCUUUAGAUUUUGCUGAUUUGGCCUUGAUUUAUAAUAAACUAAAAUAUCCUUAUCUCUCUCUCUCUCUCUCUCUCUCUCUCUCUCUCUCUCGUUCGCGUUACUCUGCAUGGUUCAUCUCCGACCUCCUCUCUGUUGUACCUCUAUUUCUCCUCCUGCUUACUCUCUCUCCUCCUCCUUCUUCACUGCCCACACAUUGAUGCGCGCUUCUCUUUCUUACCUUGCCAACGUCCGUUGACGCCAGAUCGAAAAUGACACAAAAUGAGGAGGUGAGAUUGCAGCAGAAAGCAUGGCCAUACACGUUGACAAUGACAGCGACAAUGCUAGCUGCCACAAGAUUUAAAAACAACAGGCAAGAAGAGCACGUCGGGGCGGGUCGGGGGCUCACUAGAAGAAAAGAUAGUAUUAAUGGCAAAGAUAAAACAACAUGUGGCGAUAAUUUUCGUCACCGCUGUAGUCAUUAAGUAGCGAUAUUCGAUGGCAGAUUCACUUUUUUGUCAGUAGCAAGAGCCCAAUUAGCAUAGUUGACCUCACUUUGGGGUCCAAAUUGAUCCCAAGUGGGGUCCAAUAAAAAGUCUUAUUAGACAAAGAGUUAUAGCGGGUCCGGUGACCGGCUAUUUUUUUUCCUUAGCAGUUUUAAAAAGUUAAAAAAAGAUUUUAAUUAAAAAAAAAAAACUCUUGCUUCCUUGAACACCAGCUUGGAAACUUCAUUGUAGAUGUACGUCAAGAUAAAAGAUUUUAUAACUUGAGAGGAAUUGGUGAUAUUUCACAAAAGUUGGUUGAGACGAAAAAGCAUGUAGUGUAUUCACGAGUUUAUUUACUUUUGAAGUUGUCAUUAGUUCUACCAAUUGCUAGUUUUUUCUAUGAUGAACUUUAUAGAGAAUAAAUUAAGUAACUUUAUGUGUGAUCCAUGCUCAUAAUGAUUCUUUUGAUGGCUUAUAUAGAAAAAAAAUAUGCUUAACAGUGUUUCCAAUGAGGCUAUUAUGCAUUUUUUUUCGAAUAUGAAGUCGAUCUGAGGACAAUUAAUUUGUAAAGAAAUUACUUUAUUUAUAUAAUUUUAAUGACUAUUAUUUUUUUAGUUUUUUUUUUUUUUUUUCUUCCUUAUAUAUUAAUCGUAUGAGAAAAAAUUUCUAGAUCGCCCCCUGGCGAUAUUUUAUACAUUUGGUGGCAACUUUAGUCAACAGUAUACUAAUAUUGUUUGUCGUGGCGGCGCGUGGAUCUGCCACCGCGAUAUUUUAUACAUUUGGUGGCAACUUUAGUCACCACUAUACAAUAAUUGUUUGUCGUGCGGCGGCUGCUGCCCGAGGGCAAGAAGGAGGUGCAAUAGAGUGAAAAAUCUGCAGUAUAUGAAAGAAAAGAAGAAAAAUAAAAAUAUAUAUUUUCUUCUCCUAGGAAGGCUCAUGUUGUGCUAAUUGAUACAAAAAAAGCCCAAACAUAGAGAAAUAGAAAGAAGCAAACGAAAAUUGCACUAUUUCAGAUAUAAUUAGUAUCUAAAAUAUAUUUGAGACUAAGAUUGCACUAUAUAAAUAAAAAUUGCACUAUUUGAAUUUAAGUUCUACUGUUUGAGCUUAAGUUAUGCCAUUUAAAACUAUUUGAGACUAAAGAUGCAAUUUCUCAUACAGUGCAACUUAAACUCAAACAGUGUGUCAACCCCCAAGACCUGCCUAAAAACGCUCUUAGGUGCGUGCGACAGACCCGUUGAACAUGCAAGGUUUUUCUCGCCCGCAUGACAGAAUAGCAUUACACCAGCCUGCACAUCUUACAAGAAUAAAUAUGAAAAAGCAUUAGAGCAUUUAAAUUCUAAUUCAUGCUUAUACAAUAUACAACUCCCUAAAGAUUACAACCAAUCAUGCUUUCAAAAUUAAUGUAUGCUUAUGAUGAAUGAUUAUUGAUGAAUGAUUAUUUGAUGCUUAUAUUAGAAAAAAAAUGUUUAACAGAUGUUUCCAAUUCGGGUAUUAUGCAUUUUUUUCAGAAUAUAGAAGAUGCAUCUAUGACAAUUGUAAUAGAAAUGAUACUUUAUUAAAUUAAUAUUAUGACUAAUUCAUUUUUUUAUCUUUUUCUUCCUUGUACAUUAAUCCUAUGAGAAAAAAUUUCUAGAUCUGACAUGGUGAUAUUUAUAUUUGUGCAACUUUAGUCACCACUAUCAAAUAAUUAUUUUGUCGUGCUGGCGGCUUGUUGAGAUCCCUAGUGUUCAGCUGUGGAGCUUGCCGACAGCUCUGGAGAGUGUCGGACAAGUCCGAAUCACUGUUGGCGUCAAAUUAGACGUAAACGGACUCUGUGCGACGCUAGAGGGCAGCUUAUAGCGAAGAAAUCUGCAAAACUGCAGAUUUUCUCUGCUUGUUACCGUACAACCAGGUGGCUGUACCGCGUACAACCAUCGCGCAGAGGAUUAGCAGCUCUCGGGUUGGCUCUUGUACCGGUACAAGAGCCGUGUCCGCGUACAAGGGGGUAGUAGAGGGUUAAUUUAGUAAUUCUCUCCCUCGUUUGUAUCACCACUCCACCUACCUCUUUAUAUAUGCGUAGUAAGAGAGCUUAGAGAGGGAUUCUAUUGCUGUCCUUCUUCCCUCUCCCUCUCUAGCUUGAGUUGACCGUGGAGUAGUUCGGUUUGGAGCUCGGAUUCGACCCGACGUCGCGCCGCGAAGCGUUCGGCGGAUACGGUUGGGAUCCUACGCUGGCGAGAAAGCUCAGCGAGGGUGCGUUUUCGCCCGUUCUCGACGCUCCGUGUCGCUGACGAUUAGCCGUUGGGGGUGAGUGUUUCAGUUGCGUUUGCUUCAAGUUUUUGACAUUUCGAGCUAGGUGUGUUUGCUGAUUCCAUCGUCGGACCAGUUAGUAAUUUCAGCUCGUUCUCGACGUAGGAGAUCAGAUUGCGACGGGACUUUGUUCGUUGGAUUCGGGACUUCGAGAGGAAUCCACGAAGCCCUUACUUGCUGGAUUUUGGUGAAGGUUAGCUUGGUCGAAUCUCUGUUGUACCUCACUGCUGCAUUUCUGGGCUGAAUGGUGACUUGUGUGUGUUAGCGGGUAGAGUUAGCUCGAUUUUUGGACUCGGCGGAUUCCAGGUAUCCAGCAGGUCGCUCUACACCAGUGGAAGUCUUCGCUGCCAGGGAUUAGCUUUUUGGGUUGGGUUACAUCGGUUUUACUCCUAAGUUCACAUUCGUCGAAUGUAUAGUUUCGUUUUGGAUAAUACUAUUCUAGCUCACAAUUCAUGGAUUAAAUAGUAGAUUUCAUAUCUGAAUUUGGGCAUGUGGUAAUAAUUAAUAGGUUAUACAUGUUGGACUUGAAUGAAUAUUAGGAGAAACCUGCGAUUUGGACCUGUCACUUGAUUAAACUGUCUGAUUUAGCUCUUAGGAGCCGUUAUUUAAUUGUACUGUUGCGUAUCUUCGAGACAGUACUCCAGGUAGUUUAGAGUAUAUCUACACUCAUGCUGUUUCGCCGAGGGAUUUUACAGGGUCGUUAGGCUGUUCCGGACUGUAGGUGCCGUUGAGAGUUGACUGGACCCGUAUCGCCUUUUUGGCGUCUGAUUGUGCGGGGCACGUUACUUGUUGGGUUGUUAAGACCAGUAGAGUCGAUUUCUUUGCUUUAGCUUUUCAGAGCCUGUUGAGCUCGAAGAGAUACGCUGCAUACUCGGUUGGGUACGCCACGCAGUGCCACUCCGGAGUCAGGUUUUGUGCUUUCGCGUUUGGUGUCGCUCAUGCCAGUUGGACUUGCUCUCACGGAUCAGUUAGUGUGGAUAGAGCUGAUUAGUCGAAUGGGGCAGGGACGGGUGUAUUCACAGUCCGGGGACGGGCUAUCUACAGUCCCGAGUUGAUUGGUCAGAGUUGAUAAGACUACAGUUGGUGUUAGUGUAGGAUUGAUAGUUUAGUGAUCGUAGCCGAUAUAGCAGUUUAUUUCCUGCUUUUCUGACUACUCUUGCUAUCCCUUCUGCUAGACUCAGCGUGGGUGGAGCGAUUUGUUUUGGGCGUCCCACUGAGGACUAUUGUUUUUACAGUAUGUUCCGACGCCCAGUUGUUACCUAUGUUUUUGCAGAGCCACAGGUUCCGGCUGCUGCGCCGUCCGCGGACCAGGAUCGAGGCAAGGGCGUCACGAGUUAGAGCCCUACCCGUCGUGCUGAGCUAGAGGUGCCCCUACUGCAGGUAGAUGUUUUGUUUCGAGUUUAUGUACAUAGUUGACUUAACUCGCCAGUGCGAGUAGCUCUGUAUUUUGGUUUUGGACUAUGUAUAUGAAACUCAGUUUGUUUAGCUUCUGUUUUCUCUAGCAGCUCUCUACUACUGUUCGUAGUAGUGUUUGAUUCACAGGUACAGCUGUUGCUUCGUAUACAGAAAAAUUUCUUUGUAUACGGCGGAUUUGUCGGCGUGCCCGGGGAACGAGACAACCGGGGCGUGACACGGCUGCUGCAGAGGGCAAGAAAGGAGGUGUAGUAGUGAAAAAUCUGCAAUAUAUGGAAGAAAAAGAAGAAAAAAUAAAAAAAAUAUAUUUCUUCUCCUGGAAAAGCCAUUAUGUGUCGUAAUUGAUACAGAAAAAGCCAAAAAAUAGAGAAAAUAGAAGAAGAAAACGAAAUUGCACUGUUUCAGAUUAAAUUAUAGUAUUUAAAAUAAUUUGAGACUAAGUUGCACCAUAUAAAUAAAAAUUGCACUAUUUGAAUUUAAGUUUCACUGUUUGAAACUUAAAUUCAAAUACUUUCACUGUUUCAAAUACUUAAAUUCAAAAAUUGCACUAUAUACUUUCACUGUUUGAAACUUAAGUUACACAAUUUAAAACUAUUUGAGACUAAAGUGCAAUUUCUCAUACAGUGCAACUUAAACUCAAACAGUGUGUCACACCCCAAGACCUGCCCUAAAAGCCCUUCUUAGGUGCGUGCGACAGACCCGUUGAACAUGCAAGGUUUUCCUCGCCCGCAUGAAGCAGUAGCAUACACCAGCCUGCACAUCUUACAAGAAUAAAUAUGAAAAAGCAUUAGAGCAUUUUAAAUUCUAAUUUCAUGCUUAUACAAUAUCAACUCUCCUAAGAUUACAACCACAUCUGCUCAAAAUAAUAUAUGCUUGCCGCGAUCACGCGCUUCACCUGCGAUACAUGACUUUAUAAAAAGUAAUAAUAAUAAUAGGCUGUUUUCUAUACCAAAAAGAUAUUUAAAUCUUACAUCCAUCCAUCCAUCCAUCUGAUAUUUUUUAAUAUUAAAUAAAAAAUUAAUAAUGUUAGCUCGUGAGAAAAUAAUAAUCGUGCGAUGAAUAAGAUAUAAAAGUUUUAUUUAUAUGUAGUGAUAGCAUAUAAUUACUCUCGUUCGAUCUGUGCUCGAUGUGCAGGCUGGGACGUUUUUAUUGAUAGAUUUUAUAGGUAUGUAAAAUAAGGCAGAAAUUAAAUACAUACCAAAAUCCAGAAUCAAAAUAAAAUAAGAUAACUCACAGAGCGCCGUCGAGAAGAAAUUCCUGAUCAAUCUGUGGAAGUGUGAAGUCCGGCUAUGAUUUGGAAGUCACGAACCGAACUUGGGUGAUUUGGUUUCUCCUCCUAUCUCAGGCACUCUACCGUAUGGUGUGGAAUCGAUGAUAAUUCUUCACCAGAAUGCGUAUGAAAAAGUGGCAGGACCAAUACACCUUUAUAUAGAGUCCAGAUCGACUUCCCAUCAAAGCCUGAUUAGGAUUCUAUUUAAAUUUAAAAUAGAUGGGAUAGGGAUAAAAAUAUACCAUAUCAAGUAGUUCUAUAUAUGUUAGAAUUGACCUUUAUCUAUAGCAAAUCCUAAUUUAAAUAUGAUUAAUUGGGCACAAUAUAUGGAAAUCCUAACAAUCUCCCACUUGGCUCAUAUUAAUUAUAUUCCAUGAACGGAUUUUCUAUACUCCAAUCUUUAUUGCGCAUUAUUGGAAACUUUAUGAUCAAAUACUUUAGAACUCACUUGAUCUUUAGCUCAAACUAAAAGACUAUAAUGAUAGAAACUAUGGCGAUCCACCUCUUCAUAACAAAAUUUUUCUUCCAUAAUUACCGUGUCAUCUUCACCUCUUAGCCGAGUACUUUAUAUGGCACAACUUUAUGAAUGAACUUAAAGUGUAUGUUCAUUUGUUAAUAGACAAAACUUUAUGUCCAUUAAAUGGUCCAACACAGCUGCAUUAAACUUUAUUGAAAAAAAAAUAGAUGUUACAAAUUUAUACAUCAAAAGAACUAAUCAAAUCCAUAACUUUAACACGAUCUGUAUAUGACUCAGGUGCCGGCCCCUUGGUCAUUGGGUUUGCAAUCAUAAACUUGGUACUUAUGUAUUCAAUUGUAACAUAACCUUCAUCUAUCUUCUCUCUCACAACAAGAUAUUUGGUGUCCAAAUAUUUACACCCUGCUAUAAUCUUGUUGUUAUUGGCAAAAGAAACAGCAGCUGAACUUUCACAGAAAAUUUUUAUUGGAUAAACACCGGAGUCCACAAUUCUUAAGUCUGUGAUAAAAUUCCUAAGCCAAAUAGCCUGUAAUGUGGUUUCGUAACAUGCAAUAUGAUCCAAAGUUCCUUUCAAAUACCCUUUUAGCAGCCUUCCAAAUGCUCAAUGCUUGGAUUACUUUAAUACCUGCCAAGUAAUCCAACGGCAAAAGUAAUAUCCGGACGUGUGCACGUCUGUGCAUACAUAAGACUACGAACUGCAGAGGCAUAGGGUAUGCUUUUCAUCUGUUCAAUUAGUUCUUGGGACACUGAAAAUCAUUAAGCUUAUUCCCUUUCUGGACAGGAGCAACACUGGGCUUACAAUUAUGCAUUUCAAAAUUUUCCAAAACUUUCUUUAUGUAGGCGUUUUGAGAUAGACCGAGUAACCUUUUAUGUCUAUCCCUUUUGAUUUCAAUACCAAGAACAUAUGAGGCAUCGCCUAAAUCUUUCAUUUCAAAAUUUUGGAAAAGAAAUUCUUUAAUAUUAUGCAAUAGCCCAAGAUUAUUACUGACAAGCAAAAUAUAAUCAACAUAAAGGAUUAAGAAAAUUAUUUUAUCCCCACUAACCUUUAGAUAAAUACAUUGAUCAAUAAUAUUUUCCUUAAAACCAAAGGUCAAAAUAGUUUGUUUAAAUUUUAAAUACCAUUAUCGGUAGGCCUGCUUUAAUCCAUAUAUUGAUUUCUUUAAUUUGCAUACCAAGUGUUCCUUUUCCUUUUGCCAGAAUCUUUCAGGUUGAUUCAUAUACACCUCUUCAUAGAGAUCCGUAUUUAAAAAAGCAGUUUUGACAUCCAUCUGAUGUAGCUCGAGAUCAAAAUGAGCAACCAGAGCCAUAAUAAUACGGAAAAAUUUCUUUCUAGAUAGUGGAGAGAAAGUCUCUUUAUAGUCAAUGACUUCUUUCUGAGUAAAUCAUUUUGCCACAAGACGGGCCUUAUAUCUCUCUAUGUUACCUUUGGAGUCCCAUUUGAUUUUAUAAACCCACUUGCAUCCUACGGGUUUAACUCCUAUAGGUAACUCAACAAGAUCCCAUACCUUAUUGUGGUUCAUGGAUUCAAUCUCAUCCUUCAUGGCAUUGUAUCAUUCCAUAGAAUUAUUACUAUUUAUGGCUUCGGAAAAAUUAAGAGGAUCAUUUAAACUCUGGUCAUUCUCAUAAAGAUAGACAAUAUAAUCACUGGAUAUAGCCGGUCUUCUCUGUCUUGAGGAUCUUCUUAAAUCUAUCUGAUUAUCCACAUGUACAUCUUGAUGUGGAUUAUUCACUUGUACAUCUUGAUGUAAAUUAUCAACUUGUACAUCUUGAUGUGAAUUAUCAAUGAUAGGUUCACAAUAAUUUUGUGAUUCCAGGACGAUUUGUUGUUUUACUGGAAUAGGAAUCAUCAAAUCAUGAGGGAUAAUAGUGGGUCUGUCAAGUACAGAAACCGAAUGCUCUUUAAUUUCUUCAAAUUCAAUGAACCGAGGUUCAAAGCUCCCACUAAUUGCACCAUUCUCAAUAAACCGUGCUCUUUUAGUUUCUGCAAUCUUUAUAGGAAGUGAUGGACAGUAAAAUUUAUACCCUUUGGACCUUUCUGAAUAACCAAUAAAAUAUCCUGAUAUGGUUCGAGGGUCCAAUUUCUUUAUUUGUGGAUCAUAUAAUUUGGCCUCAGCUUAACAACCCCAUGUAUGAAAAUCUCUUAAACUGGGUUUCCUACCUGUCCAAAGCUCAAAAGGAAUCUUAGUGACAGCCUUAGUAGGGACCCGAUUAAGAAUAUACAGGGCUGUUUUGAGUGCCUCACUCCACAAUGAUAUCGAAAGGGUAGAAUUACUGAUUAUACUCCUGAGCAUAUCAAUUAAUGUGCGGUUCCUUCUUUCAGCAACACUAUUCUGAUCAGGUGUUCCUGGUAUGGUAUACUGUGGAACAAUUCCGUACUGCUCAAGAAACUUAGCAAAAGGCCUAGGGAUUUGGCCUUUAUCUGUUUGUCUACCAAAAUAUUCACCACCCCUGUCUGAGCUGACUACUUUUAUCCUUUUCUCGAGUUGAUUCUCUACUUCAGCCUUAUAUGCCUUAAAGGCAUCUAAAGCUUCAGAUUUUUCUUUAAGCAAGUAGAGAUAGCCAUAUCGAGAGUAGUCAUCAGUAAAUGUGAUAAAAUAUUUAUGGCCAGUAAUUGAUAGAGGAAGAGGUCCGCAUAUAUCGGUAUGAAUCAACUCUAAUGGUCCAUCACAUCUUUUAGCACCUUUAGAAGAGAUUUUGGUCUGCUUUCCCUUUAUGCAGUCCACACACAUUCCAAAGUCAGAGAAGGCCAAAUCAUCUAAAAUGUCUUCUUUAAUUAAUCUUUGGAUUCUCUAUUUCGAGAUGUGUCCUAACCUCUUAUGCCAUAACAUGGAUGACCUUUCAUUAUUAAUGCCACGUUUUGAUCCAACAUUUUCGUGCAUGGUAAGAAGGAUUUCACUAUAUGAAACAUCUAAAAAUACUUUAUAUAGAUUGUUUUUCAAAACACCAGAGCCAACUAUCUGAGAUUUAUAGAAUAAAGAAAACUUUAUUAUUAAAACUAAAACUAUAUCCCAAUCUAACAAGUUUCAAAAUAGAAAUUCAAUUCUUAGAAAAAUUUGGAACAUAAAAUGUAUCAACUAAAUCCAAAAUGUGACCAGUGGAAAGAACUAAUCUAAAUGUUCCUACAAAUUCUACUUUAGUUGGAUUUCCUUCAACUGUAUAGAUAGUCGCUUCACCUUUACUGGGUUUUAUGCGAUUCUGAAAUCCCUACACGGAAUUCGCCACGUGGCAUAUGGCACCAGAGUCAAUUCACCAAGUAUUAGACAUAACAGAAACUAAAUGCAACUCAUACAUCAAAACCAGAAACUUACCCUUCUUCUGGAGCCAUUUCUGAUACUUUUGGUAGUUCUUCUUCAUAUGACCCUUUUCUUUACAAAAGAAGUAAUUGGGAGUCCAAUUACUUGAUUGGCCUUGUGAACCAGAUGGAACUUUCUUGUUUUUUUUCUUUUUGAGUCAUUCUUGCCCUUUCCAUUCUUAGUACGCUUUAUUUGUCUCUUCUGAGAAACAAAGUUAACUGCAUUUCGUUUCUCUUGCAAUAAUAUGCCUUUUUCUUAUACACACAUGGUUUACAAUUCAUUAAUUGACCAGAGAUCUGAAAUAUUCGUAUUCAGAUGGCAAAAAGUUCAAAAUAAAGUGCACUAAGAAUGAAUCAGAGAUGGUUACACCAAGUGUAGUGAGCUGCGCUGCAAUAUCUCGCAUUUCCAUAAUAUGCUCGUGAAUCGAACCAUUUUCAGAGUACUUUAUGAAAGACAGUUUAUUCAUUAGGGUGCUCGCCAAGACUUUACUAGAGCUUACAAACUGUUGCUCCACAACACUUAGGAAAUCGCGGGCUGUCUCACACUCUGGAAUUGAAUUCCGAAUAUUUUACCGACACGCGCUUUCAUUAGUAUUAAACUAAGCUGAUUAGAGCGCUCCCACUUUUCUAAAAGUGCUGUUUGAGUUGGCAUACCUUUAUCUGUACGAGGAGCAGGGUUAUCCUCUCUCAAAGCCAAAACAAGAUCCAUACACCCUAAUGUAAGCAUGACCUGUUCUUUCCACUCCGAAUAAUUAGAACCAUUAAGCAUAGAAACAGAAUCACCAAUAGGAACAAAAGAUGAAGUCAUAACUGAAAUAAAAUGCAUGUUUUAUCAAUAAAAUACCACAUCAAAAAUUACCAUACCAAAAUUAAAAAAAUAUACUUUAUAUGACAUCACAGCCUCUCAUUUGGGAGCAGAGUUAUGAGCAUAAGUAUUUUUCGUUCCUUAUGCAUAUACUUUAUAUAACAUCACAACCCCUCCUUUGGGAGCAGAGUUAUGAGCAUAAAUAUGCAAUCAUUUCUUAUUCAUAUACUUUAUAUGACAUCACAACCCCUCUUUUGGGAGUAGAGUUAUGAGCAUAAAUAUGCAAUCUCUUUAUCAAAAAUUAAUUUAAGCUUUCUGUAGGUCGUGAUAAUUUCAAAUUUUCUAUAUGAAGAAAUUGUCAGCUUUGGCCAGACAAAUUUCUCCAAACGAGUUAUAAGAAGAUUACCAUCCUGCACCACCCAUAUACCUUCAUGUCUAGACCUCCUUUGGGAGCAGACUAAAUAUAAUAUUAUGGUGCAAUUUCUGCAUGCACAUCUUUAAAGCAAUUAAUUUAUCUUUUCUUCCGGUCGGGGCCGUUUUGGUUUGCACCCGAACAGUUGAAGCAAUAAAUUAAUCUGACUUAGUUCAGCAUGAUUAACAUGAAAAUUAUCCGAAAGCACUACUUUAAAGUAAAUUAAAUUAUUAUUUCUUUUAAUUAGGGCCGCUUUGGCUUGCACCUAACUAAUCGAAAUAAUAAAUUAAUUCAACUUAGCGCCAAAUAUUAAAUAAUCGAAAAUAAUUAUGAUUAUUUAAUUUUCAUGUUCAUUCGGUCAAAAUAAGAAUAUAGAUGCGAUAAUUUAAAAUAUAAUAUCACAAUCAAAUUUAAACUUUAUAUAUUCUAAUUUGACCACAAAUAUAAGAUAAAUAAAUUUAUGAUAAAUUAAAUAUUGUAUGCAAAAUUAAAUCCUUAUGUGAACGGAUUCUCUAUGUUCACGAUACUUUAACAAACAUGAGGAUCAAAUUUUGAUAUAUACAAAUUUCAUUGAAUAUAUUAAAGAGGUUAUAUAACCACAGAGUCAAACGGAUCCUUAAUUAAUUAAUUUGCAAAAGGAGCCUUGCAAUUAAUUAAUAAUGCUUGAGGUCCCAUGCGGAACCAAAGAAAAUUUUGAAUUAGUCGGACUCGACCAUCUCCAAAAUAAUUCACCACAUCUCAGGUUCAGAAACAAGAACCGGACUCUAAGUUUAAUGCAACAUUAAAAUAAAGCAUAUAAAAUUAGAGCCAAUCUAUAAUUGGCUAAUAUUAGUUUAAAAGAAGCCAACUAAUUAAUAAAUCUUGACCACUAUACAUGUACGAAGCCGCGCGGUCAACAUAUGUAAUAUUAACCGAAUUUCCAAAGGGUUAACGUUCAUGUCACCGCCGCAGUCGAGCAUGCCUCGUGUGAUCAAGAAGGCUAUUCAAACUUAAUUAGCCCACAAAUUAAGAUCGCGUAAUGUGUAAUAAUUUAUAAAAUUUCAAAAAAUAAAUCACUACGUAAAUCCUUACGUACACAAAUAAUUAUACUAUUAUGUGAUCUUAAUUUGGAUCAAGAACCGUAAAACCUUUUAUUAUGAAAACUCAAAAUUAAUCAUAAUUUGAUCCAAUUACAUAAUACAUACAAUAUUUAAUUUAGCAAUCUUGUCUCUGAUACCAAUUGAUAGAUUUUAUAGGUAUGUAAAAUAAGACAGAAAUUAAAUACAUACCAAAUCCAGGAUCAAAAUAAAAUAAGAUAACUCACAGAGCGCCGUCGAGAAGAAAUUCCUGAUCAAUUUGUGGAAGCGUGAAGUCCGGCUAUGAUCUGGAAGUCACGAACCGAAUUUGGGUGAUUUGGUUUCUCCUCCUAUCUCAGGCACUCUAUCGUAUGGUGUCGAACCGAUGGUAAUUCUUCACCAGAAUGCGUAUGAGAAGGUGGCCGGACCAAUACCCCUUUAUAUAGAGUCUAGAUCGACUUCCCAUCAUAGUCUGAUUAGGAUUCUAUUUAAAUUUAAAAUAGAUGAGAUAUGGAUAAAAAUAUACCAUAUUAAAUAGUUCUAUAUCUGUUAGGAUUGACCUUUAUCUAUAACAAAUCUUAAUUUAAAUAUAAUUAAUUGAGCCACAAUAUAUGAAAAUCCUAACAUUUAUCCCAUGCAUAAUUCAUCAUGGCCCACUGGCCAUUAAUUGCAGAUGGGAAAAGUCAGGCGGAAAGUAAGUUUCUUGGUAGCAGCUGCAGUGUCCAAAUCACUUGCUCCCAGUUAUUUGUUUAUUUAGUGCAUUCUCAUCUCUCACUCCUCAAUCCCCAAAACAUCUACGGCAAGAGCUUCUUAAUUUGGUUGUAGUAUUUUCUCUAGUUAAAUUUGAGAUUAUUUUGGAGCAACUCCCUCUUCAAUCUCCUCGUUGGAUCUGUGGUUAGUUGUGCUUCUUCUUCUUCUUAUAUUCUUUUUAAUUAACUUUUAUUUUCUUUGCUAUCAACUAGUUGAUUCUGCAAAAGGGUACAAAGAGUAUAGUAUAUGUCUUUGUUGAUUAAUAUAUUGUUUGGAUUCACUUGAUCUUUGGUAACAAAAUAACAAUAGAUAAUAGUUAAGGUAGAAUCAUUUGGCCUUAUAUAUACUUUCACUUUAUUGUUGAUGAUUGAGCACCUAAAUCGAUGAUCAAUACCAUGAAAGAUGAUUAAAGAUAGGGUAAAUUGCAUUGUUACCCCCUGAACUUUUGGCGAAGUUUCACUUUACCCUUCAAACUUCUAAAAUGGACAUCUAACCCCCUAAACUCUAAUAUUUCGUUCAUGUUAUCCCUUCCGUCAGUUUUCUGUCAAGCUCCGUUAACCAGAAACUGAGGGAAGAGGUAAAACGAAUGAAAUAUUAGAGUUUAGGGUGUUAGAUGUCUAUUUUAGGAGACUGGGGGUUAAGUGAAACUCGCCAAAAGUUCAGGGGGUAACAAUACAAUUUACCCAAAUUUUUACUAUAAAUUAUUUUUAUAUUUUUAUAUUAAAAAUUUCUAAUUGGCUGAAAUGAAGUACAAAAAUUUUAUUUAAGUGUAUUUUAUAGAACAAUACUUCUAAAGAUAAAAGGGACAAACGAGUACUACAGAAAAUUAACUGAGAAUUAAAAUUUCUAUAUCCGAGUGAGGACACCUAUUGUAAAUCAACCAUAUUAGCGAGUACGUUGGGAUAGUAGAGUGUUUGAAUAUCGUAGGUAGUUAGUAUCGCUCUUUUUUUAUCUUUAAGCCACUCUAAUUCAUUUCUUUCACUUUUAUUUUAUUACAAUAAAAUGUAGGAUAAAUUAUGGUAUGAUUUAUUUUAGGAUAAAAAAUAUAUAUAAAUUCAAAAUCAAGCACGAUCACUAACUUGAGGAUUAGUAGUCAAUCCAUAAGUAACAUAUUAUAAUAAAAUAAUUUAUAGUCAAGAGUCCCUACGGAGUAAAUUGCACUACUACUUCCUAAACUUUUGGCGAGUUUCACUUAACCCCCCAAACUCCUAAAAUAGACAUCUAACACCCUAAACUCUAAUAUUUCAUUCGUUUUACCCCUUUCGUCAGUUUCCGGUUAACGGAGCUUGACGGAAAACUGACGAAAUGGGUAAAAUGAAUGAAAUAUUAGAGUUUAGGGGGUUAAAUGUCCAUUUUAGGAGUUCGAGGGGUAAAGUGAAACUUUGCCAAAAGUUCAGGAGGUAACAAUGCAAUUUACCCAUUAAAGAUACAUAAACUUUAUAGAAAAAGAGUUUUGUGAUAUUUAAAAUUUAUUUUCUAGAUCACCAAGAGGGCACAAUACGAAUGGUCAAAAUUAGCAACCUUCUAAAUACAAUUUUUUUUCAAAAAAAAAUCUUAAAUUCAUAAUCUUGGUUAUAGAUAUUGAUCUAGAUAGUUGAGAGAAUUUUAUUUAUUAUCAAAAGCUCAACUAAUAUAUGCAGUUUAAUGGCAUUUAAAUUUAGUUUAUUUGUCUCUUCUAUUUACAUCUUCUACCAACGUAUUGACAUCAUUCGCAAGCUAUUUAACAUGUAAAUGAGUAAAAGAUCAGAUCCUAAGUCUAAUGUAAAUGAGUAAAAGAUCUUAAGUCUUUAAUAGAUUACUAUCAGAUCAAUCUUUUGGGUAACAAGAUCAAUAGCCACUAUGAUUCCUUAGUUUUAUACUAUAAAUAUCAUUGAGAAGUGUACAGUGGAUAGCAUAUAGAGUACGCAAUUAAUUGAUAGUGAUUUUCUUUGGAUUUAAACUUGCUAAUGUACAAUGAAACAACCUUCUACAACAUCUUACAAAUUGCAGCACAAAUUAAAGAAGUUAAAAUAGAACUUUUAGAUUCUGGUCUGAUAAUAGGUAGCAUGAAUUAAUGUCAAGGCAGUAAAAUUUGACACAUUAGAAAUGUGGGAGUUCACGUCUAAAAUUAUUUUCUUAUAUUUCCAUCAAAACAAAACUAUUUGAAUAAGCACUAAUAGUUUCUUGCUCAAAUGACUUUAGUCCUGAUAUAAACUUAAUUAUAAACAAAAAGAGGCCUUCAAGGGAAACUAGACUUAAUUAUAAUUGUUAAGAAUAAUGUACAAUCACUCUUAAUACAAUUCCCUCUACUUAGUGACUGGCAGUAGAUUCAUUUGCUUUCCAACUCUUCAUUGAUUUCAUAAUCCUCUAAAUUAAGGACUAUUCCACAUCUUGCUUUACAAAUAUGAGGUCAUGUGGGAGCUUAGUAUGAUUAGUUAUUAAGAAUCUUUUAUCUUAAAAAUUUGUUAAACUGAUUCUCAAACAAGUUAUUGCUUGUUGUUCUUACAGACUACAAUGUUGUUACUAGUUUUCUUCCUUUUAAUAGAGGAUUCAAACAAAUGUUUGUUUAGUACACUACAGAGUUAUCCUGGAUGAAACAAUUACAUAUUUUUUACGAAAAUUGCCUAGAAUCAUAAGAGCGUUAAAAAAUAAUCAUUUUCACUGGUGGUGCAUUUGAAAAGACAUGGUAAUUUGAAAAGAUUGUUUAUUUUAGGCUCAAUUCGGAAGAAGUGCCCAUGGCGGAGGUUGUGGUAAGCUCAUUACUCCUGAAUAUCCGUGCAACCUUAGUUAGUGAAGCAACUAAAUCAGCAACAUCACUAUUACUAACACGGAUAUCAGCAAUGAAAGAACUCCUGGAGGAUGUAAGUGACAUUAAGGAUGAGCUUGAGAGCAUGCAAUCCUUCCUACAGAUCGCAGAAAGACUAAAACAGAAGGAAGAGAGCACAAAAAUCUUUAUAAAACAAACGAGAGACUUGGCUUUCGACAUUGAGGAUAUUAUAGAUGAGUUCACGUACAAGCUGGGUGAGGAGCAAGGAGGGGUUCUACCCAUAGCAAUCAAGAGGUGCAGAAAUAUAAAAACCUGGCAUCACCUUAGCAAGAGGCUUAAAGAGAUCAAAAUUAAGCUCCAAAACAUUAUGGAAAGAAGGAAGCGAUAUGAUACGAGAGGAAUGGAAAAUGAGGCAAGACCUUUAAUAGCUGUUGGCGGUAGCAAAAGCCGUGCAGAAUUAGCACAUUUUGUCAAGGAGGAUGAUAUCGUGGGUAUUGACAAGUACAGGGACUUAUUGCUCGGAUGGUUAAAAGAUGAGGAUGAGCAGCAACGACAGCACGUGAUAAUCUCAGUGUUGGGUAUGGGUGGUCUAGGGAAGACAACUCUUGUUACUCAUGUGUACAAUAUCAUCAAAGCUACCUUUGACGCUUGUGCCUGGGUUGUUGUAUCUGAAAAUUACAAUACUGAUGAUUUGCUUAGACAGAUCUUAAAAGAGUUUUGUAGAGAAGAUCGAGAGAAAAGAGUAGUACCUAACAACAUUGAUACCAUGGAUUACAGAAGCUUGGUUGAGACUACCCGCACUUAUUUGCAGUAUAAAAGGUAUGUACUCAUUCUGGAUAAUGUUUGGAGUACUAAUGUAAUGGAUAAAAUAAAAGAUGCACUUCUGAAUAGUAAUAGCAAGAGCAGAAUAAUUCUUACAACAAGGAUUCACAAAGUAGCACUAUUAGCUAAUGAGCACCGUAUGUGUGAGCUAAAGCUACUAGAGGUAGAUCAUUCGUGGGAUUUGUUUUGUAAAAAUGCAUUUUGGAAAAGUGCAAACAGGAUUUGCCCGCCGCCUUUAGAACAAUGUGCGAAAAAAAUCGUCGAGAAGUGUGGCGGCUUGCCCCUUGCUAUCGUAUCUAUAGCCCGUCUCUUAUCAUUUCGAGAACAAACUGGUUCUGAAUGGGAGAAGGUUUACAAAGAUCUUGAGUGGUAUCUAACUAACAACGAAUCGGAGGUCCAUGAAAAAGUAUAUGACAUUUUGAAACUUAGUUUGGACGAUCUUCCCCAUUACCUUCGAAAUUGCUUCUUAUAUUGUUCUAGUUUUCCAGAAGAUUAUCGAAUUGAAAGUGACAAGCUCAUAUGGCUUUGGGUGGCCGAAGGGUUCAUUGAAGAAAGAGGAAUAAUGAUGGAGGAAGUGGCCGAGGACUACCUUUACGAACUUGUUCAUCGCUGUCUACUACAAGUGGUAUAUAGGGAUGAAGUCGGUAGAGUUUGUGCAUGUCGAAUGCAUGACGUCGUUCGAGUCCUCGCUCUUUCCGAGUCAGAGGAGUUAAGUUUCUGCAUGGCUUACGAGCAAUCAAGGACAAAAUUGCAGAGAUCCAAAGCACGCCGCUUGUCAAUCCUAAGCAAUAUAACGAAUUAUUGUACUGAAGACAAAUCUCAUUCACGUUCAGUACUUGUUUUCAACAAGUCCAUGAGUUAUGAUUUACUGAAGUCGGUCUUAAGAUCAUCAAAAUUUUUACGUGUCUUGGAACUACAAGGAGCACUAAUCGAGAAACUACCGAACGAAAUCUGUAACUUAUUCAAUCUACAUUAUCUUGGCUUGAGAGGAAUCAAAAUUAAGGAGCUUCCAAGAUCAAUAGGAAAGCUACAAAAAUUGCAAAUAUUAGAUAUAGGUGAAAGUGAAAUAGAAAAGCUGCCAAAGGGAAUAACAGAGCUUCAAAAGUUGAGACAUCUAGUUUUGUCCUACAAUUCGAGUAAUAACAUCCAGGCACUGGCGGGAAUACAGUGCUUGAAGGGCUUGCAUAGUUUGGCAAACAUUGGUGCAACUAGGAAGAUUGUGCGGGAUGUAGAAGCUUCGACUGAGUUGCGGACAUUUUCAAUAACGGGCGUAAGAACCCAUCACUGUGCAGACUUGUGGAAUAGUAUCACAAAGAUGAACCAUCUUAGUACUUUAUGUAUCAUGAGUGAAUGUGGGCAAAAAUUACAGCAGUUGGGCAUCCUGUGCCUACCUCUACCAAUUCAAAGAUUACAUUUGCAUAGUGAAUUAGACAAAGACUCACUCCUUGAGCUUGCCACAUCCUUUGGGUCUCUAACAAACCUAACCACAUUAACACUUGCAUAUUUUAAGGGUUAUUUUAGUAUAAAUUAUAAGAAAGGAACGGAAUAGUGACGGAACCUUAAUGUAGGGGGUUUAAACGCAUCAACUUGAAAUUUUAAAGAGAUAAAGUAUAGAUUUUUUUUAAAGUCGGUGGAGGAAGUUAAAAAACAAGUAUUUACAUGGAGUUUUCUAUAUUUUACUCUUAUUAAAAAGAUUAAAAAAAUAAUUGAAGAAAAAGAUAAAAGCAAAUGUUAGUUCUUAACUCCGUUGAGUUAAUCCUAAACAAAUAGGACUUGGCGUUAUAACAAGAUAAGAAUAGAGUAAAUAGAUGAGGUAGUUUCACAAAUAUUGCUACCUAACAGAUUAGUGAGAAAAUCUGUUAGUAGAUUUCGGUUUAAAUUUAUAGUUAUUUAAAUUAAAGCCAAAUUCUAAUUUAAUUAGGAUAUAUAACAUGAGAUUUUGAUUUACUAAACAAUAAAUAGAGUUUAAUUAAGAAUCCAAUUGGACUGUGAGUUCUAAGUAAAUUGCCAUGGAAUUAUAGGGGCUCCUUUUGAUUAUUUACCUUUUACUACUAUUCAAAUGUUUUAAAUUUAUUCUAAAAUUACUAAAAUAUCUAUCUAAAAUCUAAUCUCAAUAAUAAUAAAUGGCCUUUUUGCAUAAAAAAUCUAUUAGUUUCAAGAUUUUGUAAAAAUGGGUCACUAUUUUGAAUUUUACAAAUUCAGCUCGAAUUUUUAAAAAACUAAUUAAAAUAUUUUUAUUCCUUUUCCUCUCUCUCUCUCUCUUUUUUUCUUUUUUUUCUUUUUUUUUUUCUCUCCGAGCCUCCUUGCCUCCUGUGAGGUCCUAAUAAUCCCACAUCGGAUGGAAAUAGAGUUGUCAUUGGGUUUAUAAGAGACUUAGACACUAGUAAUAAUAAUUGGGCUUAAACAUUUUGGGCCGGUGGUUGGGCCCAACGAGUUAUUGUUGCUAGUGGGCUGGGUCGUUACAUUUGGUAUCAGAGCCGGUUCACCAGCUGGACAUGUGUGGCGAGUCUCGGCUGAGCCAGGGUCUGGAUGACGGGCUAGCGAGACGAGUCUCACAUCGCCUGGUGAUCUUGGGCUGUGUGUGUGAUUGGACUGACGAGGACGUCAGGGCCUUAACGGGGGGAGUCUGUGACACCCCAAUAAUCCCACAUCGGAUGGGAAUGGGGUUGUCAUUGGGUUUAUAAGAGACUUAGACACUAGUAAUAAUAACUGGGCUUAAGCAUUUGGGGUUGUCAAUAAUAACUGGGCUUAAGCAUUCCCAUCCGAUGUGGGAUUAUUGGGGUGUCACACCUCCUCCACCGUCUCUGCGAAUCUCGGUGACGGAAAGGAGGACGUUGCCGCCUCCUCUUUCUCCGCCUCAGCCAAUGCAGGUGCCAGCAUCGACGCCGACGCUGAAGGAGGAGGACUUGGAGCGGGUGCGGGUGUGGGCGGAGCAGACGGAGGCGAUGAGUUCGUGGCUGAGGCGGUGCUCGCUGUCGUACGUGAUGGUGAGAACGAAGAUACACCCGGGCUUCUCCAAGAAGCGAAAAAAGAUGCACAGAGUAGAAAAAAAGGAAUAAAAAUAAAAGAAUUUUUUUUUUUUGAAAAAUCAUUAUGUAUCAUCGCUGCUACAGAAAAGGUUCAAGAAUUAGAGAAGAAGGGAAAAAAAUAUCAAGUUGCACUAUUAAGAUAAAAUUGUAUUAUUUCACACAAGAAAAUUACAUUGUUCGUGUUAAAAUCGGAACGGCGAAAAAUAGAUUCAGAAAAUAAUUUAAUGCAGGAAAAGAAAAAAAAAAGAGGAAAGAGCAUACCGAUAUUUACGUGGUUCGACCAACGGCCUAGGUCCACGGACGAAGACGGAGCAAAUAAUUUAUUUAUGUCGAAAGGCGAAGUACAAAAAAAAUCUCUCUCUAAGAUUAAAAUCCCAAUUAAAGUAUUUAAUUGACGCACAUAUGCAUAUAGCAUCUCCAAUUAGCACGUCCGUACAAUGAGAUCCUUCAGCUCGGCUCACCAUAUAUAAAAUACGGCACCUUCGUUGGCUUAAUUAAUUGAGCAUCAUAAGUCUCCUCAGCCGAGCACCAACAGCACGGAAACACCAACAACACCGAACGCUAAUUAAUUAGAGGAUUGCUUGGCAUUUAUUAAAGUUCCGGCUCCUCAAUGCUCUAUAUAUAAUAUAUACUAGAGCCUUAAUUGGAGUAGGAUGUUGAAAUUUUAUAAGAAAUUAAGAUCGCAUCUUUUGUCAUGAUUUCGAUUUCUGUACCCGAAUUGUUGACGGUGGUCCUUGCUCGUGGUUCGUCCUCGUUCGUGAUCUGCAAAGUAGCGGGACGUUUCGAGUCUAAUUUUCUUAUCUCCGGAGAUGGAGCCGUCACAGACCGAGACUCCCGUAUGUUACAUAUUUAUAUAUAACUUAAUGUAAGGAUUUUAAAUCACGUCCGUCCAUCAAGGACGUAUCCAGAUAAACCCUAACCGUAAGAUCUACUGUAUCUUUAUAGAUUGACUUAAAUAGAUUGACUGUAUCUUUAUAAAUCGCCUUGAAUAUAUCACGUAGGCCACAUCCAAUAUAGGAUACUGCCAAAUUAAUUUGAGUCUGACUCAAAUUAAUAUUGCCGUGACCAAUGGCAGGUUGCCAACUCAUUAUAUAUACCGAAUCUCAAUUCUAAUCUAUUUCAACUUAAGCUUGCUCCAUAUAUUUCCGAUUUAAAUCUUAUCUUAUUAUAAUUAGAUUAGAAUAUAAUUUCAAUUUAGGUAACUACAAAUCUAAACCAAAUUACAAUAGGUCGAGACAAAUGUUGCAUUUUUUUGACACAAAAAUUGUAUUUUUUUGAACCAAAAGUUGUACUUUUUGAGCAAAGUUAUAGUGUUUGAGUGAAAAUUGUAUUCUACAGCCUCCUUGCGACGGAGGCCUACCGCCCAAUUAUCGUUUUGAAGCGGCCCCUCCUCGCCUUCCUCCUCGCGCUCCUCCGGGUCUCCCACCCACUCAAUCAAGGACGGGCUCAAGGCGCUCUGUCGCGUUGCACUGUACCCGCUCAACCGCUCUGUGUUGGUCGCAUUGCAACAAAAACGGUCUAUAGUGAUACUUUUAAAUGUCGGUAUAGGUCAAAAAAAGUGCUGCUGGCUAAAUUACCGACACUUUUAAAAGUAUUGCUAUAUGUAGGGUCGCUAGGUAUAUAGUGACAGUUAAAGAGUGUCGGUAUAACCUAAAAAGAGUGCUGCUAAUUUACCAAUACUUAUUUAAGCAUUUAGCAACCGCCGGAACUCUACCUCGUUGGUUGUGGUGGCGGAGGAGGAGGAGAGGGAAGGGCUCUUCGUUUAGAAUUUCAGUGGAUUGACUGAGGGGAGAAAGGGAGAUGGUAAUCGAUUUUUUUUUUCUUUUCUUUUCUGUUUGUAAUCGGGCCGAAUGGGCUGGGUGGGGUGGGUUGAGUAGAAUAAACUUUUAUUUUUUGUUAGAUUGGGCUUUAUAUUUAGGCAUUAGUAGAUUUUUUAAAAAAUUUUGGUAUAAAUGAGACACUUACACAAAAGUGUCUCUAAUAUGUGUCCCUAUAAUCUAAUUCUGUUGUAGUGUCGAGCUCGGCGCCAUGCCCACGCUCUUCUCCCUUGUCGUCAUUCUGCAUUCGUCGCGCUUUACCCGCUCAACCGUCCCGUGCUGGUCGAGCUCGGUGCCGUGCCCGCACUUUUCUCCCUCGUCGUCAGUCUGCAUUUGUCGCGCUCUACCCGCUCAACCGUCCCGCGCUGGUCAAGCUCGGCGUCGUGCCCGCGCUUUUAUCCCUCAUCGUCAUUAUGCAUUCGAAAAGUUUUAGUGAUAUAUAAUUUUAUAUUUUGUUUUAGGGUAAAUUACACUUUUGGUCCUCAAACUAUAUAUGAAGUGCGUGAUAUUUUAGCCCUCAAAUUUUAAUUUAUUAUAAUUUUUUAGCUCGAAUUAUGUGAUAUAUUACAUUUUAGUCCUCGAACUUUAAUUAGGUAUAACAUCUGGCUCGACCUUUAAGACUUGUGACAUUUUAGUCCUUGAACUUAUUGAAUUAUUACAAUUAAGCCCCACAGUCAAAAAAAUUUUUUAAAAUAAGUAUGGAUAAAUUAUUUGUAUUCAAUUAAGCCCUACCGUCGUGGCCGAAUGUGACAUUUUGAGGACAAAAGUGUCACCGACUUCAUAGUUCGAACGACAAAAUUAUAUCAAAUUAAACUUUGAGGACGAAAGUGUCACGCGCCUCAUGGUUUGGAAGCUGAAAGUGUAAUAAUUUACCCUUUGUUUUACCAUAAAAAGUUAUUAUUAAAUAGAAUAGUAAAAUAUUAGAAUUCGCAAAUUAUACAGAAAUGCUAAAUUUUGUAGGUUAAAUUAUGUAAAAUAUAUGCGCGGAGGCGCUUUAGUUGCGCGUCCUGUAAUAUUAUUAAAAUCAAAAAAUAAAAAAAGGGACGUGGAGUGGACUCGCGCGACCCACGCGAGUUGUCCCCACGCAGGAACCCAGAGAUGCUACCAACCACGAACAUACUCUCUGCACCUGGUGUACUUCUAUAUAUAUAUAUAUAUAUAUAUAUGUGUAUAUAAAUUGUAAAUAAUAUUUGGUAAUCAAUAUUUUAAAAUUAAGAUCUAAUAAUUUUGUUGAUAAUUAAUAUAAAUUCCGUGCACGUAGUAAUUAAUGACUUUGGAAAUUCAUAAUUUCGUGCGCAAACCUCCAAUUUCGAUAAAAUUUGGUUUAAUCAGAUGAUCCUCUCAAUCAGAGUAUAUUUUGUAUAGGAGGACUUUUCGUUUUCAAAAAUUAUGAAAAUAUUAUAUAAAAUAAUGACUUGAUUGCGACACUACAACCAAGUACUCAUGGGAAAAGUCAAUAGGAAGUUUCUUGGUUGCUGCACUUGCUCCCAGUUUCUUGUUUAUAAUAAUGUAUAGUUCAUCCUCAUCUCCAACUCCUCAAUCCCUAAAACAUCUACUUCCAGAGCUUCUCUGGUUGCAGCAUUUUCUCUAAUUAAAUUUGAGAUUAAUUAUUUUGGAGCAGCUCCCUCUUCAAUCUCCUUUCUGGAUCUGUGGUUAGUUGUUGUUCUUCUUCUUCCCCUACUCUUUUUAAUUAAUUUUUAUUUUCUUUGCUAUCAAGUGGUUGAUUCUGCAAAAGGGUACAAGGAGUAUACUGUAGUAUGUCUUUGUUGAUUAAUAAUGGAAAAACUUCAAAAACCCUCCCUGUGGCUUCACACUUUUUCAUUUUAGUACCCUGUGGUUUAAAGUUUAUCAAGUUAGUACCCUGUAGUUUCUCACUUUAUCACUUUAGUACCCUGUGGUUUUGCACUUUAUCACUUUAGUACCCUGUGGUUUCACACUUUAUCACUUUAGUACCCUGUGAUUUAAAAAACCACAGGGUACUAACUUGAUACAAAUUAAAACCACAGGGUACUAAAGUGAUAAAGUACAAAACCACAGGGUACUAACUUGAUACACUUUAAACCACAGGGUACUAAAGUGAUAAAGUGAGAAACCACAGGGUACUAACUUGAUACAUUUUAAACCACAGGAUACUAAAGUGAAAAAAAUUGAAACCACAAGGGGGGUUUUUGAAGUUUUCCCAUUAAUAUAUAUGUUGUUUGGAUUCACUUGAUCUUUGGAAACAAAAUAACAAGAGAUAAUAAUUAAGGUAGAAUAAUUUGGCCUCAUGUAGUAUUUUCACUUUAUUGUUGAUGAUUGAGCAUCUAAAUCGAUGAUCAAUAUAUACCAUGAAAGAUCAUUAAGGAUACUAGCCAAAUAAUGUUAAAAAGUUAUGAAAUUUAGUUUCCAAAUACUUUCAAUAGUGUAGAUCAAGUUUACUGGAGCCGAUCGUUGAUUUAAAAGCCGCAUCAUUAAAAAAUAACUUAAUAGCACAGAGGCCUCCGUGCUACCGAUAAUAUAAAAUUUGAUUCCACCAUGUUCACACGAAAAUGAAAUAAGAUGAAAAGAAAUUAAAAUUUGGUUUGCUUUAUACUUAUUAAAAGUCAACUAACCCAAGAUUUAAAUUGGCUUAAAGAUAAGAAUUAAGUGCAGGAUAGAGGAAGAGGGAGAGAGCAAUUAAAUAAUAUGUACACGCAUAUGAAAGUGAAUAUCAAUAUGAUGUAUUUAAGUAUAUGUGUCGUACACAUCUACAAGUAAUUGCAUAUAAUUGAGUCUAAUACAUUAUUAGUCGCCUAAUUUUUCCUGAAAUUUCAUUUACUUCAUAAAAUUUUUAGUUUUUUUUUUCUCCAAAUCAAGUUAUCGAAACUUCAACUUCUACUAGUUUAGGGCCCGCGCUUUGCGGCGGGUAAAUAAUAUUUUAUCAAAUUUAAAUAUUUUAAUUUAUACAAAUUUUAAUAAAUAAUUUGUAGUAUUUUAGCAAAUUUAAAAAUUUUAAUUUAUACCCAAUCCAAACGGGCCCUAAGUGUAUCAAAUAUGAUACGGGGGAUUAUUUUCUGCCUAUAUAAAAAUAUGUACUAUAUCAUAUAUGUGUAAUAAUAAAUUAUCUAUAGAUGAACAUAUCAAAUCUUGGUGGCAUUGUGUAUUAAAAAUUAAUAGAAAAAUAUAAAGAAAAAAAAACCAAUUGGUUAACUUACACUAAGUUUUUAAUUGAUUAUCUUAUUCUCUAAUCAAAUGAAUAUAUUAAUUUGAUCAGAUAAAUCUACUUUUUCCCAUUAGAAGGAUAAAUUAUGUGAAUUAGCUCAAAAAAAAAAAUAAAAAAUAUCUGGCACAAGGCUAUUCGAAUCGCAAUGACCAAGAAAAAGAAAAGGAGAAUAAGGUAACUAGAAUGGGAAAGCACAGAAAAGAAACAAUAUUAUUUGACCAAACUAACAAAUUUUUUCUGACUCUACUCUAAGCCAAUUAUUAUAGGUGUUGCUUAUAUUGUAUAAUUUUUAUAAAUCUGCUUAUGCUAUUGAAAAAGUAACAAGACAUAUAAUAGAAAAGAAGUAAGAUGAAUUUUAAUUUUCUUAUUAUAUUUCCCAUUAGAAAUGAAGUUCAAAUCUAAAAAAAUAUUAUUGAAACUUAUUUAAAGUAUUUCGCACGCGCUUGAGAGAAAAAAAAACGGUCAAAUUAAAAUGUGCAUUUAAUUUAGAAGAUUUUUUUAUUUGUUAUAAUAGUAGAGAAUGAAGUUAAUUACUUUCGUAUUAUUAAUCAUUGGAAAGCCAAUAAAGAUUAUUAUAUCAUUAUUUAUGUAACAUAAAUAUUGGAUUAAUUAUAUGUAUUAAUUAUUAUAUUAACUAUAGUUUAUUAUUGAUUCAUUGGAAGAUAAUUACUUUUUCUCGGUUUAACUUAAUUCAUGGAAGCAAAAAAGCAUUAUUGACAUAUAUUGGGGUUAAUUAUAUAUUAUUUAAUUAUAUUAUUAAAGCCCUAUGUUACUUAUUGUGAUGGUAUAUUUAUAUUUAUAUCAGUUUAUUAUCAUUUAAAUUUCUCAUUUGUUGCUUUCACAAGAGGAAUUGAAAUACUUGCCACUGUGGCAACAUAUUUAUUCUGACUUCGAUAUAGUUUUAUAUUAGAUUUGACAUAAUAUUGGGUUAAUUAUUAUGUAUUAUAAUUAUAUAUAUUAAACUAUAUGUAUUAUUUGUUGAUUAUAUCAUUUAUAUUCAGUUAUUAAUCAUUAAAAUUUCUUCAUUCGUUGUUCUUUCAGAGCAGGGACUGAAGAGAUACUUUCGCCACGUGGCAAGAAUUAUCUGGCUUCAUCAUAGUUUCAUAGAUUUUCAAUGGAUCACUGGUCAAAUAAUUUAUAUUCACUUUUUUAUGAUUGAAAUUUUACUAUGGUAUAUAUAUAUAUAUUUGAUUAAUAAUUGAAUAAGGUAGCCAGAUAAAUUUUCUCUACGAGGUUAAUCAGUGACAUUGUGACCAAAUGAAAUGAUUAAACCUAUAUACUUAUACUUGUUUGUUUAACCACCUGAGGAUCACCACACUAAACUAAAACCAACUUAUUAUUCUACAUUCGAUAUAUUUUUUCAUUCAAAGUUUAAAAAUUUGAUAGUAAAAGUCAAACAAUCAUAACUUAAUUUAAUUAGUAUUCUAGUCCAACUUCUCUCUCUCUUUCUUCUCUACUUGAUCUUCUCCGACCUUUUUGAUCCUUCUUGAUAAUAAUAAAUUGUAUACGUUGGAUGUAUAGUUAUGUCUUCUAGAUUGAGCAGUCCUAAGAUAAUUAAUAUUAAAUUCCAAUGUAGAGAAUACAACAAUAUAGACCUGAUCUCAAGCUAGAAAGUCAGUAAACAUACUUUUCGUCCAGUCUUGUUUUUAUUCUUAAUAAUUAUAUUAAUAUUAUAAUAUAUAUAUAUAUAAUAUAUAUAAUAUAUUAUAUAUAUAUAAAUAUAUAUAUAUAAAUUUUUUUUUUUUUAUUUCAAUAUGAGUAUUGAUAACUUCUUUUCCAAUAUAUCCUCUGAUUUCAAUUUUUCUGCAUUUUUGAGGCCAAAAUAAAAAUUGUAAAACCGUACUUUUGAAAUCCUAAUUCUGAUUUGUGAACUCAAAUUAAAUUUAAAUAAGAUUCAAAAUUUUAAUUUUAAAUUCAAAAUUAUUUAAAUCAUAAUUUAUAAUUUCAAUUUUAAAUUUUUAAAUUUAAAUUUUCAAUUAGAAAGUUUCAAUUUUAAGGUGUAAAUUUAAAUUUAAAAAUUAAAAUUUGUAGUUUUUUUAACUUUCAAAUAUCUUCAGUAAUUUUAAUAUACUUUAAAUUCUUAUAAAUUUAAAAUUUAAACCUUAUAUUUUCCCAUAUUUUAAAAUUUAGUAUUUUAAAUUUUAAAUUUAAAAAAUUUUAAAAAUUAGAUUUAAAAUUUUAAAAUUUUAAAAAUUUUAGAAAAUUUUUGAAUAUUUGCAAUUUGAAUUUAAGUUAUUUUAAAAAAAAUUAUAAUUAUCAAAUUGUAAAUUUUAAAUUUUAAAUUUAUAUUUUAAAGUUAUAUUUUGAAAAUUUUUAAAAGAAAUUAAAUUUUAAAAUUUAUAUUUUAAAUUAUAAGCUCGAAAUUUGGAAUUUAAAAUUUGAAAAUUAAAAAUUCAAAUUUAUUUCUAUUAUUUAAAAUUUUAAAUUUAAAUUUUAAAUUUUAAUGGUUUAACUUUUAAAUUAAAAACUUAUAUUCAAAUUCAGAAUUCGAAUUUUAAAAUAAGAUUUACAAAAAAAACUAUUAUUUAUAAUUAAUAAAGAAAAUUUUGUUAAACAGCUUUAUAAAUCAUUUUUAAAAAAUCACUUUUCUGUUAGAUUUAGCUAAGCGCUCUACAAUUUUUAACUAAAUUUAAUUUUCUAAAUUAAAAUUAAUUCAGUAAAAAUUAUUUUUUAAAAAAAUAUUGGCCAAACAGGCCCAUAAUUCAUCAUGGCCCACUGCAAUCAAGUGCUGCUAGGGCCUAGGAAUAGUAAAGAAAGAAAAAAAAAAAUCUAGAAUGCACUAGUUAUAUUGGUGAUGUGUCGUCACCUACCAAUGAAAUUGUUCCUUUAUGUUUGUUCACCCAUCCCAUCAUGGUUAAUAGCAAAAUAUUUUUAUUAUAUUUUUUACUCAAAAGAAGAGAUAUAAUUGACUUUUAAUAGAUGAUGUGGUAUGACCGAUACAUAAUAGAAUCUCUCAUAAUAAAGAGCGAAGAAGUUUCUCCAUCGAUAGCUGUACUAUCUAAAUCAUUUGCGCCCAACUAUUUAUUUCCUUAUCAAAUUUGAUAUUUGGAGCAGCUCCCUCUUUAAUCUCUUCCUUGGAUCUGUGGUCAGUUGUUCCUCUUCCACUUAUUCUUUUUAAUUAAUUUUUAAGUUCCAAGUGUUCUUGUUUUUUAUUUUCUUUGCUAUCAGCUAUUUAAUUCUCUAAUAAAGCACAGAGAGUAAUUCUUUUUGGCUCAAUAUAUAGUUUGGAUUCACUUCAUCUUAGGAAACGCGCGAGAUGACAAGAGCUAAUAACUAAGCUAGAAUAAUUUGGCCUUAUAUAAUACAUUCACUUUAUUGUUGAUGAUUGAGCACUUAAAUCGAUGAUCAAUAUCAUGAAAGAUGAUUAAAGAUACAUAAACUUUAUAGAAAAAGAGUUUUGUGAUAUUUAAAAUUUAUUUUCUGGAUCACCAAGAGGGCACAAUACGAAUGGUCAAAAUUAGCAACCUUCUAAAUACUUUUUUUUUUUUUAAAAAAAAUCUUAAAUUCAUAAUCUUGGUUAUAGAUAUUGAUCUAGAUAGUUGAGAGAAUUUUAUUUAACAUCAAAAGCUCAACUAAUAUAUGCAGUUUAAUGACAUUUAAAUUUAGUUUAAGUUUGUCUUUUCUAUUUACAUCUUCUACCAGUGUAUUGACAUCUUGCAAGUUAUUUAAUAUGUAAAUGAGUAAAACAUCUUAAGUCUUUAAUUAAGAGAUUACUAUCUGAUCAAUCUUUCGGGUAACAAGAGCAAUAGCCACUGUGAUUCCUUAAAUAGUUAUAUACCAUAAAUAUCAUCGAGAAAUGUACAAUGGAUAGCAUUCAGAGUAUGUAAUUAAUUGAUAGUGAUUUUCUUUGGAUUUAAACUUGCUCAUGUACAACGAAUUAACCUUCUACAUCAUAUUACAAAUUGCAGCACAAAUCGAAGAAGUAAAAGCAGAACUUCUAGAUUCUGAUCCGAUAAUAGGCAGUGUGAAUGUCGAGGCAAUAAAAUUUAACAUAUUAGAAAUACGGGAGUUUCAUGAGUCUAAAAUUUAAGUUCUUAUAUUGCUAUCAAAACAAAACUAUUUGAAGAAGCACUAUUAGUUUCUUGCUCAAAUGACUUAUAGUCCUGAUAUAUAUUAACUUAAUUAUGAACAAGAAGAGGGCUUCAAAACAAACUCGAUUUAUAAUUGUUAACUGUAGAAUAAUUUACAAUCGCUCAUAAUACGAUACCAUCUACUCACUGGCUAGUAGCAGAUUGAUUUACUUCCCAACUCUUUAUUGAUUUCAUACUCCUCUAAAGGACUUCUUCACAACUUGAUCUACAAAUAUGCAUUGAUCUAGGUCGAGUUCAGUAUGACUAGUUAUGAUGAAUCUUUCAUCUCAAAAUUUUGUUAAACUGAAUCUCAAACAAGUUAUUGCUUUUUGUUAUGACACAUGCACUGCAAUACUGUUACCGGUGUUUCAUCUUUUUAACUGAGGAUUCUAACAGAUGUUUGUUUAAUGCACUACAGAAUUGCCUAGAAUCUUAAGAAUGUUAAACAAUAAUUAUUUUUGCUAGCGGCGAAUCUAAAGAGACAUGGUAGUUUGGAAAGAUUAUUGAUUCCAGGCUCACUUUGUAAGGAAUUCCUAUGGCGGAGGCUGUGAUAAGCUCAUUAGUCCUAAAGAUAGGUGCUGCUUUAGCUAGUGAAACAACAAAAUCAGCAGCAUCACUAUUACUAACAGGGAUGUUAGUAAUGAAAGAACUCAUGAAGGAUAUAAGUGACAUUAAGGAUGAGCUUGAGAUCAUGCAAGCCUUCCUACGGAUCGCAGAAAGACCAAAAGAGAAGGAUGAGACCACAAAAAUCUUUAUAAAACAAACAAGAGGCUUGGCUUUCGACAUUGAGGAUAUUAUAGAUGAGUUCACGUAUAAGCUGAGCGAGGAGCAAGGAGGGGUUCUACCCACAGCAAUCAAGAGGUACAAAAAUAUAAAAUCCUGGCAUCACCUUAGCAAGAAACUUAAAGAUAUCAAAAUUGACCUCCAAAAGAUAAUGGAGAGAAGGACACGAUAUGAUGCAAGAGGAAUGGAAAGUGAAGCAAAACCUCGAAUAGCUGUUGGCGGUAGCAAGAGCCGUGCAGAAUCAGCGCAUUUUGUCAAGGAGGAUGAUAUCGUCGGUAUUGACAAGUACAGGGACUUGUUGCUUGGAUGGUUGAAAGAUGAGGAUGAGCAGCAACGACAGCCAAUGAUAAUCUCAGUGUUGGGGAUGGGUGGUCUAGGGAAGACCACUCUCGUGACUCAUGUGUACAAAAUCAUCAAAGCUACCUUUGAUGCUUGUGCUUGGAUUACUGUAUCUCAGAGUUACGAGACUCAUGAUUUGCUUAGACAAAUCUUAAAAGAGUUUUUUAGGGAAGAUCGUGAGAAAAGAGAGGCACCUAACAACAUUGAUACCAUGGAUUAUAGAAGCUUGGUUGAGACUAUCCGCACUUACUUGCAGGAUAAAAAGUAUAUACUCAUUUUGGAUGAUGUUUGGAGUACUGAUGUAAUGGACAAUAUAAAAGAUGCACUUCUAAAUAGUAAUAGCAAGAGUAGAAUAGUUCUCACAACAAGGAUUCGCGAUGUAGCUCUAUUAGCAAACGAGAACCAUAUGUUUGAGCCAAAGCCACUGGAGGCAGAUCAUUCGUGGGAUCUGUUUUGCAAAAACGCAUUUUGGAAAAGUGCAAACAAGAUUUGCCCGCCACCUUUAGAACAAUGUGCUAAAAAAAUUGUCGAGAAGUGCGGUGGCUUGCCCCUUGCUAUCGUAUCUAUAGGCCGUCUCUUAUCAUUUAGAGAACAAACCGGUACUGAAUGGGAUAAGGUUUACAAAGAUCUUGAGUGGUAUCUAACCAACAACGCAUCGAAGCUCUAUGAAAAAGUACAUGACAUUUUGAAACUUAGUUUGGACGAUAUUCCCCAUUAUCCUUCCGAAAUUGGCUUCCUUAUAUUUGUUCUAUAGUUUCUCAGAAACAGAUAACAAUUGAACUACGUGACAAGCUCAUAAGUGCUUUGGUGCGAAGGGUUUUCAUUGAAAAGAAAGAGAAAAAUGUUGAUGGACGAAGUGGCCUUGACGGACUACUUUAACCCGAAACUUGUUCAUCCGUGUCUAUACUACAAGUGGUACGUAGGGAUGAAGACGGUAGAUUGUUUGCAUUUAUGUCGAAUGCAUGACUAUGCAGAAUCAUUCGAUUGUCGCUCUGCUCUUCGGAGUCAAGAGAGUUAAGUUUCUGCAUGCUUUACGAGCAUUCCACGGACAAAUUUGCAUGAGUUCAGAAUCACGCCGCUUGCUCAAUGUAAGCAAUUAAACUAAUUAUCGGUACUUGAAGACAAAUCUCAUAUGCGUUCAGUUACUUGUUUUCAACCCAAGUUCCACAUGACAAUAUGAUUUACUGAGAGUCGGUCUUAAAUCAUCAAAAUUUUUCCUGUGUGUCUUGGACCUAUGAAGUGAGCGCUCCAGAUCGAUGAUAACUACCUUGAUGUGAGAUCUGUAACACUAUUCAAACAUGCAUUAUUUUGGUUUGAGAGCUACAAGAAUUAAGGAAAAGGAUGCUUCCAAUGAUUAAUUGAGAAGCUACGAAAUCUGCAAAUAUAGAUUUGGAAGAAAGUAAAUCAAAUAGAAACGGNNNNNNNNNNNNNNNNNNNNNNNNNCUUACCCACAUAUUCCAGACAGGGGGAUCGAUAUCUAUUCCAUACAACCUCAGAACGAGCCAUCUGAGAAUGCUCGUUGAUAGUGUUGUGUACCAACUCCAACAGGUUCACUGUCGCAUCACCCUCUCCAAUCAGGACGCAUGCCCUCAGAUGUCCUUAGAUCUGUAUGCGUCGUCUUGACUGACAUCUGUCUGUGGGUGAAAGCGCGUAAAAUGCAACUGUGUACCCAAGUGCUGUUCUUGAACUCCUCCAGAAAUGUGAUACAAAACUCGGGUCUCUGUUGAUUUAUCGAAUGCCCGUGCGGGAAGGAACAACAUUUAUCCAAGUUAUAGCUGGCGAGUCUCUUCUGGACAAAUAGUUAACGUGGAAGUGAGCAACUUGUAGAUCUGUCACUUCACCAAAUCGCGGUCGUAGCACCUAUGCUCUUAGGCAAUUCUAACGACGAAGUCCUUGUGUAUGAACUCCCACUUUCCACUCGGGUACUGGCCAGAUCUGGAUGUUGCCAGAGGCACCUGAUGCUCGGCCGUUCACCUGUUGGGCAAUAACAUGGCGACAAAAUCUGCCAAUGCUCGUUUUCAUUCAGGCACCAGAAUCGUGCCUUAAGAUCACUAUACAUCUUGGUUCCCGAGAGUGAACCGUAUGAAGUGGAACAAUGAGUCUAUCUCAAAAAUAUGCCGCCGUAAUCUCAGGAUCCACAGGACACACAAGUCGGUCCAUACUUAAGGACUCAGCACUGUCAAAGCAAAUCCUCAGCCUGCCCUGUCUAAGUGCUCUUCUAUCCUCAAACAAAUACGGAUCUUCACUCUGUUUUCGGGCGGAUCCAUCAACAGUAAGGCUGCAACAAGAGAUGUCAGCUCGCCUGUGCCCGGGUCGGUACUUAUCUCGAGUCCAGCCGCUGUAGCUCCUCGAGUAUGGUCUAUGCUCAGUAAUCAUCAGCUCAGGCCUGCACUGAUUUCUGCUCAACGGCUUGCCACACAUUCGCCCUGCCGGAUGAUAUGAACAUUAUUAAUGUCAGAGUCCUUCGUAAUCCAAACACGGUCGGAUGCUCUAGGUUCAGUCAUCCGUUGUGUAACAUGAUUACUGAAACUUUUGAUGAUCGUAAAGAUCUGCGCAUACUCGCCUACAAGUAAUCCGCCAGAGCUUCAAGCAAAUACACGCGCAAUGCUUCGGCAAUUCAUGCGUUAGGUAAUUCUUCUCAUAAUCUUUAAUUCCGGAAGUAUAAGCAAUACGCUACCAUGCUGCAUGAGGACGGCACAAGUCACUGUGCGAUACAUCCUCUAGAUCAAAUCCUUCCGAUCACGGAAAGCAAUGAUAGGAAGGCCGACGUUCAACCUCAGCUCUAACUCUCAAAGCUCCUUUUAAGUUCGUGCUCCAGAACAAAACGAAUCCUUCCGCAUGUCAAGUGCAUCUUGAGGGUGUGGAAGCUUCGCAAAUUCCAAAACCGAGGUAAGUACCUCGCCAGUCAGGAAAUUCCGGACUCAUGUCACGUCGUUCGUCUAGGCCAAGUCUCGAAUUGCUCAAUCUUCUUGGGGUCCACUGUUACCCCGGGCUGAAAUCAGUUGGCCCAAGAAGGCAACUCCCGUAGCCAGAAACUCGCACUUCUUUCAAUUUGGCCAUUUACAGUUUCUCUCGCAGAAACUUGUAGUAACAAUCUCAGUCGGGUCUCAUGCUCAGCUCGCUCGGGGUAUUUAUAUCAAAGAUAUCGUUAUGAGACUCCACAAACCUAUCCAAGAACGCUUGAAAACUCGUUUAUCAAAUCAUGAAUGAGCUAGGGGCAUUCGUCAAUCCAAAAGGCAUCACUGUGAACUCUAUAAUGCCGUACCGAUCGUUAAAGCCUGUGUUGGAACAUCCUCGGCCCUCACCCUCAGCUGUGGUAAUGAUGUUGAGCACUCAAUCUUCGAGAAAAAUUAAGAUCCCGAGCUGAUUCAAAUCAAAUCAUCCAAUGAGCGGGCAUAGGAAUACUUAUUCUUGAUGGUACUUUAUUCAAGUCCGGUAAUCCAAUAUACUCUGAGUGAACAGAUUCUUCUUUCAUAGUACGGGUGCUCCCCAAGCUAUACUAUGGGUCUCACAACGUUAUCCAUCAAUCCUGGAGCUGUGCUUUAGCUUCAAGGCUGGGGGCCAUCAUAAGAAAUGGUAAUUUGGUGGAUUGGUGCAGUUCAGGGACUAACAUCAAUCACAAACUUCAAUCUCCCUCUCAGCGGCAAGUGUUCAUCAGGGAAACAUCGGAAACUCGCGGACUACUGGGAUGUCUCCAGUUCGGCGCGUCGUUAGGUAUCCACAACAGUCGCAGGAACGCAAUCACUAUCAGCACCAUCUGUCGAGCCUAGCGAAGAAUCCACGGUGGCAAACCGUGCUCCUGCGAGCCUCUGUAAGUAACUCCUCCUGCCUGUGCUCACGGAACGUCAUGUCCUUCGCUCUCGCAAAUCAAUCGUAGCUGUACCGCGACAAGCAUCAAUACUGAGAACAACGUCGAAAUCCCUGCAGUGCUCCUAGACAACAUGGUCUCGGGCAAUGACCACGAGUCCAACUGCACCGGACGACGCAACAACAUUGAACCCUGUAAACAUGUCCGUCGGGAUCUGCACUCUCGUGGCCGUUGGAACAAUGCCAACUCCAUGACCAUGCAACAAUGCAAAAUGUCGGGAUUAACAAAAGAAUGCGACGUCCAGUAUCAAAAUAAGAGGUACGAUACGAAUGAGGAAAUAAGAGUAGGAUACUGCUACACUCGGUCCGGCUACUGUUAGAGUCUGCACCGUGUGCUUAAUAGACUCUGCACUCUGGAGCUGGCUGUCGUCGUACGUUCACGGCUAUGGAUGAUCUUCUACUUUGGCGCUUAAUCAGGUGCUGCUAUGAAUGGACUCUGAGGUGCUGGUGGAGCUGAAAGCUGAAAUGGUGCCAUGGAUAUGCUGUCGGGAACGCUGCCCAUGUGUCCCGGUAUGCACACCAGUAGCCACGGCUCCUCUCUGCGUCUGCAUUGUCGUGGGGGGCCAGUGUGGUCCGCCGACGGUCGAUCACGCGGCCGUCUCUCGGGUUUCCCUCUGCACGAGCGUCCUGGUCCGCUGAACGACCGAGAAACAGACCUGUGAAUGCGAGUCGUGGAGGCCUCGAGGGAUCGCAUUGUAUUCGACUGAACUCGUCUGUCUGGGACUGGCUUUUCCUGUCUGACUCUGUCCCGGCCCUUGAGGGGCGGGGCCAUCUCAGCAAUGACACCUACUCUCUCUCCUCCAAGUGCAUGCUCAAUGGACGAACCAUCUAAAGUCCUCGACCCUCUUGCGCUUAAACAAACCUGAAAGUCGGGUCUCAAUCUGCUUAAACAAAAUGUAGAAACCUAUGUGCUCGUCAUCUGGGCAACGAACGGAACACAGUUAGGAGCCUCGUAAACUCGCGAACAUAUCCUGAAUCUGUUCGCUACCUCCUGUGAUCUUUCAAGUCCUCCUCGAUUUCUGUUUCAUGCCUGUUGGGAAAAUAUCCCUUACAGCAUUUCCACAGAACUCAUCCAAAUCUCAGCUGCGCGCCACCAGUCCCUGAUCUGCGUCGCUCUCCUUUACCAGCACUGUGAGAUCACUUCUGACGAAACAGUACUACCAGUGGUCAAUGCUCCCCUCGCGGAACGAACAGAUCCUCAAAUUAACUCUCGUCCAUCGCACUGACUCAUCCUCAACAACUCAGGCGCAUCGAGGCUGUACCAUCGAAGGUCGGUGGGAGUGGGUCAAAUCGCGCGAACGAGACUACCUCUCGUCCACGUCGUGCUCGGCCUUAAGUCAACAGGUACUGGCCCACUAACCGGCGCACUGACGGUGACUGGAACUGGCAAAUGCGACGGAGGACUGCCUGAGCUGGGUACGUCACUGGAGUAUUCGCGGUGCGUAGAAAAGUUUCAUGCUCUGGUACACUCGAGUGCUGAAUCAGUAACUGAGUAAUCCGUCUAGCACACACACCUCCUGCAAACAAAAUCCCCUCGCGCCUCGGACCUCAGCGUCGGCAGCAGCUGUGCACUCAAUCGGGGUGCUCAGGCUCGGCACUGGUCCACAACAGGGGAUGCACUCCCUCGUCUGUCACCUGUCCUGUCGAUGUACUUGCUAUGUCUGCUCAGGUCUCUCAGGGGAUCCGCAACGAUCCGUUAGCCAACUGGGCACGCUCUCGACCGCGAUGACCUCGGCGACGAGAUACAUGCUGAAAGGAACAAAUCCGGGUCAUACAAACGCAAAACUAUCGCCAAUCAACGAAAGUUGAGAAGGACCGGUCCCUGUUGUUCCCAAAUAAGUUAUGUCAGUCUGCUAGCCAGACUAAUUGUUAUCAGCAAAAAACGAACUCCCUCAGUCAUCCUACACUCCAGGGGGUUAAACAAAAUAUCAUGUGACUUUCGGCAAUAAUUACUCUCUCGCGUUUUGCUUUCCUAAAGGUUUGCCAACUUAGGUCCUAGGUUCCAACGACCUGUCGUUAGAGUCUGAUUACAAUUAAUCGUCACGCCGCGGAUUACACGUUUCCGGCCGCGAACAAUCCGCCUUUAUACAAAGAAAUUUGUCCCUGUAUACACGACGCAAGUACUGUAAAUAAAACACUAUACGAUCACGUAGGUAGGAGAGGCUGUUAGAGAAAAAGAAGCUAAACAACAGAGUUUCAUUACAUAUUCGAUUCAAAAAUACGAGCUAUCCACACUGGAGUUUAAGUCAUGCUAUUGUACAUAAACUCGAAACAUAAACAUUCACCAUACAGUAGGGCACCUUAGUCAAGCAACUCGGUAGGCUCUAAUCGCGACCCUUGCCUCGAUUCCUGGUCCUGCCGACGGAGCAGCGAGGCCGGAAUGUGGUCUGACAAAAAACAUAGUACAACUGGCGUGGUGAGACUACUUGUUAAAACAAAGUAGUCCUCAUGGGGUACCGCCAAAACAACAUCGGUAACCACUAGUCUACAGAGGGACAAUUAAAGUAGAAAAGCAGGAAUACACUCAUGCUAUUCAUCAGAUAAUAUCUGUUCACUAACAAUUUAGGCAUGUCAAAUCGUGAACCCAUGCCGGAAUCGGGACUGUAGCAUACCCGUUACCCGGGCUGUGUAAUACACCCGUUCCUGUCCCGUAUGGACUAUCAGCUCUAUCCACACUACUGGUCUGAGAGAGCAAGUCCAACUUGGGAUGGCGACACCACGCGAAAGCACAAAGGCCUGACUCGGGAGUGGCACUCUUGGGCUACCCAACGAGUAUGCAGCGUAUUCUGUGUCUUGAGCUAAACAGGUCUAAAAGCAAAUCAAAGAAAUGACUCUAACUGGUCUAACAACCGAAAGUAAAGUGCCCUCGGCCAAUCAAACAAAAAGCGAUAGGGUCACCAUCAACUCACGGCACACUACUAGUCCGGCAAAGGCCGUGAACGACCUUGUAGAAAUCCACUCGGACUGACAGUCGGGCGUAAAAUUAUUCUAAUACUACUGGAGUAUUCGUCUCGAAGAUACUGCGACUGAGUUACUAUUUAAUCAGGCUCUAGAGCUAAAUCAUGCAGCUGUUAUAUGUGGCAGUCAAAUGCAAGUUUUCUCCUAAUAUAAAUUUGCAUGCUCCAAAUAAUUAAUCACUUAUUAUAUUACCAAUGCCUCCAAUUCAGUUUGCAAUCUCAUUUAUAAUGAAUUCGAGCUAGAAUAGAAUAUCAAGGUUCGUAAUAUAUACAUGCCGGAAUAUGAACUUAGGAGUAGAACGAUGUAACCCACUCAAAACGUAAUUUGUGCAGCGAAGGACUGCCGAUGGUGAAGAGAACUGCUGGAUACCCGGAACCCGCGCGAUACAGAAUGGCUAAUUUCAAGCUUAUUAACAAAAUUUCACAAUAUCAGUCCAGAAAUAUGCGCGUGAGUACAGCGGGAUUGACAGAAACCUUCCCCAAAAUUCACAGUAGGGGCUUCGUGGAUUCUCUGCGUCCCGAGUUCCAAUGAACCAAGCACUCGGUCAAAAUUCAUGUCCUACUGUCGAAGACGAGCUGAAAUACUACAGUCAACGAAGGAGAAAGUCGAAAUCACAUGCUUCCGAGUUGAUCUGAUAGUGAGAUAAGACUUGUCAAAUUCAAGGAAAUGUGAAGUACUACGCUCGACAGCGCAUAUACGGCCGGAGUCUAAAGAGACAGCGAAGUCGACACAAUGCUCGGUCUCCUCGCAAAGGCCCGGCGUCAAAUACGUGCUCGAACGAUCCCGCGGCACGACGUCGGCGACGGAAACUAUACCCAAGCUUCUUCCCUACCUUCAACCGCAUAAGAGUGAGAGAGAGAUGGUGAAGAGCAACAGGAAGCCCUCUCUCUCUCUACACGAAGCUAUAUAGAGAGAGGGAGAGCUGCUGAUACAAACGAGGUGGAAAUUUACUCAAAUACCCUCUCACCUACCCCCUUGUACCGGUACACGGGCUCUUGUACCGGUACAAGAGCCAACCCGAGAGCUGCUAAGCCUUUGCCCGAUGGUUGUACCGGUACAGCCACUCUUCUUGUACCGGUACAACAAGCAGAAAAUGCUGCUGUUUCGCAGAAUUCAUCGCGAUAAGCUGCCCUCGCGUUGCACGGAGUCCGUUUUACAUCUAUUUGACGCCAACGCGACUCGGACUUGUCCCGAUACUCUCCAGAGCUGUCGACAAGCCUCCACAACAGAACACCAGGAAUCUCACAUUAGCACUUUGGUAUAAUUAAGUACUGAAUUAAUUUUCUAAAGUUUGCUAGAUUAAUUAUCUACUAUGCAAAUAUUGUCACAAUUUGAAUUAAAUCCAAUCUAAAGUAAAAUUGUGUGUGUAAUGCACCUUUAUUGUAAUUAGCCUUGCUAAAAGGAUCGCCCUGCUUAUAUAUGGAAGGAUGCAAAGGGCAAAGUUGGUAUUUUCAAAAAUAUACUCAUCAUUUUUUUUUUAUUCUUGGUUAUUCCAUAAAAUUAACCAAACACACUUUCAGCUAUUCUCAAAAAUAACACUUUAACUAACCAAACAUUUUUUUGUUUUAUUCCUGACUAUUCCAGAAUAACACCAUAACACUGGAAUUAAAUAUUUUAUCCCCUAAUUCGAUAUUCCCGAACCAAACGCAGCCUUAAAACUUUAUUUAUUGACUAAAAUAAAAAAGCCUUCCCUUAUAAAUAUCCAUAUUUUUUACUUUCUAAGAUUAAAUUUUCUUUACUUGUUAAAAAAAAAUAAUAAUUUUUUUAUGCAUUUCUAACAAUUUAAAGGUAUCUUCAGUAUAAAUUAUAAGAAAUGAACAGAAUAGUAGUGACGGAACCCUGACGAAGGGCGUUUAUGUAGUAUCCUUAAUUUUUUUUUAUUCUUUAAUUUUUUUGUUGUUUUUGAGUUGGUAGACUAGGCGUUUAUGUAGUAACCUCAUGCAUCCUUAUCAAUUUAGUUUAACUGAGGUAUACUUUUUUUUUUUUAUUUACUCUCUCUCUCUAGUUCUUGAGCUAUACAUAGAGGAGGAGCUCGGGUGGUGUGGAGUGUCGUCGACGUCGCGCCGCGGUGCCGUUCGAGCGUGUGUUCGUCGUCGUAAUAUCACGAGGAGGCCGGGCGAGGGUUCAAUUCCGCCGUUUUCGAUGUCGCGUCGGAUUGUUUUUUUUUUUGAGAAAAAGGUAGCGCGCUACCCGCUUCAUUCAUUCAGUAAGUGAAUUAAGCUACAUGGAUGAGGCAGCAAGGCCUCGACGAAAGGCGAAAAAAAAAAAAAAAAGUUACUGGUCACUCUACUAGAUAAUUUUCCUUCACAGGUCGAUCUGUUCUAACUGCUUAAUUCUUAAAAUAUUCGACUGAUGGUCGCUCCGUGUCGUCGAAGGUCGCUUUUCUUAGAUUCCCAAUGAACCCGACAGCAGGCUUAAAUUCCUAUAGACGGUGCGGGUUCGAUGUGUUCUAUUCUUUCUUUACCCAUCUUCCGACUUGACGACGUCGUCACUAAUCUCUAAUUGGACUUCUCUAGGUAGCUUACCACAAGAAUCUGGGUAUUAUGCAUGUGUGAAUAAGUGGUCGACGUUUUCUCGUUCAAAUCCGCAAAGAGAUUUCGAGUUGCGCCGUCCAUUCCCUCUUAAACAAAAUUGUCAGCUGUAAAGCCAGCUACUUUUAAGCAGAAGCCAACAAAACACUUUCACUUUUUAGGGGCAGCGUAUGCGACCAAUUCCUACUCGUACGUGCUCACCCUCGUAACAAUCCGGUGCGACGCCAUUCAUGUCGCGCUGGAUUGUGAUUUGGUUUUUUGAGGUGCGGUUAUUCAUCGGAUCUCCUUCUCCGUUAGCUUUAUUAGUCGCAUUAUCUCCGGUGUUGCACGUUACUAUUGUUUAGCUCAAAUCCAUGGAUAUGCAGUGUUUUAGACAUAUAAGUGAAUUUGAGCAUGUUAUUAUUCAUUAUAAUUAUUAAAUGUUGACUCGAAUUGAUAUAGGAGAAAACCAGCGUUUGGGACCUGUUCUAUGUUAAACUACCUAAUUUUAGCUCUAGGAGCGCUGUAUUUUAUACUGUUUGCAUAUUCUUGUUCGUGAAGUACCCAUGGUAGUCAGUUACUGUUACGCCUGAGCUGCGGAUGCCGUGCCUAUUUUUACAGUAGUGUUUACAUUGUUCCGGACCAGUGGGUGCCGUAGUGGUUGACGGCGGACCUAGAUUUGUCAUUUUGGUAUCAGAUUGUGCCGAGGGCACGUGACUAGUUGGUUGGUAGUCCAGUUAGACCCUAUUUACUUGGCCGAACCUGUGAGAGCCAGAAUGAAUGACAGAGACACUUGUAACUCGUGGGUCGCACCCGCGAAUGCCAUUCCGGAAUGAGGUUUCAGUGCGAUGAGUGUCGCAGUUUCUGUUGGACAGUUUUUGAGCCGGCCACUCUCGGGGUGGUGUACGGCGUAGUUGGAUACAGGCAGGGUGGGCCCGGUUGGGCAGCCCGGGUGAUAUAGUCAGUGACUUUUACUACAGUUGGUAAGGUAGAGCAUGCUAAUGUAGCAACAUGUAGCUGUAGAUUUCUUUCCAGCUUUUUCCUACUAGCUUUAUUGCUUUUGUAGACUUAGUGGGUGGACCGAUGAUGUUGAGGGCGGCACCCACUGUGGAUUACUUGUUUUUAUAGUAGUUCUCAUGCCCAAUUGUUACCUUUCUUUUGCAGAGCCAUCGGUUCCGGCUGCUGCACCUUCUGAGGCUGAUCGUGGCAAGAGCGUUGCGAGCUAGAGCCCUACCCGACGAGUUGCCGAGAUAGAGGAUCCUGUGCUGCAGGUAAUGAUACUUUAUCUUUUUGAGUUCAUGUACAUACAGAUGUUUUAACUCGCUAGAGUGAGUACUUUUUAUACCCUGAUAUUAUGUAUGUAUAUGGAACCUGUUUUUUGUUCUACCUGUUUAGUUUCAUAGCAGCUCUAUACUACUGUUUUUGUAGUAUUGUAUGUUUUACAGAUACAGCUACGCUUCGUAUAUUGGAAAAAUUCCUUUGUAUACGGCGGAUUUAUCGGCGUGCCCGGGGAACGAGUUAUCCGGGGCGUGACAGUUUAAACCCAUCAACUUGAAAUUUUGAGAAGAUAAAAUAUAGGGUGUGUUUGGUUCGAAGUUGGAAUCGAUAUCGGAAUCGGAAUGAGAAUAAAUUGGAAAUGGAAUCGGAAUGAUUCAUUAUCUCAUGCUGUUUGGUUCACCAUCUUAAACGGAAUGGGAAUGAACCAUUUCCAUUAUAAGUAUUUGGUUUAGAUAGAUAUCAGAAAUAUAAUCAAAUUAAUAUAUCAAUUUUAUCUUUAUAAUAUAUUAAUUUAAAUUCAAAGUGAAAAUUAAAUAUUAAAAAUUUACGUCGAAAUUUUAAAAUGAUGUUAAAAUUUUAAAUAUAUUUUAUAAAAAAAUUAAAAUUUGAAAUUGAACGGAUAAUUCAAAACAUAAAACUAAAUUUUGAUUUAUUCAAAUUCAAACUUAAAUUUAUAAUUUCAAUUUGAAUCCAUAAAUUUAAUUUAAAUUUUAAAUAAAAUUUGAAUAAAACUUUAGAUUAAAAAUUAAUUUAAAUUUAAAUUCAAAUUUGUAAAUUAGAUUCGAAAUGCUUGAUUGAAUUUUAAUUUUAAUUUAAGUACAAAUUAAAAUUAAAAUUUAUAAAUAUAACUUUUAAACUUAAAUUUAUGUUUUAAUUAAAAAAUAACCUUUAAAAAAAUUAAAUUUAAUCCGAAUAAAUUCAUUCCCUCCGAAUUUAAUUUUCAAUUCGGCCUCUUGGAUUGGAAAAAAGGAUAAUUUGGGGGAUUCUCACUCACCCGGAAAUCAAAAUUGGAAUGGGAAUCCCGCGUACCAAAGACGGACAAACGGAUUCGUCCAUUUCGAUUUCGAUUCGAGAGUAAAAAAUGGGCGAACCAAACACGCCCAAAGAUUUUUGAAAGCCAGUGGAGGAAGUGAAAAAACAAGUAUUAACAUAGAGUUUCCUAUAUUUUACCCUUAUUAAAAAGAUUAAAAAAAAUUUUAAAGAAAAAGCUUUGGCAUAAUGUCUGAAAGGAUAAAAGCAAAUUUCAGUUCUUAACAAGGUUGAGUUAAUCCUAGAUAAAUAGGACUUGAUAUAACAAGAUAAGAAUAGAGUAAAUAGAAGAGGUAGUUUCACAAAUAUUAAUUGUUGUUUAACAUAUUAGUGAGAAAAUCUAUUGUUAGAUUUCGGUUUAAAUUUAUAGUUAUUUAUAUUAAAGUCAAAUUCUACUUUAAUUAGGAUAAGAUGAGAUUUAGUUUUAUUAAAACAUAAAUAGAGUUUAAUUAAGAAUCUAAUUGGACUGUGAGUUCUAAUUAGUCUUUACAUUCGACACAUUCAUUACAUAUAAGAUGUAUAGCCAGAGGAGGGAAUUAAUUAAGCUCUCAAUUAAAUAGUAUUUAGCAAAUCAGAGGGGUCGAUUAUAUUGAAAUAAUGAUGACCAACUUGUUAGCCAAUUAAUUUUAAUUCGCAUGUGCAACUCAUAUCAUCAUAAUUGUUUAAAGGAAAAUCAAAGUCUCUCUCUUGACCUUUUCUCAUAGACGGAUUGAUUUAAGAAAUAUAUUAAUUAUUUUUAAUAAACCACUGCUUCACAUGGUGUCUAUAAUAUUACAAUAUAUAAUAUAUGAUUCAUUUACUACAAAUUGAAUUGAAUUUGAAUAUGGAUUAAUGUAUAUAAAGAGAAACACACUACGUACCAAUUUUCGGAAUACCCAGGAGAGAAACUUUUGGCGAGUUGGCUCAAAAGUUUAUACAUCAUACUAUUCGAUCCAUCUCUGAGAAGUCUAUUUAUACGAUGAUUUUGACAAGUAUGAAAUGCUUCGGCAGAUCAGCUCUUCUGAUGCACAGCGAUCACAUGGAUGUCCAUCUCCUUGAGCAUGACGGAUCGGCUGCAAGAACCACACGGUGCCGUUCUCGACCCGCAUAUGCUCUCAUGCUCGGAGAGCCCUCUGAGGCGGUCGCGAACAUCGAGCGGUUCUGUCCCGGCUUGGACCAUGUCUCCGCAGAAAUGGCACACUAUGAGCCGCAGUGGGCAGGUCAAGGACUGGUGUUGGACCUACCAUCACAAAAAAAGAAGUUAAUGCCUUUCACUGUAGAAGAUAUAUGUGGUUCAAUGAUGGCUCCUACUACUGUAGUUUAGGCCAUAACAAAUCCAUUUUACAAAAGCAGCUCUUUUUCAAUAGUAUGUAUCAAAUGGAACACCUUCUAUUACCAAACUAAGCAGAUGGUUUCCAGCCUAAGUACAAUUGUAAAAGUACUCGGAUUUCAUUGGGUAAUACUAAUAUUAAAAUCUGUCUAUUAACAUUUUGGGAGUAUAUAAAUUAAGUAUCAUGAGAUAGCAAACAAGGAUAUGUUUAGUGUUAGAGUAAGGUAUCAGCAGUAACAGACUCACAAAAUGAAUAAUAUAAUAUCAAACAUAAUUUCAAAAACAAAAAGCAUAAAUGAAAGCCAUAUAAACAAACCGAUAAAUGCAGAUGAAAAAUCUCAAUAGAUAUAUAAUAAACUACGCUUACCAUUUCUUCAUUCUCGAGGACUACUCCACAUGGGCAAUGGAGUGGCUCACGAAAAACUUUCAUAUGCUUCUCCAUCUCCCCCUGCUGAAAUGCUUGUCCGCAUUUAUCGCAAUGCACAUGAUUCCCUGCUUGCUCCUUCCUGAGAACGACUCCACACCCCUCAUGCUGGCACACCAAAUUAUGCCUGACGCAGUAUGCUUCAUGGAUUACAAUGGUCCUGCUGGAUAUAUAAUGCCGACAAUUCCGGCACUCUACUGAAUCGGUAUCACCUUGAGAGGAAGCAUUCAAAUGUUCUCCAACCUUUUGCCUGUUAUUGUUAAAAUCCUUAACUUCUACAGAAAUGUUGAAUUUUGUAACUCCCUUGAAGCCAAAAACUCCAAUGCUGUAGGUACCUGCUACAAGGCUUUGAUCCUUGGGUUUAAGGAUCAAAACCUUUGAGCCCAUCUCAUGAGAUGACCAUUCAUGUCGAUGUUGUGUCGGAAAUACCAGUGGAUGCCUAGAUACAUAAAUAUUAAUAUCCCCAUCACUGGUAUCUGCCUCGAUCUUGACUUCUAUGUUCAUUAGCCCAGUUGAAACUUUCUCACUGAGAGUCUCUUCAAUGGAAAACUUAUAGUACUUGAAUUUUCCUUCUUCCACGAUCCCCGACUCAGCCUUUCCUAAUACAAGCGGUAUGAGCACAUGCUGUUCAUUCUCAUUGUCCAAAACAGAAUCAGAUCCCUCUAUAUCGACUUCAAUAUCCGUUUCUAAAAUUGAAACACUCGAAGAAGGUUUGAGCUCGAGAACUCUUAACUUUUACUGCAGCUCUCCAUAAUAGACCGUGAUAACAUCGCCCUCUGACAGGGUCGCAUGUUUUCGAAGAGUGGUUUCGAGGAUAGCUUUAUGGUUAGGAAGGUCGGAGAAGCCCACUGAAUGAGUUGUUUUCAUAUCUUGAUUUUCGCUGGAGUUAGAAGUUGAGGGACCUCCUUCAUUAACUUUGGACAACCUAAAGUACAUAGGACCUUUAUACAGGGCCCCUUGAUCAGAUAGUUCUUUGAAGCAAGAAGGCGGUAGCUUGAUCUUGUCUCCAGAACCAUCAUAUGGAAGGGCUUCAAAUAACCUUGAAAAGACAAUCCCGUUGCCUAGAAGCAUGUUUUCUUCCAUCUGUUGGUCUGCCUGUCAAAUAGACCAAACAUUAAUAACCUCACAAGAGCACGACUACUGAUAAGUAAGAUCUAUCUAAUAUUGGCCAGACAAAAUGGGAACAAGAAAAGGCACAAAAUCCCCCAUACUUAAUUAAACUGCUGAGUUUGUUUAAGUUGCAAACUUGCAAUCUUUUCAAUUAUCUUACAAUAGAGAAAUAGCAGCAAAUACUUAAGGCUAUGGAUCAACAGUAGAAAAAUAUAUGCUAACAGAGCACAGAAGCCUGGAGAAACAUCAACAAGUACUAUCAUUCAUUCUAGAUGCCGUACGUUCUGAAGCAUCAUUUACAUAUUGAGGCUGUAAUUCAAUUGCAGUUAAGAGAAAGAUCAACAGGUACUACAAUUUUCUUUUUCUUUUUCCCAGUUCUAGAUGUCUUACGCUCUAAAGCAUUAUUUAAAUACUGAGGCUGUAAUUCGAUUGCAAUUAAUAGAAAUAAGGUCAGGGAUCUUUCUUCAAGUACUUAAUGGCGAUGGACCAAUGAGUAAGAAUUCAAUAUAACCUCAAUUUUCUCUUCUUUUUUUUUUUGAGGAAACAGGGAUAUACCCUAUUUGUGUAAGCAAUACAUUUGUCACAGCCUAGCUGCUGUAUCCUAAAAUCCCAAAAAAUCAAAAAAAAAACUAUGGCUAGGAGCAACAAAACAGUAGAGAACAAAGCUAAACAAAGUAAGAAAGCUUUAGAAGGGCUAAAGAACUAAGCUCUAAAUAGUCUCCAAUCACUCUCCAAACACAGAUAGCCAAAGUGUCACCGAACUGAUGGCUCUCCUACUAGUCUCUUCACUUCGGCUAAGUUGAUCGUUGAAGAUACGCAUGUCACCGAACUGAUGGAUGAAAUUAGAGGAUAGAGCAAUAUUGGGUAGGAGGGUUUAGCGACUCAAAUGCAUUAGGGGUUGCGAAAGGGGAGCAGGUCAAAUAAUCCCACUAGGCUGGGAAUAUUGAUCCCACCCAAGAGGUUAGGACUGGGAUUAAACAAGAUUGAAUCCAGAAAUUCUGUUGUAUCCACUGGACCAAGCCCUAGCGCGAACCUUAGCACUACCAAGUUGUUAAAACAACGCUCUCCUCCGACAUAACUCUCUAGUCUUAUUCUAUUCAAUCAAAUCUUGAGCAUGAUAAAAGGGCCUUAAGACGCGGUAUCUCAUGAAGAAGUCACUAUUAACACAGCAGACAUACCUUAACAGUGAAAAGGACGCUUGUGUCAAACACUUGCUGCCCAGCAGUAACCUUUAGCCCAUCUACAAACCCAGCACAGGGCAGACCUGCAAUCUGCAAUCUGCAGUGGCCAUAGUCAGAGAUGCCUGAGGCAGAGAAAUUAUUAUAUACAUUAUAUUCAGAUGCUUCAAUAUAAAGCAAACAGCAUGAAAUUGUUCACGAUACAAAAAUAUAUCGAAAGUGCAUCAUUCUGGAAGUACAUUCUCUACCUCAAGAUUAUACAAGACAACUGUUAGUUGGCAUCAGUUAGAAAUUUAUAUACCACGUCUUCAAUCAAAAUUGUAGCAUUGCUAAGACAAACAAUAAGACGUUGUGAGAUACGACUAUACAAGAAUUACAAUCCAUCUAUUAUUACUAUGCAACAGUGCUCGAUCGUUGGCAUCAAGCAGCUGGAACUUACAAGAAAAUGCUAAAUAAACUUGAUGACAAUAUCUUGAUCUGAUACUCAUACAAAAGCAACUAGACAUGUCACAUGCACCUGAAAGUUUAACAAGCAGCUCUUUAGUUUGACCAAUGCAGCAUUGCGAGUUUCGCCCCACACCACAAGCUUAGCAAUCAUUGGAUCAUAAUGCAUGCUGGUAGUAUCUCCUUCCUCUGCUCCCGUUUCGACUCUCACUGUUUUACAAUAUGUAGAUUAGGGGUCAUUGUUGAGUCAUGGAAGACGUCGAGUUCUAGAUGUGUACUGGCUUUAUUAGCUAAUACUACCUAAUGUGUGUAGCAAUAAGCAUAUGUACUAUGUUUCAGUAGCAGAUAUUACCUGUUGGGGUAACAGGGACUGGCCGGUAGUAGUGUAGGGUUCCAGUUGCGGGAAGAAAACCUCUUGGGACAUUUUCAGCAUAUAUUCGAGCCUCAUUCUAGCAUUGCUACACACGAAAUGGAGUAAAGGUAGAUAAUAUGGCUAGAAUUGCAAGUUUUGAAGAGGGAAUAAUAGCUCAUUCUAGCAGUUUGCACAUAGGAAUUCAAGUUUGUCAAACGGGCACGAUUGAAAAUGUGUGAUCACAUUAAACAAAGUUUACCAUUCAAGGGCACUUGUUCCUGAGUCAGGGGAAGAGGUUCUCCAUUUGCAACACGAAUUUGCCACUCCACAAGAUCUUGGCCAACAAUCAUCUCAGUUACAGGAUGUUCUACCUUCAAAAUAUUGAUAUAAGAAAUCAGGUAAAUAUUUUCUGUCGCACAACAGCAAUUUGCAUGUAAGGAUCAAGUUGCACAUGUAUAUACUAGUGCACAUGCAUACCAAAUGGAAGUUUCCCAAAACAGUGUGUACAAGAAUAAAUUUAAUCAUGCACAUAGAAAAGUAUUUUGAAUGUGAACAUUUUAAGGUAGAAAUAGCUGACAACAGUGUGCCUGAUUAGUUAAGAAAAGCAUUAAUACCUGAAGGCGAGUAUUCAUUUCCAUGAAAUAAAAUUGUCCAGAAAGCGUAUCCAUUAUAAACUCCACUGUUCUGGCAUUGUGAUAGCCGACUUCCUUCAAAUUAGUUAAAAAGAAAUAUGAAAGUGCACCGACUCUGUGAGAAAUUUGAACAUGAAAUAAAAAGAUCAAAGAGUUGAAAUAGAGAAGAGGGAAAUUGAAAAGCACCAAUUAAGUGGAAGAAAUAGCGAAGACUUGCUCUUAGGUUAAAAGCAUUCAAUCUGUGGUCAUCAGAUCUGACAGAUACACAUUUGCUUGUUUUUGUGCAUCAUGUUAAUGUAAUCAAUUUAGAUCUUAUCAACUCAUAUCCCACUUUAUCAAACUGUAUCAUAUUGAUCAUGCAAUAUAGGCUUAACUCAUGUGAAAUGCCUCUAAACCUAUAUUGUCUGUCUAAGCUAUGAUCAAAUCAGUGUUUUAUUUUGCGUCUCUACUCUCUAAUCAUAUUUGACUUGUUCCAACUGAUUCUAAUUGGUCUAGACUUGAAUUGAACCAAAUUACAAUAUGACCUGAUAACUUCAACUCUAUUUUGCGCAAACCAUAAUCUUAUGGUUCUUCAAAACAUCAUCCCAGUCCGUACAGAUGUACAAUUUGGACUCUUAUUUGAAACUAAAACCGUUUCAUUCUACACCAACAACCUUUCUAGUGAGGUAUCAUACACUGAAUUUGGAUCAGAAAUAGAUCAAUUAUGAUAAUAUUACUGACUGCUCUAUUUAAAUUUCCAGAAAACAGAAUUUAAUAUUUCACCUCACAUGACAUCUCGCAACCAACCUGCACAAGAUUGCUAUGUAAUCUGCAGGCUCGCCAAACUAGUGAAGAUUAUUACCGUGCUCUUUUUCGUGAUCCUCGAGAAUCUAAAAGCCUCUUUAGCUACUCUUCUUCCCUCCAACUUAUCUAAGCUCUAUAAGCCUCUACGUGCACACGGAAAAGGCCUUCUCUGGGAAGAGCUCACUUUGCUUCAUCUUAAAUCAAGAUGAAGAAGAACUCUUUAUUACUUGAUCUUCUCAUUGUACGUACGCUGGAAUUAAUAAACACUCUCAUCAAAAGAGGUUUUUUCUGUGGGCUCUUCUUGCUUUUGAUCGGCAGGAGUCGAGCCCGUCGAUGAUAUGGGAAAAGAUUAACCUCUAAAUCCCAUGAUGACAUAUUUACAUAAAUUCAGAUUUAGAUCUUCAAAGUGAACCCUUGAAUUCAAUUGUUCAUUUUCUAAUUAAGAAUUCAAUUGUUCAUUUUCUAAUUAAGAAUUAAUCAAAUCUUCCCACACUUCACUCAAAGAGUUGAAGGGAGAUACCACAUCAUGUAGGUGAAUUUGGACGCUUUUUGCAAGGCUCCGAGCCUGAUGCUUCCAUAUUUUUUCGCCUCAGAACUUCUAAGCAAUCUGUGCUCGAGGAAAAUUGUAAAUGAUAAUCUAGAUGCAUACAUGUGUUAUCUUGUAUGUUAUUUUGUUUUAAUGUUAAUGUAUGUAAAAGUGGAAGCAUCAAAUGAGUUGGUGCCUUCAGAAGAACCACUACUCCACAACAUUAUGUAUUUGUAGGAUGCUACUCUACAACUUUAUGUAUUUGUAGGAUACUUUGUAAUCUUAAAACUUUAUUUAUUAAGAAGAUUUAAAAAAUAUUUGAAGAAAAAUCUUUCGCAUUGUGUGUGUGGAAGGAUAAAAGCAAAUUAAUGAGGAUAAGAUGAGAUUUAGAUUUAUUAAAAAUAAAUAAAGUUUAAUUAAGAAUCCAAUUGGACUAUGAGCUCUAAUUAAACUCUACAUUGGAACCAUGUAUUAUACAUAGGAUGUGCCGCUAGAGGAGAGAAUUAAUUAAGCUGUCAAUUAAACAGGAUUUAGCAACAAGAAGAGUUGGACUAUACCAAGACGAAAAUUAUUGGUAUACCUGGCAAUCUCUAUCUGUACCUACGGGCAAUCUCUAUCUGUACCCACGGGUACUCGCUGGUUAUAUGCAAAUUUGCGAGUAUGAAUACUAGUUUUCUCUAUUUAAAAAAUUAUUGGUAAAACAGGCAGCGCAACUCACCUCGCCCUCACACACCAAUCCAUGGUGUCGGUUUCCUCGAGCAACCUCGACUUCUCCAGAAGCUUCUUCUUCUUCUUCUUCUUCUUCUUCUUCUUCUUCUUCGUAUUAUUAUUAUUAUUAGUAGUAGUAGAAUCAUUGGAUUGGGAGGGUUCGAUCUCGCCCAAGAACUCCAAUUCCCACUGGGCAGUGAGCUCCUUUUGAUCCACAACACCAUUUUCACCUACCAAAUGGGUGUUUAAUCUGCAAGAACAGAUUUUUCUACUUGGAAACUUGAUUUUGGGGUGGGGAUUAGAAAACUCAGAGGGGAAGUUUGAGAUUGAGGAGAUUUUGAUGGAUUCUGAGGGGAAAUUUAGCAGGGAAAAAGCUUGUUUUCGCCAUGAUUCGGGAGAAAUGGAGCUCCAUAUUUUGGGGUACGCGCUCAAACAAAAGAGGGGAAAAAAAGAGAGUAUGUGCGGCGUAGUCGGGGUGCAUGUGCGGCGACGCAAUCGUGAGGAUCUGGAAAGAGAAAAGGAGGGUGACGGAGGCGGACCUGAAGGAAAAUGAAAAAAAAAAAUAAAAAAAAAGAAAUAAUGUAAAUUUUAGCUAAAGAGUACAAAUUUAUUCUAAAGAGUGUAAAUUUGAUUUUUAAGAGUAUAAAUUUUAUCUCAAAAAUUAUAAUUUUUAUUUAAAAUAAUGCAAAAAAUAAUUUAAAACAGUAUAAUUUUAUUUUAACAGAGCAAUUUCAUAUUUUUCUUCUUUCUUCUAUAAAAUUUGGUUUUUAUUUUUUUUCUUUUUUUUUCUAUAUUUUUUUUUAACGUCUCUCCGCCAACGGUCACGGCGACGGCGACGACGGCGCUAAAGACCCCUCGCUCAGAGGCUGCAACGUCGCAAUGACAUUCGCGGCGUCGGUGUCGGCGGAGAGGCGUCGUCGUCGAAGGCGGCGGAGGAGGCGAAGGAGGAGGAAGAGGGAGAGGGCGAGAAAAGUUGCGCUACGCCAACAGCGCGUCGCGCAUCGACCGCCGCAUGAACGCGCCCUUCAGCCGGUGGCGCUCCCGCAGGUCAUCGGGUCCUCUGACUCGAACAGCGUCGCCAACCCGGACAGGAACCCGCGCCCGGCGCGCUCGUGGAGGGAGGCCUGGUCCGCACCCGGCGUGGUCGUGGAGGGAGGCCUGGUCCGCGCCUGACACCGCCGCCAACAGGAUGUCAUAGGCGAUGCUGAGCGGCAGAGGCGAGGAUGUCGUAGGCGAUGUCAUACGCGAAACUUCAAAUUUUUAUUUUUAUUUUAGAUUCAAAGUAUAAAUUUAACAUUAAAUUUAAAUUUUGAAAUUUUAAAUUCAUAUUUGAAUUUUUAAAUCUCAACUUUUAAAAGUUUAAAUUUUAAUUUUCAAAUUUUAAAUUUUAAAUUUAAAAUUUGAAUUUUGAAAUUAAAUUUUGAAUUUUAAAUUUUGAAUUUUAAAUUUCAAAUCUUAAAUUUUAAAAUUAAAAUUUUAAAUUUAGAUUUUAAAUUUAAAAUUCAAAAUUUAAAUUCAAAUUGAAAAAGUAAAAAUUUAAAUUUAGAUUUAAAAAUUCAAAUUUUAAAUGUAAAAUUUUGAAAUUUCAAAUUUAUUUUUUGUACAAAUUUGAAAUUUAAAAAUUAUACUUUUAAUCCAAAUUUAAAAUUUUUAAUUUAAAUUCAAAUUUUAAAUUAUUUUAAAAUAAAAUUUAGUAAAAGUAUUAAUAUAUACAAGCAUCAAAAUUUUUUUGCCAAACAGUUUUAAAAAAUUAUUUUAGAAAAAUUAUUUUUACCUAAACUCAACCAAACGCUUUACAGCUUUUUAUCAAAAUCAAUCCUCCAAAUCAAAAUCACUUAUGCAUAAAUUACUUUUUCAAAAGCUAGGCCAAAUUCUUUUCUUUUCUUUUUGGGUUUUUUUUGCAUUUGGCUCCUUUAAAAUAUUUUUUUUUACAAAUAGCCCCAUCAAAUAAAUUUGCAAAUUUGGCCCCAUCUCCGCCACGUAGGCACCACGUCAGCGCUAUGGUUUUAAGUUGAACACGGCGAAUCAUUCACCGUGUUCAAACACGGUGAAUGGUUCACCGUAUUCUAUACUUAUAUUCCUGUUUAGACACGAUGAAUGGUUUACCGUAUUCAACUUAAUAAACUAGUCCCAGCCCCGCUCACGUGGCGCUGACGUGGCGUCUGCGUGGCAAGGCUAGGCCCAUUUUUGUAAAUAUAAAUUUACUUGGGCUAUUUUUAAAACAAAUUUUGUCCAAGGGAGCAAAUGCAAAAAAAAAAAAAAAAGAGCCCUUUCUUAUUCUUUUGGAUCUGUUUUUCGCUGUCAAUUUGGCUUCAACAACACCUCACCAUCGAAAGUUCCCAGCAGGAAAGUUCCCAGCAGGAGGAGAAGGAAUUUUCACUUUGCUGGUGGUAGUCUGGUAGACCCACCGGCCACAGGAUGCUGAUGGCAAAAGUGAAGAGGGAGGCCUUUUAAUUAUUCUGCUCCCCAUUCUAUUUCUUUUCACUCUUCAACUUCAUCUCUCCGCUCUCUCUCUCUGCCUCUCUCUCUCUCCUCAAUCCCCCAAAACAUCUUUGAGAGCAUCUUUGGUUGCAGUAUUUUCACUAGUUGAAUUUGAGAUUAAUUAUUUUGGAGCAGCUCCCUCUUCAAUCCCCUUUUUGGAUCUGUGGUUAGUUGUGCAUCUUCUUCUACAUAUUCUUUUUAAUUCAUUUUUUUGUUUCAAGGGUUCCUGUUUUUAAUCCUCUUUUCUAUCAACUAGCUUUAAUUUAUUCUUGUUAAAUUAAGUUCUUAUAUUUCUAUCACUAGUAGUUUGUUGCUCAGAUGACUUAUAGUCCUGAUAUUAACUUAAAAUUGUGAACAAGAAGAGGGCUUGAAAGGAAACCCCACUUAUAAUUGUUAAUUGUAGAAUAAUUUAUAAUCACUCUUAAAACAAUUCCCUCUACUCAGUGACUAGAAGCAGAUUCAUUUGCUUUUCAACUCUUUAUUGAUUUCAUACUCCUCUAGAGGACUUUCCGAUAUCUUGCUGUACAAAUAUAUACAUUGAGGUUAUGUAGGAGUUUUGUAUGACUGGUUAUGAUGAAUCUUUUUUUCUCAAAAAUUUGUUUAAUUAACAGAUCCUGAAACAAGUUAUUGCCUUUUUGUUCUUGCAAUUCAACAACAAUUUUGUUAUUUGUGUUUCUUCUUUUUAACUGAGGAUUCUAACAAAUGUUUGUUUAGUGCAUUAAAGAGUUAUUCCGCAUGAGACAAUGACAUGAUCUUUACGAAAAUUGCCUGGAAUCAUAAAAGCGUAAAAAAAAAAAAAAAAUCAUAUUCGCAAGCAGUGCAUUUGAAGAGACAUGGUAAUUUGAAAAGAUUUUGUAUGUCAGGCUCACUUCGGCAUAAGUGUCCAUGGCGGAGGCUGUGAUAAGCUCAUUAGUCCUGAAGAUCGGUGCUACCUUAGCUAGUGAAACAACUAAAGCAGCAAUAUCAGUAUUACUAACACCGAUAUCAGCAAUGAAAGAACUCGUGGAGGAUAUAAAUGAGAUUAAGGACGAGCUUGAGAGCAUGCUAUCCUUCCGACAGAUCGCAGAAAGAUUAAAAGAGAAGGAUGAGAGCACAAAAACCUUCAUAAAACAAACAAGAGACUUGGCUUUCGACAUUGAGGAUAUUAUAGAUGAGUUCACAUACAAGCUCGGUGAAGAGCAAGGAGGGCUCCUGCCUAAAAUAGUCAAGAGGUGCAGAAAUAUAACAACUUGGCGUCGCCUUAGCAAGAGGCUUAACAAAAUCAAAAUUAAGCUCCGAAACAUUAAGGAAAGAAGGGAGCAAUAUGAUACGAGAGGAAUGGAAAAUGAAGCAAGACCUCUAAUAGCUGUUGGCGGUAGCAAAAGCCGUGCAGAAUUAGCACAUUUUGUCGAGGAGGAUGGUAUAGUGGGUAUUGACGAGUACAAGGACUUGUUGCUUGGAUGGUUAAAAGAUGAGGAUGAGCAGCAACGACAGCCCAUGAUAAUCUCAGUGUUGGGGAUGGGUGGUCUAGGGAAGACCACUCUCGUGACUCAUGUGUACAAUAUCAUCAAAGCUUUCUUUGAUGCUUGUGCCUGGGUUGCUGUAUCUCAAAGUUAUGAGACUCGUGAUUUGCUUAGACAGAUCUUAAAAGAGUUCUAUAGGGAAGAUCGUGAGAAAAGAGAAGCACCUAACAACAUUGAUACCAUGGAUUAUAGAAGCUUGGUUGAGACUAUCCGCACUUACUUGCAGUGUAAAAAGUAUGUACUCAUUCUGGAUGAUGUUUGGAGUUCUGAUGUACUGGACAAUAUAAAAGUUGCACUUCUGAAUAGUAAUAGCAAGAGUAGAAUAGUUCUCACAACAAGGAUUCACGAUGUAGCUCUAUUAGCUAACAAGCACCGUAUGUUUGAGCUAGAGCCACUAGAGGCAGAUGAUUCGUGGGAUAUGUUUUGUAAAAACGCAUUUUGGAAAAGUGCAAACAAGAUUUGCCCACCGCCUUUAGAACAAUGUGCUAAAAAAAUUGUCGAGAACUGCGGUGGCUUGCCCCUUGCUAUCGUAUCUAUAGGCCGUCUCUUAUCAUUUCGAGAACAAACCGGUUUUGAAUGGGAGAAGGUUUACAAAGAUCUUGAGUAGUAUCUAACUAACAACGAAUCGAAGCUCCAUGAAAAAGUACAUGGCAUUUUGAAACUUAGUUUGGACGAUCUUCCCCAUUACCUUCGAAAUUGCUUCUUAUAUUGUUCUAGUUUUCCAGAAGAUUAUACAAUUGAAAGUGACAAGCUCAUAUGGCUUUGGGUGGCUGAAGGGUUCAUUGAAGAAAGAGAAAGAACGAUGGAGGAAGUGGCCGAGGACUACCUUAACGAACUUGUUCAUCGCUGUCUACUACAAGUGGUACGUAGGGAUGAAGUCGGUGGAGUUCAAGAAUGUCGAAUGCAUGACGUCAUUCGAGUCCUUGCUCUUUCGGAGUCAAAGGAGUUAAGUUUCUGCAUGGUUUACGAGCAUUCACGGAAAAAAUUGCAGAGUUCCAAAGCACGCCGCUUGUCAAUCCUAAGCAAUAUAACUAAUUAUUGUACUGAAGACAAAUCUCAUUUGCGUUCUGUACUUGUUUUCCUCAAUUACAUGAGCAAUGAUUUACUGAAGUCGGUCUUAAGAUCAUCAAAAUUCUUUCGCGUCUUGGAACUAGGAGGAGUGCUAAUCGAGAAACUACCGAGUGAGAUCUGUAACCUAUUCAACCUGCAUUAUCUAGGCUUGCGAGCAACGAAAAUUAAGGAGCUUCCAAGAUCAAUCGGGAAGCUACAAAAUCUGCAAAUAUUAGAUAUAAGUGAAAGUAAAAUAGAAAAGCUGCCGAAGGGAAUAACGAGUCUCCAAAAGUUGAGACACCUAGUUUUUUCGAAAUAUGUACUCUGGGGCGUCAAGGCACCCUUGGGAAUAUGGCGCUUGAAGGGCUUGCAGACUUUAAGACCUAUUGAAGCAACUACGGAGAUUGUGCGGAAUGUAGAAGCUUUGACCGAGUUGCGGACAUUUCAGAUAACGGGUAUAAGAAACCAUCACUGUGCAGACUUGUGGAAUAGUAUCACAAAGAUGAACCAUCUUAGCAAUUUAUUUGUCGGAAGUGAUUAUGGGCAAGAAUUACAGCAGUUGGGCACCCUGCGCCUACCUCUGCCAAUUAAAGAAUUAUACAUGGGGGGUAAAUUAGACAGAAACUCACUCCCUGAGCUUGCCAUGUCCUUUGGGUCUCUAACAAACCUAACCAGAUUAAUACUUAGAUAUGCAAAAUUGGAUGAAGAUACAUUUCCUUACCUGCAAGCACUGCCCGCGUUGAUGUUUCUUGAACUUUAUGAGGCAUAUGACGGCAUGAAGUUGCACUUCCAAGCAACAUCAUUGCCGAAGCUAAAGGAAUUGUACAUAUCUGAUGCCCUGAAGCUCAAUCAGGUGGAAAUAGAAAGAGGAGCAAUGGCAAGCCUGAAUAAGCUUCAGCUAGAUGGUUGCCCCAAGCUAAAGGAGCUGCCCCACGGUAUCGAGUACCUUACCACCCUUAAGGAUUUAUACAUUUUCUAUCCAGCAGAGGAACUUGUUGAGCUGCUUCUAGGAGGAGGAAAAGGCAACCACAGCAAUGACUGGCGCACGAGGCUUCGGCACAUCCCGAAUUUUAUUAUUUGGGUCGAACGAGACGGAGACGGCGAGUUAGUCCAAGAAAGGAUUCAAUGAUUCCAUAUCAUGUUGGUGAGUUUGUGCGCUUUUUGCAAAGCACCGGCCGAGCUUGAUGCUUCCACAUUUUCCGCCUCAGAUCUUCUAAAUAAUCCGUGCAGGCUUGAGGAAAAUUGAAAAUGAUGAUCGAUAUGCAGGUGUUAUCUUAUAUGUGUAGUUUAUUUUAUUUUAUUUUCAAUGUAUAUGUAUGUAAAAGUGGAUGCAUGAAAUUAGUUGGUGCCUUCAGCUACUCGGAUAAUGUAUUUGGAGAAUGCUUUGUACCCGUAAAACUUUAUUUAUUGACUAAAAUAAAAAAACCUUCCCUUAUAAAUAUGCAUAUUUUUUUGCUUUCUAAGAUGACUAAAUUUUUUUUACUUGUUAAAAAAAAAAAAAACUUUUUUUAUGCAUUUCUAACCAUUUUUAAGGAUAUCUUCAGUAUAAAUUAUAAGAAAUGGACGGAAUAGUAGUGGCGGAACGCUGACGAAGGGCGUUUAAAUCCAUCAACUUGAAAUUUGAGAAGAUAAUAUAAUAGAUUUUUGAAAGCCCGUGGAGGAAGUGAAAAAAAUAAGUAUUUACAUAGAGUUUUCUAUAUUUUACCCUUAUUAAAAAGAUUAAAAAUAUUUUUGAAGAAAAAGCUUUCGUAUGAUGUCUGAGAGGAUAAACGCAUAUUUCAGUUCUUAACUAGGUUGAGUUAAUCCUAGAUAAAUAGGACUUGAUAUAACAAGAUAAGAAUAGAGUAAAUAGAAGAGCUAGUUUCACAAAUAUUAAUUGUUGUUUAACAGAUUAGUGAGAAAAUCUAUUGUUAAUUAGAUUUCGGUUUAAAUUUAUAGUUAUUUAUGUAGUAUACUAGUAUCCCUACACUUAGUAUAUAUAUAUAAGUGUGUGUGUGAGGGUACGUGUGUGUGUGUGUGUGAGUGCACAUGUGUGAGUAUGUGUAAUGCCAUGUGGCAUCACCUCCCCCCUCUUUUAUGCAUGCAGGGNGAUGUCUGAGAGGAUAAACGCAUAUUUCAGUUCUUAACUAGGUUGAGUUAAUCCUAGAUAAAUAGGACUUGAUAUAACAAGAUAAGAAUAGAGUAAAUAGAAGAGCUAGUUUCACAAAUAUUAAUUGUUGUUUAACAGAUUAGUGAGAAAAUCUAUUGUUAGAUUUCGGUUUAAAUUUAUAGUUAUUUAAAUUAAAGUCAAAUUUAUUUAAAAUUAAAGUCAAAUUCUACUUUAAUUAGGAUAAGAUGAGAUUUAGUUUUAUUAAAACAUAAAUAGAUUUUAAUUAAGAAUCUAAUUGGACUGUGAGCUCUAAUUAGUAUCUACAUUUGACACAGAUAGAAUUAAUUAAGCUCUCAAUUAAAUAGUAUUUAACAAAUCGGACGGAUCGAUUAUAUUGAAAUAAUGAUGACUAAUUUGUUGGCCAAUUAAUUUUAAUUGGCAUGUGCAACUCCUCUCAUCAUAUUGUUGAAACAAAAAUCAAAUUCUCUUGAACUUUUCUCAUAAACAGAUUGAUUUAAGAAAUAUAUUGAUUGUUUUUAUUUUUAAUAAACCACUGUAUCAUCUGGUGUCUAUAUUAUUAUAUCAUCUGGUGUCUAUAUUACUACAAUAUAUAAUAUAUGAUUCAUUUACUGCUAAUUGAAUUGAAUUUGAAUAUGGAUUAAUGUAGAUAUAGAUAAAAUUAUCGGGCCAAUCCUACUUUAUUUAUAGUAAUCCGAAAAAAAGAAAAGAAAAGAAAGAGUAGUUGGAAUAUGUAACGAAUCUGAUUCUUCCCUUAAUUCUGAAAAAGUUUUCUGUCAAAAGAGGAGGAUACGUUUGUUCCUAAUUAUGUGGUGUGAUUAAUUUAAUAAUUAAUUAUAACUUUAUUCUAUGACAUGAUUCAGGAUUAAUCUUAACUUAAAUUUGAAUUAUUACAAUUAUAUCAUAUACUCUGUUUGGAAUAACUAUGGUUAAUUGAUGCAUAAUUAUAUGACUAAAAGAGAUUCCAAAAUAUUUUACCCAAAGUUUUUUUUUUCCCCUUACAAAAAAUAGACUUUUUAUAUGAAGACUAAUCAAUAUUUAUAUUUUACAAGCCUAUGGGAACCUUUAUUAAAAAAAUAAAAAUAAAAAAUAAAAAAAAUUUUAGGUACCAUGGCGUGACGAGUUAAAAUGAAUAAGUUACAUAUGAUGGUAUGGCAAAUAAAUACAACAAUUCAUUCCAACAAAUUGUAUGUUGGAAAUGAAUAGUACAAUUUUGAAGGGAAAAAUAAUUAGCACAGCCCACAGCAUGAAGAGAGUCCGAGAUCCCAAGAGACAUGAGAUCAUUAUUGCAUAAGAAAGAAUCAUUUAUUCACUAUGCAUUUCUAUACAAAACAAAUAAUUAUUAAGAGAAAUAAACAUGAAAAAUUAGCAUAGUAGGAGGGGAAAAAAAGAGAGCAAGAGAAAUUAGUACAGGGUGUUGCUUUUGUUAUAAAUAAAUUAUAAGUAUGGAUCUAUAUCAAGAAAAGAAAAUAUACAACAAAUUCUAAUCACCAAGACAAGAAUUACACCUUGUGCAUGUUAAUUGAUAUACGACUAACAUGAAAAAAUUGGUUCGUAGAUGAACCCAACUUUCGAAUGUACAAAUAGUAUUGCUCAAAAAUAAAAUGGACCAGUAGAACAUUUGCAUUCGAUUGUUUGCAUAAAUUUACGAUUUCAUUUUUUUUUUUUGGUAACUUAUACCCAAUGUUUAGAAUUUCUUCCAUAUUAGCAUUCCAGUCCUAUCAAAUAAACCAAGCCCAAAGUGCACUAUAUUACAUUAAAAUCACGAACACAAAAUUCUGAAACUCAUAUAUAUCAACAACCUUAGACAAAUUCAUAUAGAACAGUACAAUUUUAGAAUACAUAACAUCAUUGAAAUAUCAAAUUCCAUCCAAAUUUCGUCGUGCACAAUUUGUUUUUUUCCUUCUAUUAUGUUUUUUCAACAUGUAUUGCGUCGAACAUAAACAAAACGAGAAACAACACGCCGAAGCAAACGAUAAAACACACUAUGUACCACCUUUCAAAUUACCCAGGAAGGUUUAAAUAAAACGAAGAACAAACAUGCCGAACCAGCAAAAGUGACACACUCCGUACCAAUUUUCGGAGUACCCAGGAGAGAAACCUUUGACGAGUUGGCUCAAAAGUUUUAUAAGUCUUUCAAGGGCAUCGUACCAUUCGAUCUAUCUCUGAGCAGUCUAUUUAUACGAUGAUUUGGACAAGCAUGAAAUGCUUCAGCGGAUCAGCUCUUCUGAUGCACAGCAAUCACAUGGAUGUCCAUCUCCUUCAGCAUGACCGAUCGGCCGCAAGAAUCGCACGGCGCCGUUCUCGACCCGCAUAUGCUCUCGUGCUCGGAGAGCCCUCUGAGGCGGUCGCGGGCAUCGAGUGGUUCAGUACCGGCUUGGACCAUGUCUCCGCAGAAACGGCACACUAUGAGCCGCAACGGGCAGGUCGAGGACUGGUGUUGGACCUACCAUCACAAAGAAGAGAGUAAAGAGUUAAUGCCCUCUACUGUAGAAGAUAAUCCAUUCUUACAAAAGCAGAUCUUUUUCAAUAGUAUGUAUAAAAUAGAACACCCUUGAUUACCAAACUAAGCAGGUGACAUUAGUAGACAUUUUCCAGUCUAAGUAGAAUUGUAAAAGUACUCCGAUUUAAUCGGGUAAUAUUAAUAUCAAAAUCUGUCUAUUAACAUUUUGGGAGUAUAUAACAUGUCAUGAGAUAGCAAACAAGGAUAUGUUUAGUGUUAGAGAAAGGUAUCUGCAGUAACAGACACAAAAUGCAUAAUAUAAUAUCAAACAUAAUUUCAAAAACAAAGAGCAUAAAUGAAAGCCAUAUAAACAAACUGAUAAAUGCAGAUGAAAAAUCUCAAUAGAUAUAUAAUAAACUACGCUUACCAUUUCUUCCUUCUCGAGGACUACUCCACAUGGGCAAUGGAGUGGCUCAUGAAAAACUUUCAUAUGCUUCUCCAUCUCCCCCUGUUGAAAGGCUUGUCCGCAUUUACCGCAAUGCACAUGAUUCGCUGCUUGCUCCUUCCUGAGAACAACUCCGCACCCCUCAUGCUGGCACACCAAAUUAUGCCUGAUGCAGUAUGCUUCAUGGAUCACAAUGGUCCUGCUGGAUAUAUAAUGCCGACAGUUCCGGCACUCGACUGAAUCGGAAUCAACUUGAGAGGAAGCAUUCAAAUGUUCUCCGACCUUUUGCCUGUUAUUGUUAAUAUCCUUAACUUCUACAGAAAUAUUGAAUUUAGUAACUCCCUUGAAGCCAAAAACUCCAAUGCUGUAGGUACCUGCUACAAGGCUUUGAUCCUUCUGUUUAAGUAUCAAAAUCUUCGAGCCCAUCUCAUGAGAUGACCAUUCAUGUCGAUGUUGGGUCGGAAAUACCAGUGGAUGCCUAGAUACAUAAAUAUUAGUAUCACCAUCACUAGUAUCUGCCUCGAUCUUGACUUCUAUAUUCAUUAGCCCAGACGAAACUUUCUCACUAACAGCCUCUUCAAUGGAAAACUUAUAGUACUUAAAUUUUCCUUCUUCCACGAUUCCCGACUCAGCCUUUCCUAAUACAAGUGGUAUGAGCACAUGCUGUUCAUUCUCCUCGUCCAAAACAGAAUCAGAUCCCUCUAUAUCGACUUCAAUAUCCGUUUCUAAAAUUGAAACACUUGCAGAAGGUUUGAGCUCGAGAACUCUUAACUUGUACUGCAGCUCUCCAUAAUAGACCGUGAUAACAUCGCCUUCUGACAGGGUCGCAUGUUUUCGAAGAGUGGUUUCGAGGAUAGCUUUAUGGUUAGGAAGGUCGGAGAAGCCCACUGCUUCGGGCUUAAGCUUAGCAUAAGUUCCUUUUGGCAAGCUGGCAUAGCGCACCUCAAUUAAAGGAACUUCAGCGUUGGUAUCAUGGAAUAAAUUUGUCCAGACAUGCG